UCUGACACCCUUGGGGGGGAAACCAUUGUCUAAUCCUUCUCUUUACAGACGAUUGGUUGGCAGCUUAGUUUACCUCACAGUUACUCGUCCAGACAUCUCCUAUGCUGUUCAUCAGGUGAGCCAGUAUUUGUCUGCUCCACGAUCAACUCACUAUGCUGCUGUUCUGCGCAUUCUUCGAUACCUGAAGGGUACCCUUUUUCAUGGCCUUUUCUACUCAGCCCAGUCUCCUCUUGUACUCCGUGCAUUCUCAGAUGCUGAUUGGGCAGGAGAUCCUACUGAUCGCAGGUCCACUACAGGUUAUUGCUUUCUCCUUGGUUCUUCUUUGAUUUCUUGGCGAAGUAAGAAACAAACCUUUGUGGCCCGCUCCAGUACUGAAGCAGAAUAUCGUGCCCUUGCUGAUACCACAUCUGAGCUCCUUUGGCUAAGAUGGCUCCUUAAGGAUUUGGGUGUAUCCACCUCCUCUGCUACUCCUCUUUAUUGUGACAACCAGAGUGCUAUUCAUAUUGCUCACAAUGAUGUCUUUCAUGAACGGACUAAACACAUCGAGAUUGAUUGUCAUUUUAUCCGUUAUCAUCUUCUCCAUGGUGCUCUUAAGCUUUUCUCCGUCUCCUCCAAAGAUCAACUUGCAGAUAUCUUCACCAAGUCUCUUCCUAAGAGACGCACUCGUGAUUUAGUUGACAACCUCAAGUUGGUCUCACAUCCACCUUGAAGUUGAGGGGGGCUGUUAAAGUAUAUUGUAUUGUGGGCUCUAGGCCCAGGGGCCCAGUUAGGUUACUUGUAUAGUACUUGUACUAUACACUUGUACUACACCUUUGUACUACACUUGUACUACACCUUUGUACUGCACCCUUGUACUACACAUAUAUGCCUCCUAUAUAAAGGCACUGAUGUAUACUCUUUUAUUCACAGAAUAGAAUACAAUUAUUCUAUAUUUCUAACAAUAUAAAUACAAUAAAAUCUCACCUUUGACACACGAUCACACCUCUCCAGAUCAUCUGAAAUUACAGCACCUGCUAAGGCAUAACUGUGAAACAUCACCGAAUUGUAACUUGACAAACCAGACAAAGAAGGCAAGAAACACAACCCAAACAGGUUCUCAGAUAAAACUUCAUUUUCAAACAAACAAAUCAACUCACGAGCUGUCAUUUGCUAGUUCAAUGGCUUCAUCUUCAGUACUAAGUGUUUUAACACAUAGGACAGGUCCAAAAACUUCCUCUCUCCAAAUUUGCAUGGAGGUAGUCACAUCACUUAUAAUGGUUGGUUCAAUGAAGAAACCCCUCUUCAAAUGCUGCCAUUAUUUGCAAAAUAAUAAAAUCUUAACUACAAUUCAGAAAGAAGCAACAGUGAUGUUGACAAUCAAAACAUUCUACCUGGGGACAACCCCCACCACACAAUACUGUUCCAUCUUCACUCGUAGCUGUUGAAAUAAACUCUGAUAACUUCUCAUACUGCAGCAAAUGAAAUACAUAGUAAAUAUUUUCACAUCUUAACUCCAUAAAAAAAUAAAAAUAAAAAUAAAAAUUAAUGAGGAAUAUUGUUAAUGCACAUAGGGAUCAUGUGAGACGUUCGUGAUCAUCAAACAAGAAAUUGUGGAACUUAGGCAGUCAGCACAGUAAGUUUUACAGGUGGAAAUAUCAAGAGUCAUAUAAUAGACAGUUUUUUCAUUAAAUUGAUUUAAAAAAUAGAUAAAAAAAAAAAAAUCAUCAAGCUCAUCAAAACCAUCCCACUUCCAGAUACUUAUAGCAAGACGAAGGAUCUUUUAGUAGCAGUCUUUCUAUACCAUAUAAUCCAUUACAGGAAAGUACAAACAGAUAUGUCGUCCUGAUAUAGUCCCAACCAAAGAUAUUCAAGUCAUGCUUGAAAUAUUGAAAGAAUCAUUAAGGCUGGGUAAUUCUUGACUUUCGAAUUUGUAACCACAAUGCUUAUUACCUCUACAUAAGCACGACCAGAUACAACACAUCACUGAUGGUCUAGUUAUACAAUGAAAUAAAUAUAAAAUUUAUAGUGUUCUAUUAAUGGGUGAAAUUAAUAGAAAGAAAAGCAUCAGGGGAAAAUAAUACAGAAUGAAGUAUGACCCCUCCCAGUUAUAAAAAAUUUCUACGAAUUUUGGAGCAAAAAAGAAACAAAAUAAAAGGAAGAGGAACUACAAGGAUUGAAUAUAGCAACUUACCUGCCCUCUGCUGACAACAGGACCAAGUUUACAACCUUCUUCCAAGGGAUCUGAAAUCUUGAUAUUUUUGGUCCAUUUCACAAGCUUGUCUAAAAAUUCUGCUGCAGUGCUUUCCUGGAGAUAAUUGUAGGAGAAUAUACCUCUUGAUAAGCAAGGGAAAAGAAAUCAACAAAAACUAGAUAAACUAAAUGCAAAGACAAAUGAAAGAUGAAACAACUUUUAUGCUCUUAGUUUGCUUUGUAGCAUGAAAGACUUUAUUCAUUAGAAAGGAUGCUGGAUAAAGUUUCACAAUCUUGUUUUCUAUAUGUACCUUUAAAAAAUUUAAUCCAUUAUUUAUUUCAGAAAGAAGGAUAUAGAUGUCAUUCUUCAUAAAAAUUCUAAUGGGUGUUAGGCUUCAAGCACAUGCAGGGAUUCAUAUGUGAGAGAGAGAUAGAGAGAGGGAAAGAGAGAUUGGUGGAGCCAUAAUUUUGCAGUGUAUAUCAUCCAUAUAUUAUGGGCUUACUUGAUUGCAAGAAAGGAACUGAAUCAAAGGAAGAAUUGGCAAGUGAUAAGCUAAUAUUCUCUGUUUGUUUCAUGCAGCAAGAAAUUGAAAGACACAACAAAAGAGGAGCCACUUCCCAGGGCAUGUCUUGCAGAGAUCAAUGUUUUAACCCAUUAUUUAUUUAUUCAUUUAUUUUUUAACAUUCUAAUACACUACCGAUAUACAAAGACUAUAGUUAAAACAAUUAAUAAUAACAGACAGAUUAUAGCUUGCAUGCCAUAUCCUGAUGCAUGCCUAAAUGUCAGCCCAAAAAAGCAGCAAAUAAGUUGAUAACAUGUUUAAAGUUUGUAGAUUUAAAUAGUCAUUGAAAUGUUUGGAUAGAACAUGAUUUUUGAUAUAAUACUUACUUGCACAAGAAGACGAGAAGUUGCACUACAUAUUUGGCCAUUUGUCCAAAAGCAACCAAAGGCAGUCCAUUCAGCAGCUUUUGCAUGAUAGAUCAGAGGGGGUAAAUAUUUAAUGAUACCAACAUCCCAAAAAACAUAUGUUUAUUCUUCUACUGUUCAAGGCUUGAAAUGCCAGAAAACUCUCAUCAUAUGAUUUAUUUAAAAUGAAAAUGAAAGAAGUUAUGAACUUAAAAUUGUACUACAGAAGGCACUAACCCUUGUCAAGGUCAACAUCCUCAAACACAAGAAUGGAACUCUUUCCACCAAGCUCCAAUGAAACAGGCUGCCAAUAAAGCACAACAAAUCAGAACGGUAAAGAAAAAAACGCCAGGGAAAAAGAAAAAAAGGAAAGAGAGAAAACCACAGGCAUUGCCAAUAAGUACAACAAUUAGAUUAUAAUUUAAACAUACCUUCACCAAUUGAGCUGCAGCUGUCAUGAUCUUGCUCCCAGUAACAGGGCUUCCAGUAAAUGAAAUCUGUUGAAAAUUAAUAUGUUUGCUGUUACAACAUGGCACACUUACCAUAAUUAUAUGGCAAUUGCCAAAUUUCCAGGAUAUAGAGAAACAUAUAGAUUCAUGCAGUUAUUAAUGAAUCUAAGUCAAUUGCACCUUGUCAACAUGGGGAUGAGAUGCCAAUGGUGCACCAGCUUCAGUGCCCAAUCCAGUUAUGGCAGACCCACCUCUAUACACACAUCAGCUAGCUCUAAACAAGUCCUGAAACAGACAUAUGUCAAUAGGAGUACAACAAGAGAAUCCAACACAACAGAACAAUGUCAAUAUAAACCAACAAGGACAUACACAGAAGCCAACUCGGAUGGCUUUAGUAUUGCUGCACAACCAGCAGCCAGGGCAGGAGCUACUUUCCAUGUAGCCAAUAGCAGCGGGUAAUUCCUGAAACAAAGAAGAAAGAAAAGACCAUUUGUUAGUUUAUUAGACAUGAAGAACCUUGACAGCAGUAAUCCAUGAGUAUCACAAACACAAAUCAUUCUUGUCAACAAUCAAACAACGAUUUUUCACUGUGCCACUGGUUCCAGCUUCCUAACAUUCAAGGUUGGUUGACUAAACUUUUAUUCAACCAUCCAAAUAAAAUCAAUAACAAAGUACAGAUUUUGGUUGAUUAAUCUUCUUGGGACUGCAUACCACCGUCCAAGUGUAUCAUUAGUCAUCAUAAAUCAUGGUUCAAAGUCGCGGUAUCGGUCAUUGACUCUGAGGGUCCCGAUGCGUAUCGGUCUCGGUGUAUCAGCCUGGUAUCGGGCGAUACGUAAAAUAAGCUAAUUAGAAAAUUCAAAAAAAUAUAAAAAUAUUAUGUAAAUCAUCAAAAAAAUAUAUACAACUAAAUAAGCUCAAAAAAUUAAUAAAAUAAAAUUGUCUCACAUUUAACAUUAUUUAAAUAAUUAUAAAAGUAUCUGCUCAAAGUUAUUUAUGAUAAUGCUAAUAAAAAGAAAGUUAUUUUAUUUCAAAUAUAAUAACAUUUUUACUAACAACACAUACAAUACAACAAUCAAUUCCAUGUUGAAUGACGAGGGGGUUCAAAAUCAUCAUCAUCAUCAUCAGUCCUAUGACGAGCAUACAAAUUGGGGUGGCAAUUCCCGUAGUGAGGAUAUGAUUGAAAGAGUGGUUCAUAACUCAAAUAUGGUGGGUGAGAUGAUUGGCUUGAUGAUCCAUAAUCAGGAAAAUAUGGUUUCAAAGGCUGUUCAGGAUCAACACCAGCUUGAUAGUAUCCAAAACCUCGAUAAGCAAUGCUACUGCUACUAGAAGAUUGAUCAUAUCCAUAUGAGUCACUAGCUCGUGUUCCAGUAUUUGAAUAUCCCUCUGGAUGCAUCAUUGGAAAUUGAUUAAAAUCAUUUCUACUAAAGGUACUGGAAGAGCUAUCACGGUCUCUAAAGUUGUGAUAUGAUUUAUCAUCUACCCCUUUGAAAUACGACCUUGAUCCUAUAUCCAAAUUUUGUAAGUGUUCAUCAAUACGGUGAUGAUUUGAUCUAUGAUAAUCAUGCCCACUAGAAUAAUCAUCAUCGCUGGGAAAUGUAGUUAGUCUUUUCAAAUGCUUUCGUUGUUCCCAUAUCCCUAGUCGAUAUCCAUGAUCUGUAUCUUGUGUGGCAUAGUAAUUUUCACCUCCUUGUGCCCAUGACAUGCCAGGAUCUACUUGACUAACAUAACCGCCCCCAGUGCUACCAUCUCCCCCAGUACCCUCACUAGUGCCACCAACUCCUCUAUUGCCCCCACUAGUGCCACCACCCCGCCUACUGCCCCUAUUGUCACCAUCAUCACUACUAGAACUUGAAGAAAUUGUUCUAGAAGCCUUACCUUUACGAUGGGAAUCAAUAUCUCUUUCUCUACCUUCUUCAUUAGUGGGAAAACCUUUAUCCAACCAAUCCAAAUUAUCAGAUGAUAAAAUAGACUCUUCUCCUUCUCGUAUCCACUCAUCUAAUAUAUCAUCAUCAUUAAAGAUAUGAUUCAAAUCAAUUGGAUUGUAUAAAUCUUCAUUGCUUCGCUCUUGCAUCAAAUUCUUAACUCGAAGUCGCAUAUUGUAGUGCACAUAAACUAACUUAUGCAACUUUUUCACUGCCAAACGAUUGCGCAACUUUGUGUGAAUCAAUGACCAUGUGCUCCAAUUUCUUUGACAACCUGAUGAAGAACAAGUUUGGCUUAAAAUUUUAACAGCAAUCUUUUGUAGAUAUGGACCUUCGUCGCCAUAGUUGUUCCACCAUUCAGCUAUAAUAAAGAAAAUGCAUACUUAUUAAUCACUAUGAUAUAUUUAACAAAAAAUGAUGAUAACUUCUUAUUUGUAAUAGACAUAAAUGUAUUGAGUACCUGGAAGAGAUUGAUUUAUUGCUUUCUUUGUGAGUGCACUUCCAAAUUCUCCUUGGUCGUCAACAAAUAAUUUCACCUACAUCAUUAACAAUUUUUUUUUUGUUAAUGCACAUUACAUAUACAAAAUGCAUUAUAUAAAGGUCACAAACUAUUAUUAUACCUCGUUAAUAGCUUUUGCUUGUCUAUCCAAAUCUGGCUCUAAUCUCUUGAUAACCUUCUUUAAUCCAACUUUAAUUUCCGGAUGGUUGGAGAAAUGCUUUGAAUAUUGGAACAUUGGAUUUAAAAAAUAUGCUACCAUAAGUUAAAUAAUGAUCAGUUUAUAAUAAUUUGUACUUGAAAAAAUUAAUAAAAAAUAUAUAAAGAAUUUUUUUAUUUCCUGCAGCAUGCAAAUGUCUGUGCAAUUGACCUUCCCACCUUCUAUCAAUGACUUCCCAAUACUUUUCCCAUUGUUUGACCGAUGCCUUGAUAGUCAAUUUAGCUCUAUCCAUUGCUUCAUAAAUGAUUGAUAGUGUGGGUUUUUUAUCUUGAUCAACCAAUUUCAAUACUUUGACAAGAGGUUCCAUGAUGGUUUGAACUUCUCCGGCCUUCCUCCAAAAUCGAUCAAUUAAGAUAAGGUUGGAUACCUUAUCUCUUACACUUUUUCUGCUCCUAUCUUUAUUGAAUUCACGCCACUCAUUUGUUGUGCACAUUCUCUUCAAAUCAGCCUCAUAACAUAUAAGACUCUCAAGUGAAAUGAAUUCAGUGGCAAAACGGGUUAUUCCUGGCCUUAACAGAUCUCUAUCCUUGGUGAACACUUUCAUCAAAUUCACCACUUUCAAGCUAUUAUAAAUAAAUCAUGUGAUCAUCUUAGCUUGAUCUAAUGUCUCCUUAAUCUACUUCAUGCUUCCAAUAUCUUCAAGCAUUAAAUCAAUACAAUGGGCUGCACAAGGAGACCAAAACAAAUGCUUUCGCUUCUCCAUCAACAACAUACCGGCUGCUUUAAAACUUGCCUCAUUAUCAGUGACUACUUAAACAACAUUUUCCUCCCCAACCUUCUCUACAACUUUAUCCACAAGGGAAAAGAUGUAGUCUGCUGUCUUAGGUAUGUUGGUAGUGUCAACUGAAGAAUGGUAUAUCAUACUUCUAUCACAAUAAAUCAUGAAAUUGAUGAUAGGCUUUCUAGUCCUAGAACUCCAACCAUCACACAUGAUUGUGCACCCAUAUAUAGGUCAUUUAGCCUUCAAUGUUUUUAUGUAUACCUCAAGUUCUUUCACCUCCUCUUCCAAAUAUGUAUUUCCAAUUUGGUAUCCCGUGGGACCCUUGAUGCAUGGACCUACUUUUGUUAUGGUAUCAAUCAUUGAUUUAUAGUAAGGCCCACUAUCAGCUGCAUUAAAGGGUAUUGCAUUAAAGAGAAAUAAUUUAGAAAUAGCUUUACCCACUUUCUUCACGCCUUCAGUAGAAAACAAGCUUUUUAUUGAUUUAUGCUUUGAUGGGAAUAUGUAGAGAUCAAUUCCUUUUAGAGGUAUGCUAGCUCCUUCUUUUACACUGAAACUACGUGUCAGUCCGCGCUUAAUCCUAACAUUAGAAGGUUGUGAGGAACUACCACCUUGCUGAUGCUCUUGUCCACCUUCUUAAAAAAUUUGACGACUUUCUUUCAUUGCUUGUUUCAUUUGUCUUCUUUCAAAAUCAGCCAUAGCAACUUCCUCAAUGUCAUCAUCAGAAUCACCCUCAUCAAUUUCAUAGAAAUUAUCUCUAUUUAAGGAAUUCAAAAGUCGUUCUUUUUUUUUUCUUUAACUGUGCUUUUUCUUUUAAAGUAUUAGACAUAUAUUGUCUAACACUAUGUGACACUUCUACCGAUACACGUGGACAUCCUUCCACUUGUCCAGAUAUAUGUGUAAUGUGUUGCUUUAAUCUUGUUAUAUCGUCAUGUAUAACUUUCCCACAAUAUUUACACUUUGUGGUUCUUCUACUACCACCAACAUGUUCUGCAUGCUCCCAACCAAUAUCAUGUUUUGAAGCCAUUUUGAAAUUUUAACCUAACCAUGUAUAAACACAUUUAUAUAAGAAUUAUAAUAUUCAAUUUUCCACUCACUUAUAUGUUUCAUAUUGUUGCCAUAUAAAAAUAAAUUGUACUAAAAAAACAAUAAACACUAUCUCACAUAAGUUCAUCAUAUUUUGUUUUCCACUUAUUUAUAUGUUUUUUAAAUUAAAAUCAAUGUAAUUGACCAUGUAAAUGCAUACCCUUCAUUCCGUAUUAUUAAAUCAUUUAUGAUUAUUUGAAGAAAAAAUUUUCAAUAAUGAUUAAUUUUGUAUAGUAAUUUAAUUUUGCAAUAUAGUAUUAAUGUAAUUGAGUAAUAGGGAAAUUUUUUGUCACUAAUAUAAUGUAAAUUUAUUUAUACUAAUAGAAAAUUGAGUGAUAUUUUUAAAGUAUUCAAGACAAUUUCUUGUACAUUAUAUUUUUUAAAAUUUUAAAAUUCAUGAAAUAAUUUAAAAUUAUUAAUUAUGUCUUAUUUAGUAUUUGAAAAGAAAUAAUAGAUUAUAUAUAGCAACAUAUUAAACCAUAUAUAAAGAUUAUAUAUAUUAAUUUGAAAAGGAAUAACAUAUUAUAUAUAUGAUAUUAAAUAAAAUUAUAGGUUAAUUUUAUUUUAUUUUUAUAAAUAAAAAAAAACUAUUUUAGCAUAUGCUAGAAACAUAAAAAUAUUAACAUCUUUAUCAUUUUUUGGGUUAAAAAUUAAUAAUAAAUAUUUAAACUAAUAAUUUUUCAUAAUAUUUUAUUUAAAUUGAAUAAUUAAUAAAGUUUAACUUUUUAAAAAUGAGUCAAAAUUUUCAUUCCAUGUACUCAUUUAGAAUUGAAUUAUCAACAUAAUAUUAUAAUAAAAAAAUUAUUUUAUAUGUAAUUAAUUAGAUUGGUUUUUUAAUUUCAAAAUUAUUUUUAAAAAUUAAAAAAUUCAUGAAAUAAUUUAAAAUUAUUAAUUAUGUCUUAUUUAGUAUUUGAAAAGAAAUAAUAGAUUAUAUAUAGCAACAAAUCAAACCAUAUAUAAAGAUUAUAUAUAUAUAUUAAUUUGAAAAGGAAUAACAUAUUAUAUAUAUGAUAUUAAAUAAAAUUAUAGGUUAAUUUUAUUUUAUUUUUAUAAAAAAAAAAAACUAUUUUAGCAUAUGUUAGAAACAUAAAAAUAUUAACAUCUUUAUCAUUUUUUGGGUUAAAAAUUAAUAAUAAAUAUUUAAACUAAUAAUUUUUCAUAAUAUUUUAUUUAAAUUGAAUAAUUAAUAAAAUUUAACUUUUUAAAAAUGAGUCAAAUUUUUCAUUCCAUGUACUCAUUUAGAAUUGAAUUAUCAACAUAAUAUUAUAAAAAAAAAUUAUUUUAUAUGUAAUUAAUUAGAUUGGUUUUUUAAUUUCAAAAUUAUUUUUAAAAAUUAAAAAAUUCAUGAAAUAAUUUAAAAUUAUUAAUUAUAUCUUAUUUAGUUUAUAAGAUAUAUGGCAACAAUAUUUGAAAAUGAAUAACAAAUUAUAUAUAGCAACAAUAUUCAAUUAUAUAUAGAGAUUACAUAUAUUAAAUUGAAAAGGAAUAAUAUAUCAUAUAAAUUAGGAACACUUGACUUCCAUUAAGAUUUGCAGGACUAAAUCCUAUUAAAUCAAGUAAUAAAAGUAUUAAAAGAUUUCGCUAUCUGCUUCUUCUAACCUAUUCUAUGAUUGAAUUAAAUUAUUCAAUAUAAGUCUACACUAAACUAAAAAACACACCACAUUAAUUGUGGUUUCAAGUUUUCUAACACGACCCAAUCAAGAGGGUAUAAGAGAGCAGCAAACUAAUGUAGGCAUUAAUACUCCACUGAGUUUAUGAGGUGCUUAUUUCAAAUGAAUUCAUAUAUUUAUUUGUUACCUACCAGUCAAACUCCCUGCCCAGGCUGCCCAAGCUGCCCUAACCCCCUGCCCUCUGUUCCUUCUUCUUCCCCAGCAACACCGCGUUUUGUCUCUAUCUUCUUCUUAUUCCCCAAAACAGUAACAGCCCCUACACAGCAACACCACGAAGACGUUUUGCCCUCUUCUUCUUCUUCCCCAACACAGCAACACCACGAAGAUGCUCUGAUGCACUGAUGCAACCCUAUGUCUUCUUCCCCAAACCACGAAGACGCAGUCUCUCGCUCUCAGACGAUUGGACCACGAUCUGCUACCUUCCACCAGGCACCGCACCAAAGAUGAAGAUUAUAGACUCCGACAAUGGUGGAUUUCUUCAACCGAGCCUCUUUUUAAAGGUUUUUGAAAGGGUCACGGACUCACAGGUUUAUUUCAAAUCUUCACGGGUUUUUUUUAAAUUUUCAUAGGUUUCAUAGGUUUUCUUUUGUAGAGGAAUAUCUGAUUUCUCUAAAAAAUCAAGAUUUGUUGUGGGGCUUUUUGCAGAGAAUCUAUUGAAUUUUUUUCCCCGAGUUGACCGAGUUAACUCGGAAUAUCGGUCGACUCAUCCGAGUCCAUCCGAUUCAAGCCGAAUCUAGGUAUCUGGUAUCGGACUCGUCGCGGUCCACUUCAAGGCGGAUACGACUCAGUCGAUUUUUUGAACGUUGUCAUAAAUUCACAAUAUCAAGAAGCAAGUUAGACUGUUACCUAAUUUAAAUGUGCGACAUCUAUGAUGAGUUGCAAUAAGUACAAAGCAUUUGUAGGAAUGCUCAGAUCAAAGAUUAAUACCCAGAAGAUGUCAAAUUACCCAAAACAAUUCAUUUUUUCAAUUUUGUUAUUGAUGAAAAAAUAUAAUGUUCUGCACAAUACCAAGUAAAUGAAAAACAAACCAUGUGCAUGAAGAUCAUAUGAAGUUCAAAACAAGUAUCAAAGUUAAGAACUUUUAAGUGGAAAUCAAAUUGAUUGAUUACACAUGUAAAUUGCACUCUUUUCACUUAUACAAGAAAACAAUUAAGGAAAUAGUAAAGAUGUGCUUGGCCUAACAAACGACCUGCAUUAACUAACAAAGUGAUACAACAAAAAAAGAUGAAAAAGCAAAGAAAGAUAACAUAGAUGAUCAACAAAGAAAUCAAUAAGAAAAAUACCAUGGUGUAAUCAAUCCAACAACACCAACGGGCUCCUUAAAAACAUGUCACUUAAAUGUCUCCAUAGGAAGUGGCAAUGGAGCCUUUUUCUAUGCAUCUAAAGCUUCUGCAUGGUCUGCAAAGUAUUCAAAACAAGAAGCAACAUCAUCCUGCACAACAUUACCAAGGAUGUAAGACAAUGUACAGGAUAGAUAACUUGAAAAAACACUAUAGGUCCUCAAACAUACAAUAUCCCAUGUUGUUUCAUCCAGAGGUUUUCCACUAUCAAUUGCCUCGAGUUUGGCCAAUUCAGACUUUCUCUCUCUUAUCUGCAUGCAAAUGAAAAGGCAAGAACGCAUAAUCAGCCUUGAGAUUGUACUUUACUUUCAAAUUCUUUCCAGCAUCCUGCCUACCAUCAAUGGGACUACCCCAAGAAAAUCUCGCACCUAAAUGAAAACCAAGUAGUUUGUAUUCAAAUUGAUCAGCAGCGCACAAAUUUGGAUACCUUGGCAGCAAUGGCACGCAAAUACUUAGCACGAACAACACCAGGCGCGUUAACCCAAUUUGCCUCCUUAUUCCUGGCAAAGGCUCUUCGGGCAGCAUCCACAGCAAGCUCCACAUCUUCACCGGUGGCCGCCGGAAUAUCCCCUGACACAGUUCCACAAAGCCUAACAUUCAAUUUCACUAACACCUCCUUUAAAUGCUGAAGAAAGAACAAAAGAAAAACAAAAAAAAAAAAAAAGAAACUUUUGGAUGUUGUGUUGGGCUUUGUGGAGCCUAGUUUUGUUUGAUCCAGUUUGACGACUCGACCCAAAUAACAUUGCAUGACUUUUUAAUGAGAGAUUUAUUGAGGCAUGUUAGGCACGUUUAGCCCACUGUGGAACCACCUUUUGUAAUUAGGGUUUUUGAGUGUGGUGUUGUUGUCGUGUUAUAUAUAGAGAAAAAACAUUGUAGUCGUAGAGGUUAUACUCUGUAUUCUUCCUUGAUAAUAGUGAUAUCCUUGCAACUCCGUGGACGUAGGCAUAUUGCCAAACCACGUAAAUACUGUCUUGUGCGUGUGAUUUUUUUUUUUUUUUUUUUUUACGUGUGUUUUUCUUUAUUUUUUGUUUCUCAGAGGUUAGGAAUUCUGUUUAAUUCCCUACAACUGGUAUCAGAGCCUAGGGUUAGGUUUGAGUGGGAGCAAUGAUAGAUGAAGCUGGAAAAGCGUCUGGAAUAGAAAAGUUUGAUGGCACUGACUUUGCGUAUUGAAGGAUGCAGAUUUAAGAUUAUCUCUAUGGGAGGAAAUUGCAUCUGCCUCUUUUGGGAAUAAAACCUGAGAGUAUGAAGGCUGAGGAAUGGGCGCUUCUUGACAGACAGGUUCUAGGAGUUAUUAGGUUAACUCUGUCUAGGUCUGUUGCACAUAAUGUUGUAAAGGAAAAGACCACAGCAAAUUUGAUGAAGGCUUUUUCCGGUAUGUAUGAAAAAUCGUCCGCAAACAAUAAGGUGCAUUUGAUGAAGAAAUCGUUUAAUUUGAAGAUGGCAGAGAAUGCAUCAAUAGCACAACAUCUGAAUGAAUUUAAUACAAUCACAAAUCAAUUGUCGUCUGUGGAAAUUGAUUUUGAUGAUGAGAUUCGUGCUAUGAUCGUCUUACCUUUUUUGCCAAACAGUUGGGAGACAAUGAGGAUGACAGUAAGCAAUUCUACAGGAAAGGAAAAACUCAAGUACAAUGAUAUACGAGAUUUAAUUAUGGCUGAGGAGAUUCGUCGAAGAGAUGCAGGUGAAACCUUAAGAUCUGGUUCUACCCUAAACCUUGAGACAACAGGCAAAGAUAAUGACAGAAAUUCAAAUCGGGGUAGAUCAAAUUCCAGAAAUUCUAAUUGGAACAGAAGCAAAUCUAGAUCAGGCCAACAAGUACAAUGCUGGAAUUGUGGGAAAACAGGUCACUUUAAAAGGCAAUGCAAAAGCCCUAAGAAGAAGAAUGAAGAUGAUUCUGCUAAUGUUGUAACAGAAAAGGUACAUGAUGCAUUACUUCUUGUAGUAGACAGUCCACUUGAUGAUUGGGUUUUGGAUUCAGGAGCUUCGUUUCAUACCACUCCACACCGAGAAAUCAUACAGAAUUAUGUUGCAGGUGAUUUUGGUAAGGUGUAUUUGGCUGAUGGUUCAACCUUGGAUGUUGUAGGUAUAGGAGACGUCCGGAUAUCGUUGCCCAAUAGGUCUGUUUGGUUACUGGAGAAGGUUCGACAUAUUCCUGACCUGAGGAGGAAUUUGAUUUCUGUUGGACAACUUGAUAAUGAAAGACAUGCAAUACUAUUUGUUGGUGGUACUUGGAAGGUUACAAAGGGAGCUAGGGUAUUGGCUCGUGGAAAGAAGACUGGUACUUUGUAUAUGACCUCAUGUCCAAGAGACACAAUUGCAGUUGUUGAUGCAAGUAUUGAUACAAGCCUAUGGCACCGUAGACUUGGUCACAGGGAUGAAGAUGUUGUUGUUAAAAGGAAAACUACUAGAAUUGAAGUCCAUUGAUUUUGACAUGUGUGAAAGUUGCAUCUUAGGAAAGCAAAAAAAGGUAAGCUUCUUGAAAAUUGGUAGGACACCAAAGGCUGAAAAAUUGGAACUAGUACACACUAAUUUGUAGAGGCCUUCUCCGGUUGCAUUUCUCAGAGGUUCAAGGUACUACAUCACUUUUAUUGAUGACUCAAGGAGAAAGGUAUAGGUUUAUUUUCUGAAAAAUAAAUCUGAUGUAUUUGAAACUUUUAAGAAGUGGAAGGCCAUGGUUGAGACAGAAACAGGUUUGAAAGUAAAAUGUUUAAGCUCAGAUAAUGGAGGAGAAUACAUAGAUGGAGGGUUCAGUGAGUAUUGUACUGCACAGGGAUUUAGGAUGGAGAAGAUCAUUCCUAGGACACCACAGUAGAAUGGUGUGGCUGAGCGCAUGAACAGAACUCUCAAUGAGCGUGCUAGAAGUAUGAGGUUGCAUGUUGGACUAUCAAAAUUUUUUUGGUCUGAUGCUAUUAGCACUACAACUUACCUGAUAAAUCGAGGACCAUCAGUUCCCAUGGAGUUCAGACUUCCUGAUGAGGUUUGGAGCGGUAAAGAGGUGAAGUUUCACAUUUAAAAGUUUUUGGUUGUAUUUCUUAUGUUCAUAUUGAUUCUGAUGCUCGUAGUAAAUUUGAUGCAAAGUCAAAAAUAUGUUUUUUCAUUGGCUAUGGUGAUGAGAAAUUUUGCUAUAGGUUUUGGGAUGAACAAAACAGGAAAAUCAUUAGAAGUAAAAAUGUGAUAUUUAAUGAACAGGUUAUGUACAAGGACAGGUCAACUAUAGUGUCAGAUGUUAUAGAGAUAGAUCAAAAGAAAUCUGAGUUUGUCGACUUAGACGAAUUGACUGAAAGUACUGUCCAAAAAGGGGGUGAAGAAGAUAAGGAGAAUGUAAAUUCAUAGGUAGAUCUGAGUACACCUGUAGUUGAAGUUCGCAGAUCUUCUAGGAACAUUAGACCUCCGCAGCGUUAUUCACCUAUUUUAAAUUAUCUCCUGUUGACUGAUUGUGGUGAGCCAAAGUGUUAUGAUGAAGCCUUGCAAGAUGAGAAUUCAAGCAAGUGGGAGUUAGCCAUGAAGGAUGAGAUGGAUUCCUUGUUGGGGAAUCAAACAUGGGAACUGACUGAAUUGCUAGUAGGAAAGAAGGCUUUGCACAACAAGUAGGUAUACAUAAUAAAGAAUGAGCAUGAUGGUAGCAAACGUUACAAAGCCAGUUUAGUUGUUAAAAGGUUCCAGCAGAAGGAGGGCAUUGACUAUACAGAGAUAUUUUCUCCAGUUGUGAAGAUGUCAACAAUCAGACUUGUACUGGGAAUGGUAGCUGUAGAAAACUUACAUCUUGAGCAGUUAGAUGUGAAGACAACAUUUCUUCAUGGUGACUUAGAAGAAGACCUUUACAUGAUUCAGCCAGAAGGUUCAGGGACAAGAGAAUCUAGUCUGCAAACUAAGAAAGAGCUUGUAUGGCCUUAAACAAGCUCCUAGACAGUGGUACAAAAAGUUUGACAGUUUUAUGCAUAGAAUUGGGUUCAAGAGAUGUGAAGUUGAUCACUGUUGCUAUGUUAAGUCUUUUGACAAUUCUUACAUCAUAUUACUGUUGUAUGUGGAUGAUAUGCUUAUUGUAGGGUUUGACAUUGAGGAGAAUAAUAAUCUGAAGAAGCAAUUGUCCAAAAAGUUUGCAAUGAAGGAUUUGGGAGCUGCAAAGCAAAUCCUUGGUAUGAGAAUCAUUUAAGACAAGACUAAUGGUACAUUGAAGCUUUCACAGUCAGAGUAUGUGAAGAAAGUUCUCAGCUGAUUCAACAUGAAUGAAGCUAAACCAGUGAGCACACCCUUAGGAAGUCAUUUCAAACUAAGCAAAGAACAGUCACCGAAGACAGAAGAAGAAAUGGACCAUAUGAGCAAGGUGCCCUAUGCCUCAGCUAUUAGCAGCUUGAUGUAUGCUAUGGUGUGUACAAGGCCAGACAUUGCACGUGCAGUGGGAGUUGUGAGCAGAUUCAUGAGUAGGCCUGGAAAGCAGCAUCGGGAGGCAGUCAAGUGGAUUCUAAGAUAUCUAAAGGGUUCAUUAGAUACAUGUUUUUGCUUCACAAGUGCAAGUUUGAAACUGCAGGGUUAUGUAGAUGCUGAUUUUGUUGGUGAUAUUGAUAGUAGAAAGAGUACUACUAGGUUUGUUUUUACUCUAGGUGGUAUAGCUAUAUCAUGGGCCUCAAAUCUACAGAAGAUUGUUACUUUGUCUACUACAGAAGCUGAUUAUGUUGCAGCAACUAAAGCUGGAAAGGAGAUGAUUUGGCUACAUGUUUCUUAGAUGAAUUGGGUAAGAAGCAGGAGAUGGGCAUUCUACACAGUGACAGUCAGAGUACAAUUUUUCUUGCCAAAAAUUCGAUUUUUCAUUUAAAGUCGAAGCAUAUACAAACAAAAUACCAUUUUAUCUGUUACCUUGUUGAAGAUAAACUGGUAAUACUUGAGAAGAUUUGUGGAUCUAAGAACCCGACAGACAUGCUGACUAAGGGUGUCACUAUUGAGAAAUUGAAGUUGUGCGCAGCUUCAAUUGGUCUUCUAGCUUGAGGACAAGAGGAUGAGUUGCAAGGAUGAGGGAUUGUUUCUUGGAUCCAAGUGGGAGAUUUGUUGGGCUUUGUGGAACCUAGUUUUGUUUGAUCCGAUUUGACGACCCGACCCAAAUAAUAUUGCAUGGCUUUUUAAUGGGAGAUUUACUAAGGCCUGUUGGGCCUGUUUAGCCCAUUAUGGAACCACAUUUUGUAACUAGGGUUUUUUAGUGUGGUGUUGUUGUCGUGUUAUAUAUAGAGAAAAAACAUUGUAGUCGCAGAGGUUGUACUCUGUAUUCUUCCCUGAUAAUAGUGAUAUCCCUACAACUCCGUAGACGUAGGCAUAUUGCCGAACCACAUAAAUACUGUAUUGUGUGUGUGAUUGUUUUUCUUUGGCGUGUGUUUUUCUUUAUUUUUUGUUUCUCACAGGUUGGGAAUUCAGUUUAAUUCCCUACAUGUUGCAUAGAAACCCCACUCAGCUACAAAAGAACUAGUCCAACUGUGCCUAGUAAACCAUAUGUUCUAGUUCACUAAAGCUUUAGAAAACGAAAAAAAAAAAAAAAAAAACCAAUAUCCAAAUUUUCAGUCCCCUUGCUCUCCCCACAUCCUCCCAGCAACCAAAUAAAGAAAUAAUGGAAGACCCACCCACCAAAAACUUCGAUCAUCGAUCACAGAGAUAAUAAUCACAUAAAUGAACGAUCAAUCACACGAAAACAAAAUUAAAUAAGUCGUGAGGACUGAAUCCAUUCAAAGCAUACACAUAAUUCAUACACCAAAAAAUAGAGAGAAAAACAACCGAUUAUUUGAUCAAUGGCGGGAUUGACGAUGGGGAUGCACCCCUUCUUGAUGGGUUCGACCCAUUCGCCGUCGAUAAAGAGUUGCUAACAUGGUAUUUUAGUUUCCAUUUCUGCCCACUUAUCUGAUAUAUGCGCCUUUGUCGACAGUCCCCUUUCGACUUCAGAAGUUCAGAUAGUCUCCAUUUUCCUUUUCUUCUUCCUUCUUUCUUCUCCUUCCUAUGUCCUAAAAAUAUCGACCAUUCAGUUCCAAAAAACAAAGAAACUACACUCCAAAUUUGAAAAAAAAAAAAUUAAUUUUUGUAAACAUUUUUGUUAUUUCAUUUUUUCAACAUCCUUGUUUUGGAAUAUUUUUUUCACAAAAAUCAACUUUCCAUGUAUUAUUUGAAAACAAAUUAGGAAAUAGUACUUUAAACUUUCACCUUUAUGUACAAAGUAUACUAUUUUUGAAACAUACUCCUCUUUCAUGCACCUAUAGUGUUUUUCCAAAAAUUGCCUUUUCAUUCACUUUGUAAGGUGCUCCAUUUUUAUUUUCAUUUUUUUUUUUUUUGUCUUUCAUUAAAAAUAAGUAUUAUAUUUCAAUAUUUAUACAAAUCUUAGAGUCUCAUUUGAUUGUGUUUUUUAAAAAUGUUUUUACUUGAAAAAUAUUUUUUUUUUCAAAAAAAAAGGUAUUUGAUAAUAUUUUUAAAUUUUUUAAAAAUUACUUAUAUAUAUAUAUAUAUAUAUAUAUAUAUAUAUAUAUAUAUAUAUAUAUAUAUAUAUAUGUAGAUGUAUGUAUACAUUUUUUUUUGGAUAUUACAAAAAUCGUCAUUAUUAGUAAAAAUUAUUUUUAUUCACUCAAUGAGUAUUGUUUUAUUUCCAUAUUAAAAAAGAGAAUUAUCAUUUUAUAAAAUAUAAUUAUUGAUAUUUAACCAAAAAAAAAAUUGGUCUAUGACUUUAUUAAUGAUAUUAUAAUUUUAACAAAAUAAUAUGUGAUUUAUGCUUCUUCUAUUUAAUAUUCAUAAUUAAAAAAAUUUAGCACAACUAUAUUAUUUUAAAAAAAUUAUUAUCCAUUCAUUUUAUAUGUAUUCCUUGUAGUUUGUGUAAUAUUAUUAUUUAUUUGAAAAUAAAUUCAAUGUAUUAAAAUAUUAUAAUAUACUAUUAAGAAUUUUUAAAAUUAUUAUUAAUUUUUUUUAUGAAAAAUAUAAUAUUAAUAUUUAUUUAAAUUGACUAUAAGAUAUUUAUAAAAAAAAAAAUGAAAGUACUUGCAUAUUGCAUUCAGAAGUUGGAUUUGUAUAGUGCCUGAAAAGAGUAAUUUAAUUUUGAAAUCAUACUUAUGGGAAAAACAAUUUGAAAAAAAAGAUACUAUGCAAGUGCAUAUUAUAAGAAGGAAAUUUUCUUUUAAAUCUAUUCUAUAUAUAGAAAAUUUUGCUUUAUAUAGAAUUUCACACAUAUCAUAUGAUAUUUUUCACAACUAGUAUUCAAUUUAUUUUUUAGUUAUUUCCUUAGUCGGUGUUUGACAAACCAAUUUAUAACUUAAAGUGACUUAAUAACUUAAUUUAAGUCAUUAAAUAGUGUGACUUAAAGUAAAAAAUUAUUUUAAUUAAUAAGUAAAAACAAUUAACUUAUUCUUAAGUUCAUAUUUUUAUUUUACUUUUUUAUCCCUGUCCCAAUUUACUUUUAAGAUCUCUUUUAUUAUUCCAUGACAUUGUAACUUGACCUUGUUUACUUUAGUUAUAAUUGAUGAAGAUAAAUACGUUAAUUUAAUGAUUUACAAUAAAUUUUAAACUAAUUUUAUCAAGUAUUAAGGUAAAAAUUAAGUAAUGAAUUUUAAAUCAACAAUUUAAAUAUAAUUUAACUUAAAAAUCAAUUUAAGUAAUUAAGUAAUAAAUAUUAAGUUACCAAACAUUCCCUUAUUAUCUUACUUUUUUCCCAUUUAUGCUAAAUAUUGUAAUGGUAUUAUUAAAUUUAUCUUUUAAUUAUUCACUCAUGAUUAUCAAUAAAUUAUAUUUUUAAAUUUCAUAUUUAUAAUAAAUUUUGAAAAUUUAGAUUCCUUAUCUAUAUUAAUUACUAAAAAGUUAGACUUAGGAAAAAUGAGACUCAAGUACACAUAUGGAAAAUGGAAGAUAAUGGGAACACCAUUAAUUAUUUUUUUCAUUAUUUGUUAAUUUUAGUGUAAUUUUAAAUAUAUAAAAUAUUUAUUUUCCCUAUUUUUAUAUACCAUAUGAAAAUCUUCCUUUCUUAUUCCUCCUCUCCCAUUUUUUUUUCUUUCUAAAGAUCAUUUUAUUCUUCUUUUCUUUUUUUAAAAUUACUAUAUAUAUGGACUUUUAAUUUUGAUUUUUUUUUUUGGUUUUUUCCAUAAUUAUGAUGAAUUCAAUAAAUAAAUUUUACCAUAUUUUUAUUUAUUCACCUAUUUAUUUAUAAAUUAAUUUUCUUAUUAUAGACUUAUUAAACUUUAGCUUAUUUAGCAAACACGCAAAGCAUAUGAUUUCUUCCCUAAAAUAACCUUAUACAUAUUUACUAUAUUUUUGUACAUUCUUUCCCCUAAAAUUCCAUUUCACAAAUUAAAAAACUUCGUAACAUAUUCUACGUUAUGCAUUAUAUAUGUCCAUAGAAGUUAAGAGCUAGUUUUACGGUGUGAUUUAAAAACAGUUUUCUAUUUUUAAAAAUAGAAAUUUUUUUUUUUUAAAUACAAACCCAUUUAAUCAUAUUUUUUAAAAUUUGUUUCUAAAUUAUUUUUGACAAUUUUCAAAAAUAAGUUGGAAAAAACAUGACAAGCCUUAAAUUUCUAAUAUGAGCUUUAAAAUCUUAUAUUUCCAUAUUUAUCUCAACAUUUCUCUUUUCGUAUUUCUCUAAUAUAUGUUAUUGGUUUUUACUUUUUAUAACAAAUUUCAAAUAUUCUCUUUCUAUAUAUUUUUUUCAAUAUAUCAACUAAGGCGGAUUGGGGUAGGUUAAAAGGUUCAGUCAUGCCGUGGCCAACCCACCCUCUUGCAAGUUCCUAACCCAUGCCAUACCAUACCCAACUCGUUGGGAAAUUCCUAACACGUGCCAAAUGAUAGGCAAAUUUAGGUUGUGUUUGGCUUCACAUUUUCAAAAUAAAAAAUUAAAAAUAAUUUAUGUAAAAUUAAAAAUCUAUAAAAAUAAUAUAGAUUUUAUGAGAGGGUUUUAAAAUCAUUACUUUUUGUAUGUCUUGAAAGAUAAUAAUUAUUAUUUUAUAUAAAAGUUAUAUAAAUUAUGUGGACCGUGAUGUCCUAACCAAUUUAUGUGUAACCUCAAUUAAUCUCAUACGAUCUAAAGUUAACGAUCGGAUAAACCUCUAGUGGUCCUAAGGGGAUUCGAAAUGAUCAUUAGAGAGCAAAUCUAAGCUCGGACCAACUAAGUUACCCUAUGACUUAUUAUGUCGAAUAUUUAUUAAGUUAUUUUAAAAUAACAUCAUCCCAAUAUUUGAUGAAUUCAGAAAACUUUCCGAUCAAAUUUGUAAUAGGAAAGGGAGGAAUCUACUUAGGAAGACAAUACAACUUUGGAAAGAAAUGGUAAACGAGAAGCAUAAAAUCAUAUUAAAAUCCUGCAAGUUCUGAACAUUCUGCACAAACGAAUCAAUUAAAAAGACCAACGGCAAAUCAAGUGAUCAAAGAUUGAAUAAAUGAAGAGUCAGUCGUCCGUCCUUCAUCACUACUUAUGGGUGGUCUGAUGGUACUUCUCUUUGAUCCACUGAAGGCCAACUGAGGAUCCUGCCUUCACCUUCUUCAGCCCAUGUGAAGCCGCUACUUUCGUCUUCCCCAGCCCUUCUCCCACCUUCUUCCCAUAUUUAGAGGCUGCUCCGCCUCCACUCUUGCCCUUCUUGUCUGCUGCUGGGUCCGGGUUGUAGUCCCACUGAUCGGCCCAUGUGUUCUCCAUCUCCACACCUUAAGAAUUAAGCUUUGCUUCGCCAAACGAACUGAAAAGCCUUUUCAGAAAAGGAGAAAUAUGAAGAGAGAUUGUAAGGAAUUCUAUUACGUCUUUCCUUAGGUUAAUAUGCCAUGCCUUUUAUAGGGAAGGGUCCUGGUUUAAGGAGUCAAGAAUGUCACAAUUGUCUGAUUCAACACGAGUGGAUGGGGGCAUAUAACAAGUCAAAGUAAUUAUUUUUGAAAGGACCCAAAUACCCUUACCCAUUGGCAUUUGAUUAGGUCUAUUGGCAAUUAGCUGUCACAUAUACAGAGGAUAGGAUCAUGAAUUCAUUUAAGCGCGUCUGCCGUCAGGUUCUGGAACAAUCCGGACGGCUGUUGAUUGUCAAAGCCUUGCGCCCAGCGCCCAUCUCUUUAUAUUAGGCAACAUAGGAAUUAUUAGAAAGAAGGAAUUCCUUGGCAGCCACGCGACCACCCCAAACCUUUACCAAGAACUUUCCUGACCCAUCUACGAGUACAUUAGCAAAUCCGUUAAGAAAAGGGAGAACUGUGGAUGGACCCGUUCUAGCAGAAUGGUACGUUUGGAAAAGCAUUUCAAAGUUAGUCAAACAUUUAGAAGUUCAUUCGAUUUGUUAUUUUACAAAGCCAGUCACUCAGAGAUCGUAAAUCUCAGGAUCCUGCAAAUAUUUGUUGUAGAGCCGUCGGGAUGUGUCAAUAGCAUUUCCUGAGCUUCUCACCGGGUAAGCAUUCCUGCUGUUUUGCCAAUCAUUUGUGAGCUUGAUCCAUUCCCUCCUCCAAUCUUUCAGAGCAAAUUCAUUGCCAGUCUCCAAACUUUCUAAUAAAUAUUUGAAAUAUAUGGCUGCUCGGGGACCAUAGUAAUCUCGUAACAGUCCACUCCAGUACUUGUUUCCUAGAACAAAUGCAAGAAAUUAUGACACCAUCAGUGAACAGUAAUACCAGUGUGCUACAUGGAAGAAUGGUGGGAUGUAAAAAUGCAGGGCAAAGGGUGCUAGUAUGGUUGCAACUUAGACAGAUAGGAUCCCAUGCUUAAUUUAAGCUCAACCCAAAUUGGAAAACAAUUAACCAAAGUCUAAUCCAACUUGAUUGGAUUGAAAUCAAGUUAAUUGGAUUGUAUGAUUCAAAUUUUAUUUAUAAUAUUUUUUAAUAACUUUUUAAAAUACAUUUACCCCAAGUUUUAAAUAAUAAAUGUAAUAAAAUUUCAUGAUAAUAAUAAAGAAAUAAAUUUACAUAUCUUUCAAGUAAAAAGUAUAUUAUAAUUAUAAUUUUAUAUAUUUUUAAAGAAUUAAAAAAAAUUAUUAUAUAAGAUAAUAUAUAUUAUAAUUUAUGAAUAUAUUAAUCGGUUCGAAUUGGGCUCGGAUUGUCCCAACUUUCAUCCAGGCUCAACUCAAAUUGAGUUCGGAUCGGAAAAACUUCAACACUACUGAAUUACGCCUCUAGGUGGUAGGCAUGGAUGAGAGGGUACAGGAUGCAGUUAAGAUACUCCCCCGACUUCAAUUAGAUAUUGGGUAAUUAUACUGCAUGCACCUAAUGGGCUAGUCCGAGCUCUAUAGAACUGUAUCUCAAGGAAAAUUGGCAACAAUUGGUACUAUGGCUUAAUGCAUCAUCCUACCAUAAUCCCGAAGAAGACUUGCUUCAUCCUCUGUGUUGUCGAACCACAUCGUAAUUUGAGUCCUCGCGUUCCAUUCAAACUGCAUGUUGGACAACAUCUGUAAAUGGCCAUGUUAAUUCAAAUUUAAUUACAGUGUGCGCUUGACGAUUUCUCACCUGUAUUUCUUGUUGUUCAUCUUGGGCUAGUUGCUUGGCACUUUCUAACCAAGGUCCUAGAAGAAACCCGUCAUGGCAAGCUAAGAGAGUGUCCAUAUCUUCCACAAGUUCUAGAAACUUCUGGCUGUGGCAAGCAGCUCCGCGGACAUCAUUUAGCUGAUAGGCUUCUAUUACCUCUAAGAACAGUUGGUUUGCAUAUUUUGCCAAAGCUUGCCUUGUCAAGUCAACAAGGUCGUACCUGAGUAUACAAUGAAAAGGGCAUAGAUAAAAAAAAUGGAAAAGAAAAAUGAAAGAGAGAUACUAAAAAAGGCAUAUAUAAGAGUGUAAAAUGACAAAACAACAAAGAAAAUGAGCUGCUGAUACAUGUUAGCUGUUCUAAAAUCUACAGAUGCUAACCUGUAAGUGUUACUUCCUAAUAAUUGACCUCCACUUGCAAUAAAAAGUCCCAACGCAUCUUUCACUUCAGAAGUUGAAUACCAUAGAUGAGGUUGCUCGAAGGAAUUAGUUAUUUCCUUUAGGACUGUUCUUCUUGACACUGAUUUUCCAUAGCGGUGGUAACCUCCGGGCAUGGAUAAUUUUGGUGUAGGAAUAAAGGAUGGAUCAAUAUCUGGAAAUGCAACAAUCACAUCUCUGUUUUUGUCCUGUGACCAUGAUAUCACAAAGGUCCAAGAUUUCAAUCAAAAUGUCCAUGCUUAUAUUAAUGGCUAACCAGUUCCUGGUUAUGGAGCUUGAUGGAGGGAAUGCAAACAAAAUACGAGACAUAAUAUGUAUAGUUCUACUAAUCCACCUUCCCAUGCUAUAAGUGGACUGGAUACAACUUAGUAUAUAAAGUAGGACUUGUUAUCAAGUAGGGCCACUUACAUAGGAACCAUCUGUGCAGUUAUAAACUGUAUGAUAUAAUAUGUUCCAGGCAUCUUGUAUUUCUGGAACGGAUUUCCCAUAACGUCUGGUUGAAUACAGAGCAAUCCACACCUGAAAGAAGAGCAAGUAAAAUGAUGUUUUGAACUGAAAAAUCAUGAGGACAAUAAAAAGAAAAGACAUAAGUAUAUGUGCAGAAUUUGGCUAAUAUGUAGAUCCAGAAAACUAGUUUUAUGAAGGCUGAUAGAUUUUUAUUUUUAUUUUUAUUUAUUUAUUUAUUAUUAUUAUUAUUAUUAUUAUUAUUAUAAUUAUUAUUAUUAUUAUUAUUAUUAUUAUUAUUUUUGUUUACCUAUCAAAAUAAUAAUAAUAUAGAAAUUGCCAGAGAAUUUGAAGUAGAGAGUUGAACACACUGAUAAAGUAUGGGUAUCUAGAGAUAGUUCUUAUAAACACAUAGCAGAACAAAAACUUUGGUUUUUAUGGAUGUGUAUAUAUGCAUGUUUCUUUAUGUGUAUUCAACCUGUUUGCAGAGUUUGUAUGGCUGUGAAUAUACAUGUCUCUGUGUGUAUUCAACCUAUUUGCAUGCAAUAUUUAGAUACUAGCAUGGUUGGCCCUGAUUAAUGCUGUCUUGCUUAUGCAUGCACAUGGGGGAAAACCAGCAGAUAUGCCAGUAAAACCGUCACUGGAAACGAGAAUCAAUCGCAAUUCCUAAGGCAUGUUUUCUUUCUUUUAUGAUAGACAGCACCAGGUGUUGCCACAGGCAGUUCACGCUCAAAGCAGAGAUGGCAUAGGAAAGAGUAUGCUACACCACUUAAAAGCCACAGUAACUUGCAUUUUAAAUUUCCAAAAUCUUAAAGCAUUAAGAAAGAAACUUAACAGUACCUUCACAUCAACUUUGCUAUGUUGAAAUGCCAUUUCAGACAUGAGAUCGUAAACAACAGGAUUCUGUUCAAUACCCUCCAUUGACAUCCCAACACCAACCUUCAGAAAAGUAACUAGAUAGAUUAAGAAACACAAAAAGUAACUAGAUAGACUAGGAUACACAAACAAACCAGAUAAUAAAAAUAUCAGUGAAAAAUUAUGCAGAAGUUGUGCUUUGUGCGAGAGAGAGAGAGAGAGAGAGAGAGAGAGAGAGAGAGAGAGAGAGAGAGAGAGAGAGAGAGAGAGAAAUUCAGCAACAAUUGCGCUGGUCCCCAAGUGCUUUAACCAAGGAAAGGGGCAACAAAGGGGCCGGUACAAGGACAUUGAUUAUACAUUAGAUUUUCUAAACAAAGUUUAUGUUCAUGUGUGAACAUAUAUGAGAAUGUUCACUUCUCUAUCUGUUCACUUACUGUGUGGGAGAAGGGAGAACAAUGAAAGAAAAAAAUGUCAGUUCCGAAUACAAGUACACAGCAAAAAGAUACAUAAACAUAUGUAUUUUGGAAAUUGGAAACAGCAAAAUCAGUUGCAAGUAACCUAUGCUAUUGAAAUGGAAUCUUUUUGAAAACACAUCAUACUUGUCAUGGAAGUGUGUUAAUACAUAAUCAUUUCAAUUUCAAGUUCCUUAGUAACACUCAUACUUGUCUAUCAAUGAAUUUAUGUUUUUCCCAACCAUGAUUGGGAGGAACUUACUUAAUUUCUGUCAUUUCUGUCAUUUCUGUCUAAUAUAUUUACAAAUUAAAACCACUGCACUUUCAGCAUAUUUUGCCCGUAGUAGUAUCUAGAUGGUGAGAAUCACAUACUAAGCGUUGCAGUCACUCUCAAUUGUCACAAUCAUGUUGUUUAACAAUGACAUCACAUUGACACGGUGUUGUUACAAAAUCUUAUGGCAUACUAACAAAUGAAUAUAAAAUUUUGAAAAAACAAGAGUUGAAUCAUAAACUUGCCAUUGUUGAGUUUUCACUAGUACGAGCUUCAACUGGACCAGAUGCUACUGCAUCUAAAAUCCCAUACAUCUCAAUAUUCCCAGCAAAAUUGUGCAGCAUGCACCUGUAAAGCAUAACACCAAUAAAUCACAUAAAAAGCGAGAGGAAAAAAAAUGGAAAAAAAAAAGCAGAACUUUCAUGUGGCUUAUGAACUUACAUUUAUUAGAUUCAGUAAUUGAUCAAAAUAUGUACAUGCAUAUAGAAUAAAUAACAAGUUUGAAAAGUGGAUUUCUCCAUGAACCUUGCAUGUAGGUACACAACAACACCUCAGAAUCUGGAGAAUGAGAUCGAACUUCUAUACGUGUUCUUAGGUGGAAAAUAUGCAGUUGUUUUGAUGGUUUCACCUACCUGCUUGAGUUAAAAGGAUAUGGGUUUGAAUGUUGGGCCAUUGGAUUUAUUCUAACUCAAGUAAUUGCAUUACACAGAAAGAACAGCAUUUCUCAUUUGUGAAUUUUAACGACUGCUGUCUUCCUGAUUUCUUUGUACCAUUCUGUCAUCAACCUUGAAGCAUCAAUAUCACACUCAAGCAGAAACCUUGCUAGCUUCAGUUCUUUACGAAGUUUCUUAUUAUUCAUUUGAGAUUAUGUUCACUUUAAGAUCCUAAUAUUUUUUAAGUGCCUUUCUGUCAUUAUUUUCAUAUUAUGAAAUAUAACCUCGAUAUAUAAAGCAGAAUGGAUUCAGAUGGGCUCUUUUAGGCUGAAAAAGGGAAAACAAAAGGACCUAACCAGCUCAAAUCAAAAUGCCAGCUCUGAUUGUGAAUGCAUGAAAACUUGUUGGAUAAUGAAGAAAAACCAGUCUCUGUAGUAUGUUUUGGAAUGAAAGGGCACAAUACACCUAAUGACAGUUUGGAAGUAAAUAGAGGUGAACCAAUAUGUAAGUAAAAAAACCAUUGAAUGCAUUUUGUAGUAAUCAAAGAUGGAUUGUUUUGUAAAUAGAAAAAACUCUCGUCAAAUGGUAGUGAACAUGGAUGCAAUUCACAAGUAUCUGGCAUGCUAGUUCUUGAUCAGCUAAAUGACAUCAUAUUAUUGGCAAUUAGAAAGAGAACUGUAACUUUCCAAAUGUAAGGAACACCAUAGAACUGCUCUGAAGUAAUCCAUAUAGGCUUCACUUCAGCAAAUAGAUCAAGGACAACCAGCCUUCCCAUAGGAACAGAAUGCAGAAGUGCCUGCAAACAAGCACAGGUUACAGUUAAUCCAGGGAACAGCAUAUGCAACAAAGGAUACGGAACUUAACCACAUUAAAGAUUCAAGAUUAGAUCAAAACUGUAACAUAUCAGUGGCAGAAAAACGCCUCAAACAUGAAUUACUAUAAAGUGGAGGUUGGCUUGGGUGUGUCUAUGCAUAUAUAUAGACAAGCUUUUGCAUGUAUAUGUGUACAUCCAUAAGCAAAGGUUAAAACCUUUGUAUUAAAGGAUAGGAAAGUUGUGAAAUGCUGCAGAUGAUGCAGAAAUUGUGAUACCAACAAACGAUUGCAAAAAUCAUGUAAGGAGCAUUGCAUAUGAGUUACCACAAGUCCCUUCAACAUCUAAAAGAAAACCUUUAUGUACAGUAGAGCAUGCAUUAAAUGGGUGCUGGUUAAAAUGAAAGAAGCAUACUUAUAGGCAAAGAUUAAAAUAUUAAAAAUUUAUGAAAUAUCAGUGGUUGGAUGUUACAGAAUUUUGGAAGGAAAUUCCAGAAAUUUUUUUUUAAUGGAAUUGAAAUUGAUCAAAAGCUCAUAGAAAUAUUGGGAAAAAAAAUUCAAAAAUGAUAAAACAAGCAAAUAAUACAUAGGCAAAAGCUGUUUUUUUUUUUAAGAAAACAAUACAUGUAUGAUAAACUUUAUGAUGUUGAACAAUAAUAUGCGGUAUUUGAAAACACAUUUAUUAUUAAAAUGAUCUGUCGAGUUUGGAAGGAUUUAAGUAUAUAAAAGAAAUAAUAAUAUAUGUAUGAUUAUUUUUUGUUUAUAUGUUCAUAAUUUCAUUUACAGGUUUAAGAAGAUUAUCAUGAAGGUUUUUAUAUUUCCAACUAGUGGUUUAAUGGACAUUGAAAAUAAGAUAAUUAAAUUUUUUUUUUUUACUGAAUUUUUAUUUUUAAUAUUUUAUUUUCUACACAAAUAUAAAAUUUUAGGGGAGACAAACUAAGUUGUAUAUAUUUUUUGUCCACUAAUAGUAUUAAAGUGGAAGUUAGCUUGAGGUAACUCCCCUAUUUCUUUUGAUUGGAGGGUAGGGUUCAAGUCCCUCUCCCUUAAAUUUUAAGCACAGCUCAUUUUUCAUUGAUGUGGUGAUAAAAUAACCUAAAUAUCAGUGAUUUAUCGAGAUAAAAUGGAGAAAAUUUGUGAUAUAUUGGCAAUUUUUGGCUGGCAGAAAUUUGGGAGCUGUUUCCAUAUCGAGGCUGACUGAAAUCCAAAAUUUUGCCAAUAUUUAGCCAAAGUUUGGUCUCAAUUUUGUGUGUGAAAACCUAGUCUUUUAUGUAUUAAUAUGAACUCUGAAGAUUUGGAGCAAAGCCAUGGGGAAAUUUCAUUGAGUCUCUCUCCAAGAGAACCAACAUGCUUUUCCAAAUAUGCACACAAUUGAUCCUAAUGAAUAGUUCCUACAUUCUUAUUUUAUUUGUUUUCACCAUACUCUUACUUAUUUUGCUAAGAAAAUUCAUGAUCGAAAAUUUUAAAACCUGACAUUUUCAAUGAUAUUCUUCUACAGGUUUAGGACUUCAAUUAUAGAGAAGAAAAGGGUCUAUAAAUUUCAUUGGCUCUAUUAAGUGCUCCAAUCUUAAACCUCAUUUUUAUCUUCAUCAAAGUUUACUUCAGUUUGAAGUUCUGAACACAAGCUCAAACAAAUUUAACAAAUGAGUGAAGAUUCAAACAUGCUCAUAUAGGGUGAUUAGAAGCAAAAUGAGGGGAGAAGAAAAUGACAAUUGUGGAAUGACCUUCAUUUGUGGAGGCCUCCAGAAUGGAUCAUACGAAAACAGCCAUCCCUACAGUAGAAAACCAGAACAGUUACAAUGUUGGAACACAAUGAAAGUUAAUGCUGACUGAACUCAAGACUAAUGGAUAGACUAUAUAAAAAAAGAUGGUCAAGACCAUGAUGGAGCAGUGACUAUGCAGAUCCAAUUCCAAAUAACUGAGAUUAACAUAAAACCAUAUUGCACAAGCUUCAUUUACUUGGUGUACUAAAUGAAGACAUUUUGUGGUUUUAGGAAAAGAACUUCAUAGAAAUUUAUCCUUCACCUGCAUUAGCCAGAUAGCAUUGCUAUCACCACUCUGCAUUCCUCUAAAUAUUGCUGCACCUAAUGAAGAGAUGUAUUCUGGGUCAUCAACAGGUGGAGUGUUCUCAUCGAAAGUAUCACUGAAAUAGAUUCAGCUAUAAUGGUUAUAAAAUAUGAUAUCACUCUCUGGAAGAAUAUUUUCUUAUUAUAUGCAAAGACAUAAAAGAAGAAAGAAAAAUAUCAGAGGAAAAGAGAAUUGCCCUUUAAUUAAUAUGUAACUUUGAUAUGUGUAUUUCUGUUCAUUUAAGGUGUGCAGCAAGUAGAGAACAGCUUAAUAUCUUUUAUGACUAUAUCAGGAUCUCUGGUUCUAAACCUGAUAGCAUUAUGCCAUUACUUGAAGUUAAGCUAACUGCCAAUACAAUGUAGUAAGCCGAAUCAUACCUUUUUCCAAGCCUAACCAUUUUACUUGCUAUUUAGCUCUUUACAAAUGUCUUGUCAGAGUUGCUCUGACUAUUUCUAACAUUCCGCUGAAAUUUGUAAUUUAAAUCACUAUAGAUGGUCAUAUAGUUACACAAAAAAAUGAGGGCUUAUUAAAUGUUCUACUCAUUUAUUUUCAUUAAUGACUGUUAGACUGGAAGUUUUAGAAUUUCACCCAAAAAAGACUUGAUCCCAACCACUUGGGGUGAACUACAUGAAUCCAGUUUUCUGUUCAAUUCUAUAGAGAGCCAUAUGUGCUACUCAAUAGUUGUCUAUCAUAAUUUUUUAGGAUAGGAAAAUAACAAUGAUGAAUUCACACCAGAAACACAAAACAAAACAACUACAGAGCUAAAUAGUCUCCCUACUGUCAACAAGUGCAAAAAAGAUGAAUAAGCGGAGCAUAAAUCCCCACCUGAACCAUGUAAACAAAGUCUGAAGAAGUACAUCCUUCAUCCCCAAGCUUGAUCACUCCUCAAUUUCAAAGGUUCUCCUACUAUGCCCUUUGCAGGCGAUCCAACAAAUACACAAAGGAACUGACCUCCACAUUGCCUUGCGCACACAACCCAUGAAACACUAACCAAGGAUAACAGCAAAGUCCAUAAUCCAGACGUCCAUUUGCAGUGGAUGGGAUAUGACCAGCAGACUCAUUCAUAUUCCACCUUCUCCUCAUAAAUUGGUCAGUAGUCAGAAUUUUCUACCAAGCUCAUUCCUAAUAAACCAAACAGACUAAGGGCUCUUGAAUUUCAAAUCAUCUUAGCCAGGAAUGAGGAGGCUGCAACCUACACUAGGGGCAAGCAAUAGGUUUUGAUGGAAAAGGAGGCCUUCUUAGCAAUAUUCCAAACUAAUCUAUCCUCUAGUUCACUACGGAAAAAAAGAUUCAGCAGUUGCAGCAGGGAAUCCACCUCAAUCAACUCCCUAUCCAAAAAAGUUCCUUCUAAAUCAGGGAUUCAACCGUUUCUCAUCCCAAAAUCUGCCACCAAAGCCUCCACAUUAGACACAAGAUUGAAGAGACCUGGAAAUCAAUCCUUUAAAGGGUCCUCACCCCUAUCUUGAAAAUCAUUUUCCAUCAAAUUUGAUCCACAUUCUCUUUUGCUCUUAUCCUUUCAACGCCUUUAACUUAAAGCCAAUCACUUUCUUAAGAAUAAUUACUUGAGCUUGAGUAUUUGGGUCUAUAUUCAGUUAGAAAAAUAGAUUGUAUGGCCACAUUUUAAUUUUCUCUCUUUUUUCUUUGGUCUUUUAACGGGAAAGAACUUUCAUGUUAAAAAUAGAUUAGGUACAGAAACUAUAGGGUCAAAGAAUUAGCACUUUUGGAGGAGAAAAGGGCAAGAUUGAAAACAUAUGAGGUCUGAAUAUCUCUCUCCAAAUGCUCUCCUCCUUUUUCACUCCAUAUUUCUUUCUUUAAGAACCACAACCAAGCCACCAGCAAGGGAAGUAUUUGGAUUUGGCUUUAUGGACCAAAUCAUGAUCAUGGUUUGAGACAAUCUCUUGACCUGAUGUCCACCCUCCAUGAACUGAUACCACAGGGUGGACAUUUUUGCAUGCAGAUGCAUUUACUGAUUGAACAUAGAAUGGAAAAUGACAACAAAAUCAGAAUAAACCUGUAGAUACAAAAUGCAUUAACUGAACCAAAAAAGAAAGAAGAAAAUGACAACACAAUCAGAAUAAACCUGAAGAUACAAAAUGCAUUAACUGAACCAAAAAAGAAAGAAGAAAAUGACAAAGAUAAAUAUUGGCCUUUACAAGAGAUCAAGCCACAAUAUGGUGAAUGGAUAACUGAUACAGUCAGCAAUGCUAAAUUAAUCACAACUGUAUCCAAAGUUUAAAAAAAAAUGAUAGAUAAUACCAGCCUCUUUCAACCAGUGAAGACUCAUGGAAAUGGAAGUAAAAGAGAACAGUGUUUAACAAAUGAUUCUAGAACAGGGAGAAUAUCUUACCAGUUAUAUAUAUGUCCAGUCCUUCCAUAUUCUGAUCAAAAAGGUUAUUCCAAAUGAAAAAUAGAAACAAGAAAAUUUUUUAGCAUGAGUUAUACAAGUAUGGUAGCCAACUACAUGCAGAAACAAACUUAAAAGGGGUUCGUGAUGAUCUAGAUGAGUUCACCUUUCAAUUGUUGCUGGAUGAAAGCUUUCCCAAUUUCAAUGAAUAAGGGAUCAGUUGCAUCAAGAAGAUAAGUGCAGCACCAUCUGGGAUUACCCCCAACAGUAAACCUAGGAGGAUGAAGAAAGCAACCAUUUUACUCAAAACGGACCACAAAUAACUACUAAUUAUUUUAAACUUAAAGGAUACCACUCAAUGUGGUUAUCCAGGUGUAGGAAGGGGGGCUUGUAGGUGCGGAGAUGUGGCAGGGAGGUGGUACUGGGAGGGUAUGAUGUCCUCUAAUCAACAUAUUAGACUGAUGUCAAACAUAUGAUUAUCAAGAUUCAAGAAAAAAUAUGUAACAGGUAUAUUGGGGCCAGCAUAAAAAUUCUAAAAUUCCCCUGAGCAUGUACACUUUUUUCCAAGUAAAUUUGUUUUCACAUGUGAAGUUGCCUUUGAAUGGCACCUCAAUAAAUAUUUCCUAAUUUCCAAACCCUGAAAUCAAUUCCCAACCUUCUCUCCCCUCCCCUCACACACCCCCACACCAACUAACACACACACACCCUGCUGAAAAAAGGCACAGGAAAAAAGAAAUGGCAGAAAGAACUUCCAAGUUCAGAACUUGUUCUGAAUGACUGAACCUUCAAAACCCACUGACAUUAACACCAAUUGACAGGAACACUAGGAGAUGUUUCUCCAACUUAGUGUGUCUAACGAAGUAAGAACAAUUAUUUCAUUUUAAAACAAGGUCAAAAACAUUCAUUGCAAUUUAAAUAACAGAAAGCAGUACUCACCAAUUCCCCAAGCGUGUUAUUUUUGCUGAUGGAAAUAUAUAUUUCAAUGCUGCAGGAACAUUUCCAGAGAAGGCUGGAAGGACUGAGAGGCACAUAGGAACAGAAUUAAGAUCUUCAACAAAUAGAGAAUGCUCUCAAAAAAUACAUGAAUGAAAAAUAGAGAAACUAUUGUCAAUAAAUAAAUUAUAUUUUCCAGGCCUUUUUUCAUCGUGAAGAUGCUUUGAUUAUUGACAUAAUAAAAUCUUGUGAAAUAAUUCUAUGGCGUCUUAAAAUUUUUAGCAAAGGUGCCCAAAAAAAUGUUGUAGCCAAUAAAAAAUUCAAUAUUUGCUAUGAAAUGAAUACCUAAUAGAUAACUUCUGUAAUCCCAUAGUAGAAUUCAAAGGACAUUUUUGAUUGUCUCAUAGAGUGAAAAUAGAUUUGAAAUCAAGAUCAGGAAUGUUGCCUUAUGUUAACAGCAUUAUUAAUAGCAUCUUGCUACAUUGUUUAGGUCUUCUACAAUUUCAAGAGUUCCAUAAGACAAAAAAAAAAUGCUAGUACGACCCUGAAGUAAUGCCUAAUUGCUUCAUCAAGUUAAAUAGUUCUCCUAGAGUAUAGUUUGUUGAAUGAAACCAUAAAGAGUAUUUUGAGACUGGAAACUAGUCAGAGCAGAUUUCAAAUGAUAAUCAGUACCUGGAGUCAUUCCAAGCUCAUACAUUCUAGCAAGAAUUUUCUUUUGUAGAAGUAAUUGUUGAUCUAACCAACUUUGUGGCAGUGGUCCACCCCACCUGUGAUUGAGGUAUUACAUGUAAAAGUUAUAAAAGAUAGAGGAUAAGGAAUACAGAAUGACCCAGCAAGCAAAGAUUUCAUGGGAGAAAAUGAAUUGGCUAAAAACUCAUCAUAAAAGAAAUCUUCUAUUGUCAGGGCAAUGCUAAUGCCUAUGAGAAGAAAGCUCUUGUGGGAAGCAUCAGAUGGAAAUGUUAAUGUAGAUCUCAUCCACAGAUGGAGAAAAAAAUGGUGAACAACAUAAAACAAUUAGUCUAGAGAGGACCUAAAACUGGCUAAGGUUCCAUAUCAUAAUAAAAGAGAACCAUCACUGCCACUGUUAAGUAAAAGAAUCAUUAGCAUAUGAAGAAAUUGAGAAAAUAACAUAAUACUUAUAGGUACAGUAACACUCCCAUUUGAUAGUAUUUUCUGACAUCUAUGUAGAACUUAUAGCCCACUCUUCACAUCAAUUGAAAAUAAAGUCGUAACAACAUCCUUGCACAAUGUAGGCUGAUUUCUAGGAUAAACCAAACUAUUCAAAUAAUGCUAUCAAGAGAUCCCAUUUUUACUUAUCAAAAUCCUAAGCCAGUGAGAUUGAACUUCCAAAACAAAAGUUGAAGAAGAUUUCCCGCUAAACAAAAGAAAAAUUCCUUGAGGAAUUAAUUUGAUCUUGUUAAACAUAAGACAAAAAUGCCAUUCCAAUCUGAACUGCUGAUGUUUAAUCCUACUAAGCAUAAGAAAGAUUUCUUACCCAUGCAAAUUUCCCAUUCGUGACCAUGAUAGAAAUGCAGGGCCUCCAAAGAAAUCUUUCAAAUCCAAAUGGCUAAUGUUGAAAUUCUGUGAAAAGAUGAACAAUAGAUUGUUAAGCAAAGUUUGGCACAUUUGAACCCAAAGGGAGAACUCUGAGAAAUGAACAAAAACAAAAAUACCCGGAAAACUUUCUGCCAAAUGGCCUCUUGCCCCGUAAAUGCCAGAGGCAAAUUGAUGCCUUGGAGAGCCAUCCAAUCAAUUUCCUUUUCCCAUCUUUUCCAGUCCCACCAAGCAAAAGUAUCUUCAGAAAGCACAUAUAAAGGAGAGAAGACAGUGUCCAUCAGAGCAUAAUUCAAGUUUGAGGCCUCAGGCACCAAAAUAUAUAAUAUAAAUUUCUGUUUGGCAAAGAUUAGGAAAUAGUAGGCGAUUUGGAGGUAGAAGCUCACAGCUAGAUGUAACAGCAUUCUGGUAGUAGUUCCAAGGAAUAGGUCUCUGAAUCAAGAUACCAGCCUCUUGAACACGGGGGAAAGAGCCUGAGUCAGGUACUGAAAGUAGUUGUGCACCACCAGUUUUAUCCCAAGAUAUGUGUGAACCACACCAAUACUUCAAGUACCAGUGCAAACCAGCCAUAAUCUCCACCCCAGUGACCCCAGUAAUUCUAAUUGGGAAUUGAAACAAAUAAGUAUGCCUCAAGAAGACAACCAUUGACUUAUUUUAUUUGAUAACCAAAUGAUAUAGUGUAGAUAUGCAUGUGGAAAGUGCACAUAUUGUAGUAUAUUUAACUGAAUGAUAUACUGUAGAUAUGCAUGUGUGAGUGCAUAUCUUGUAACAUAUUUAACAAGUAUCAAGGCAUGCAAAAUUUGAAAGUGAUUUACUGUUCAAUGGGCCCCCCAUCCCCCAAUAUUCUCCACACUGCCGAUAUGACCCAGACACUUCUAAAGGAAUCAAAUCAAACAAGUCUUACACAUCUCCCAGUGAAAUGUAUGCAAAAUUUUAAUCACAAAUAUUUAUGAAUCAAGAAAAAUUGACCAUAUACUCUAUAUUGACUCUUGAAUGGGAAGUAACUGUAACUGAAUUGGAUUUCAUGCUGUAGUGUAGAUGGAGCUACAACUCGAGAUUAUGUUAGAAACAUAUAUUUUUAUUCAACAUAAACUAGUUUCUUAAAUCCAUCCAAAGGGCUAAUAAUUUAAAUGCAGACAAUAGGGUUUAUAAAUAGUAGAAAAUCAUCUCUUUAAUGCUUCAAAAGUGAAAUUCCAAUUACCAUGACUUUUAGAAACGCCAUGUAUGUCAAAUGCAUGGAAUUUAUAUCCUGACAGUAACAAAUCGGUGGAUACAAUACAUAGAAUGAUAGAAGUGGAGAAAAUGUUAUUUAUAUUUGAUUGAAUCCAUGGUACUUGGCAGUAGCCUACUGCUUCAAACUCUAAUAUAUAUAUAGAUCUUAUUUUUUUCCACACAUGAAUUCUUCAUACUAGAUUGGCCAAUGAAACAGCAACUGAUCAAGCUAUAUUUCCCUAUUUAAUGAAAAUUCUACAGAGAAAUCCAAAUUAAAUGAGCAAAGAAUCCCAACAUACAAAAUUUCUGGAGCCCCAUGUCCACUGGAAGAAGGAUGAUUGCUAAUCAUAAAGCAAGAGUCUCCACCACAUUGCUCCUGUAAAGCAAUAAAAGAGAAGUCAAGAUCAUUGCAGAAAGUUUCUCGUCGAUGUUCCUUUCAUUUGCUAGAAAUGACACUUAGAAUCUUACAAAACCAAAGAAACAGAGUGACAAUCAAUUGGAAGAUUUCUAGUACCACUUUCUUUUUUUCUUCUUUUUUUCAUGAUUACUCACAACAUUCAAGUUAUGGAAACAGAGAAAGCACAUGACCAAAUGAAGACAAGAAUACUACUCAACCGGUAAGAAUUCAAUGCAAUUGUAUACAAAAUUAAUAGAAUUAUAAAUGGAAAAGCUCAAUUUACACGUGAGAUAGUUGUAUAUAACCGAAGCUAGCAAGAACGAAUACCUUGGAGACUAUGCCAAACUCAAAGCUGGAGGAGUGAGAGGGAAGAAGCCUGUGGAGAACGCCGUAGGCGGCAGCAAUUUGCACGGACGGUGGGGCUCUCUCGCGGUCUUGGAUUUCGAGGAGGCGAGAAAUGUAGGUGACUCCGAUGGUAGAUGAUUGGGCGAAUGAGAGAAAGGAGAAGAGGAAAAAGGAGAGAGAAACGGCGGCAAAGGGAGAGGCCAUGAGUGAAGAGCUGAAGCUGAAACUGAAACUCUAGGAGAGAGAUUAUUGGCAUGGUGAUGUUAAUGGAAUCAGAUUCCGGAGGAGGAGUAGAGGCGAUGAGUACCGGACAAACUCGAAAGCCGGCCGUGAGAGUAAACUAUCGGUUUGUUGGGUUCCUGCAUUUGAAUCCAAUUUUUAAAAAAGGAUUGACGACGUCGUUUGGUCACGGCCCUUGGCUACCAGCAUAUCACUAUCAGGACGGUCGUUAUUUCUCCGUUUUCUUAAACGUCAUAAAACUAAGGGGGUGAAACUUGGGUGGGCAGACCGAGUACAAUCCGAACCAAUCCAGAGUUUGACAGGACAAUUAUUUUCAAUACUAUGAUUUAACUUGAGUUAGAUUUUUUCGAUUCAGACUAAAUUUAGAUUGGACUCCGAUUAAGUCUCAAAUAACUCAAAUUCAUUUGAUGUUUUUAUAAUAUUUAUAACGCAUUUUUUCUUAUAAAAUAAUAUUUAUUUAUUUUUUCUAUUUUUUUUAAAUAUCAAAUUGUAUUAUAUUAUGUCUUUUAGUUUUUUUGAAAAUAUAUAAAUUUAUAUAUUUUUUUUUGUUACUAUCUUAAAAUUUUAUCUUAUUUUCUAUUUAAAUUUUCAUAUAAAUACAUUUAAAAAGUUUUUUUAAAAAUAUUAUAAAUUUUAAAUUAUACAACCCUAUUAACUUAAGUCUAACUUGAAACAACCUGAACUUAGGAAAAUGAAAUUAGGAUGAACUUUAAUUAAAUACCUCGAAUAGAAGUUCGAGUUGAAUUGAGUUCAACUUGUUUGUUUUUUAAUUCGAGUUGGGGUUGGGUUAGUCAUCAACCUGACCAACCCACCCAAGUUGUAGCCAUAAUAAAAAUUAUGUUAUUUUUUAAAAAAAAAAACUUUUUAUUGAAAGUAAUUUGCUUUUAAAUUUCUAAUAAUUUAUUAUUAUUAUUAUUUUGUUAACUUAUAUUUAUCUCUUAAAUUUUUUUAACCGAAUAGAAAAUUCAAAUUAUUUGACUUUUUUUUAAUGGUAAACAUAAUAUAUUGAUUUUUCUUUCAUUCUUAGUAAUUAAUAUAAAUAAAAUAUUUAUAAAAAAAAACAACUUGAUACUUAAUACUACUAGUAAAUGUACACAUACCAAAGUACAUGAGGGAAUAUUAAAAAAGUCCAACAAAAAAAUUAGUAUUUGAAUUUAUUUUUUCAAGACUUAUAUAAAAAUCAAUUAGAGAUUCAAAAUCAAAUAAUUGAAUUAAACAUGAAACCAAAUUAAAAUAAAUAAAUAAAUGUCACUUUGGUCCUUGGCCAUAACAUUUUCCAAUCUUAAUUUAAACACAUUAUUUAUUUCUUUUACACUAAAUUUGUAAAUUUUUUGAGUUAAUUAUUUAUAUAUAGUUUAAAUAUUUUUUAUUUUAUAUCAAAGCUUUUUAAUAAAAAUUAGAACCAAGAUGACUUAAUUUGAGCAAGAAAUUUGUGGAUUAAAAAUAUUAAAAAAAAAAAAAAAGAAAAAAGAAUGGAUAGCAUACCCGAAAGAGUUGAAGAGAAAAUUUUGAAAAGAAUAGAUAAUAACAAAAGAAGAGAAAAAUUUUCAAACUUUAAAGAUGAAAAAUGAAACAGAAUUUCAAAAGUUUUCAAACUUUUAAUGAUAAAUUUUUAUGAGAUUGAUUAUAUUAAAUAGUAUGGUUUUAAAGAGAAUGACAUUUAUAACUUUUAAGACAUUUUUGGAAUGAAUAAAGUGAAAAGUAAAUAAAAAAUUAAUGAUUGGUUUUCAACACACUUUCUUUUUAAGAAAAUAAAAUAAAUUUUACGUCAAAUUUUAAAAUUCUUUUGAAAAAAUCAUGAGUUAUAUUAUGUUGUUAAAAAUUAUAUUUUUAAUUCAUUUUUAAAAACCAUUAUAUAUUUUGUAAAACUUAUUAUUAUUUUUUGGUUGUAAAGAUAGAAAAUAGAACUGGACUAAAUUAAAUAAUUUCAUAUCAAAAAAUGGAAUCCAAAUUAAAUUAAAUAAUUUCAUAUCAAAGAAAAAUAUAUAAUAUAUCAAAUUAUUCAAUCAAAUGAAAAAUAUAUAAAGGAAAAAUAAGCUUUGUUCUAAAAAUAUUUUUAAAAAAUCAAAAGAAUUAAAAUUUCAAUAGAAAAUUUUUCUUCAUUUUGGUAAAUUUUAUAAAUAUUGGUAAAUGAGUGAUGAAACUUUUUAUGCAAUAAUUAUCUAUGAGAAAAUAAAUGUUAAUCUUAAAAGAGAAAACACCCAAGAAGAGGGUUGGUGAAUUGGGAUUAAAAAAAAUAAAUUAAACACAAUAAAUUUAAGCACAAUAGGGGUAAAUAAAAAGAGAUAAGGUUAGAGAAAUCAAAUUUAAGUUUUAUAAUGGUUCGAUACUUCCUUACCUACGUCCACUCUCUUCAUACUCCUAACCAAGUGGGGGUUUCGCUCACUUGAAGUUUCAACCAAGUUUUUAAUUACCUUUACGCUUGGAUUCCGACUCCAAUGGACUCUUACACAAUUUCUUCAAGUCUCAACUUACUUGAAAACUUUAUAACUCAAAUAACAGGUUUAAGUCUCUCAACCUAGCUCAACAAUGGCUCAAAUACAACUCAAGGCUAGGAUAAAUCACAAAGAUGCACUAUAGAAUAUGCAAAUAGAUAUUUAAUGCACCAAGAAAAGAAUGAAAGUUUUUAAGGCAAGAACGAGUAGGUAAACAAAUAAAUGCAAGUGUUAUAUUGCUCAUAAAUGAAGUGAAGCUCUCUAUUUAUAGGUUUCUAACAUCGAGAUCCAAAAAACCAAAAAGCAGCCUCAACCGGUCAAGUUGGGGGUAUUCCGAUUCACUAGCUGUUGGAGCAUUUAAUGCUUGGCAGGUGACCAUUACCCUCGAUCGAACCUCAACCGAACCUUGAUCGGACCUUGAUCAAGAAGACAAAUCCCUUGACCGGGAAAGAAAGGCUACUGGGAGAGAGAGUGUGUUUUUUGCACUUCUCGACCGGACUUCGACUGAGAAGGGGCAACUGGUCGACCGGUACCCUAGCUAGUUGAGCCGGUUUGGCUAGUGUCUCGAUCGGUUCACCAUUUUUGGUCCGAAAACUUAUAUUUUUCUGUUCUUUUCUCUUCUAACACUUAAGCAAGGUCUUUAGGUAAAUUAAUAUGUCAAUUUUGAAAUGAUUCGCCUAAGGUUCAUUUGAUAAAACUCGGGUUUUGAUGCAAAUGUAACUUUAAAGUAUAAAUUAAGUUUUUCAAAGAUGCAUGAAAUGGUAUAUAAAUCCUAAGUGCAUCCAUGUAUUCAUCUUACAUAUGUUUCAUAUGAUUAAAGGUCUUCCAAAAGUCUUAAUCUUGCAUCCAUUAGGUCUUUUGAUGAAUUUUCAAAUUAACAUCUGAAAUUUUUUUAUAAUUCAAACCAAUUAAUAACUUAAUCAUGGUUUGUUAUCAUCAAAACACGAUUAGAAGAACCCUUGGGCUAACAAUUUAUAAUAUAAUUAGUGUUGUCAUUAAUUCACUAUUAUUUAAUUAAAUAUAAAAGUUUAAAAAAUUUAAAUAUCUCAAAAUAAAUAGAAAUCACUAUUAUAGUUAUAAAAGUAAAAAGUUUCAUGUAAUAUUUAAAAAAAAAAUUAAUUUAUUUCAUUGAAAAAAAAUGAAAGAUAGGUUAGGAUAAGAAGAAAAAAUUAAUAAUAAUAUAAGUAUUAAAUACGUUUUAUUUAUUUUCUCAAAACACACUUGAAUAUGAUUUAAAAUACUACAAAUUUGUUAUUGAAAAAAAAAAAAAAAACCUGAUUUAUGGGAGACUUCGAAAACAAUCCUUAACCGUCUUUCAUUUCAAUUCAAAAUCCAAAAUCAAAAAACAUUCUGAGAUGAUCUCCUACUAUAACCAAACUUCUGUACAUACAUAUUAUAAAUAAACUAGAAUCAAUGGUUGAAACUAAUAAAGAUCGUAUUGGUGGAUCAUAGGGCGUUUUGUCAAAUAGGAUGAAGGUUGGAGUAGUUAUAUUGAAGGAGAUGUGCUGAAAAUGAAUACCUAAUUUGAGAGGUUUCCCACAAACAUUAAUAUUUUUUUUUAUAGUUUUUUUAGAGCAAUUUUUAGGAUUGAAUUUGAAUAUAAAAUUAAAAUGAAGUAUUGAAAUUGAAUAUAAAAUCAAAAUGAAGUUAUAAACAUAUAGAUUUUUGUCGUGUCAAGUAAUUAAAACCUUAAAUUAAAUUUCUAUUAAAACAGUUAAUGAAAUAGAAAUUUGAGACAAAUGAAAAGACUAAAUUUUUCAUUACCUUUUAGGUUUGUGAAACUAAUUUCAGGAAUAAUUUCUAUUAACCCUGAGAAAAUGAAACGAUUAAAUUCCCCCAAAUUUUUCAUUAUCUUUUAGGUUUGUGAUACCAAUUUCAAAAAUGACUUAUGUUAACUCUAAGAAAAUGAAAAGAUUAAAUUCUCAUUUAAGUUGAUUAUAAGUAUAGAAAAUAUUAAAUUUUGAAUUACCUUUUAGGUUUAUGAUAGUAAUUUUAAGAAUGGUUUACGUUAUGUCAAAUAAUUAAAACCGUAACAAAAAUGAAAAGAUUAAAUUAUCAUUGUUAGGAAUUUGAGGCUAAUCCAACCUAUGAUAAUCACCCUAGAGGGGGGGUGAAUAGGGUGAUGGUCUCUUUUUCAAAUUUAAACUAAGUAAAAAUAAGAGACAAUUUAUAUGCAAGUAUAUGAUAAGCAAAAUAAAGACAAUUGCAUAUAAAUUAAAAGAGUUAGGGAAGAGAGAGUGCAAACACGAGAGUUUAUAGUGGUUCGACACUUCCUUACCUACGUCCACUCUCCUCAACCUCCUAACCAAGUGAGGGUUCCACUAUCUUGAAGCUUCAACCAAGUUUCCAAUCUCUUUACAAUUGGAUUAUGGUUCCAAUUCACCCUCUUGGACUUUUGGCUUCUAAGCACCCUUUACAAUCCUCAAGAGAUAUCCCACUCUUGAAACUUCCUCUCAAGGUUUACAAAUGAUUUAUCUCACAAAAUCCUAGUAUUAGCUUUAAGCUCAAAUGAUACAAGAAAAACUAGGAUUGAAUGGUGCACUAAAGAUAUGCAAGUUAUGAAAUAAUGGUGCACUCAAAAACACUCUUCUAAGGCUCAAAUAUAAUCAAGAAUGAUUUGGGAAGGUUAAGCUCAUGAAACAAUGAAGAUUGAAGCCUUUUUAUAGAAGAAAAAAGCUAAACUAGCCGUUGGAGGUUCGAUCGGUCGAGCUAUGGGUCGACCGGUUGACUAGCCGUUAGCAUUUAAUGUUGGCAGGUGACCGUUAGGCCUCAACCGGACCUCGACCGGACCUCAACCGAACCUCAACCGAUUGAGGUUCAACCUUAACCGGUUGAACAAGCAUUCUGGAAGAGAGAGAAAAUUUUGUACCGGUUGACCGGGUACCGUUCAUGGGUCAAUUGGUUACUAUUCAUACCCUCAACCGGUUGAGCUAGGGGUCGACCGGUUACUGUUCAUACGGUUCACCCGAUUUAGCCAAUUGAGCCGUUUUUUGCUCAACAACCAACUUUUCCAACUUAUAACCUUUUAAACAAGUUUGAAACAACAUUUAACACAAGGUUUUAGUUGAAAACAUGAAAUCAUCCAAUUUUAAAAAUAUUUAAAACAAAAUAACUCUUGGAUGAUUUAGGUGCAUAAGUAAGGAAAAUAAUGCAUGGAAAUCCUAGUGCACCAACAACCUUACAAAGAGACUUAAGAAGCUUUGGUCUUGAAAAACUCUUCUCUUUGAGGUGGUCUUCUUCUUCAUGAUUUCUUCUUGGCUUGAUUUGUCUUUGGAUUGCCACUUUAGAAGUCAUCUUGCCUAAUCACACUUAAAAUGUAGUCAUUAGUUCUAAAUCUUGUUUUGUUAUCAUCAAAAUCAAGAUUAACCAAACCUUGGUUUCACAAUCAUUUAAGUUGAUUAUUAGUAUUGAUAAGGGUAUUUUAGGAAAUAAAAAAAUGAAAAACAGCUUGUACUUUUAUAUGUAGUAAAGACAAUGGAUUCGGCUUUAUUUUAUUUUAAGCUUUAUUUUAAAUUAAAUAAUAAAAACAAACACCACCGGACAUGUUAUUCCCCGUUUCAUAAAAGUUGAAACGACUUCGUUUCAGGACCCAGCCAUUCAUGGACCUAGGCUGCACCUUAUUUGGGUUUUUGCCAGGCCCGCCAUGUUUUGGGCCUCAUCUCAGGGAGUCGAGCCCAGGUUUGGGCCCACUUGGUACCGCACAUUUCUUAUUCCUCGUACCAAACACACCGUGGAUAAUAUACAAAUCUCUAUCAACUUUUGUUGCCGACCAUCCCUCUGCAUCGUGGGAAAACCAAGACCAUACAUGUGAAAGCGAAGAGAUGCCAGAACUCGAGACAAAUUUUAAAACCCAAAUGUCUAUGCUUUCAAUCCAUUUCAAAUUAUUCUUUGGGCGAAUAUUAGAUUGGAAAGUCCAAAAUAAAGUUUCAAAGAAAAGAAUAUGAGAUUAAACCAAAUUGACUAAACAUGGAGUCCCUUGUCAAUUCUAAUUGUCAAGCUUAUCAUACUUGUUUUCAAAGUCUCCCAGCUAAUUAAAGACUUCAUCUCACUUACUGGGUCCUCUCCAUUAACCCACCAACCAACCAACCAUGAAACAUCAUCAUCAUCAUCACCAUCGGAGCAAAUUUAACUUCAAUUCUAACCUACACUGUAGAAAUCUCGACUCAGGCACUUCCACUUGAGAAAAGAAAUGGUGAGAACCAGCGGCCGCCUUCUGCUUGGUACGUUUCCAUCUCACAGAUUAAUCAUAAGAGAGAUUGAUAUCGAGGGCCCAAUUCGUUGACUCCAUACGGAAAGGGUACUUGGCGUCAACCAUUAUACAAAUCUACUGUGACAGUGUGACUGCCCUCAUGCAGCAGACAUCAAAAGGCUUGGGAUAUAAUGGGCAUUGUACAUUGUGGGUCCUAAAGGCAAUACAAGGAAGACCAUUGCAAGCUGUGGUUUGGUCACAUUGUUUGUCAGGAAAUGGGACUAAUGGAGUGCUUCGCAAGAUCCCAUUUCCAUCAUGAAUGCAAUAUUACACAAAAGGGCAAAAGGGCAAAAGGGAAAAAGGGUAGCCCUUUGUUGAGCAUCAAUGCAUUUUCUUUGCUUUCUUCUAAAUAAUAAGCUUCUACCCUUAAGAGACUAAGGGUCGAGGAAGGCCUGAGUGUAAGUGUUCUCAUAUGAAAUCUUUUAGUAGCCAUGGGAUGCACUGGAUUUGAAUGGGAUUCCACAGGUUGCAGUAGUGUUCUUAAUGCCCGGCUAAUAAACAAAGUUGUUUGUUAAAGAGGGAGUUCUUUGCAGUGGACGGAGAAGCAUUCGACAAAAGAAUCAAAACACAUCCCAGAAAGUUGGGCAUGUGAAGUCUGAGUAAAUGGCACUGUUGGGUAAAAAGUAGGAAAAGUGGAAAUCUCAAAAUGGCAUUUUGCUUUUGAUGUUUCCACUAAAUAAAAGCAGCAUCCUUCUGAUGGAAAUGAAUCACUUCAUUUCUUCAUCAAUAGGGCAUUUUUGUGGCUGACAUUCCGAAAUCCUGCAACAACAUACUAAUCUAUUUUCCAUUGUCUCCCAACUAUGUAUAAAAAAAUCAACCAGAGAUGACAAUAAGAUAUUGGAUCAUUCAAAAUUUUAUACCCAAGUCCACAAAGAAAAAGAUUGAGAUUAUAAUCCACGAAGAAAAAGAUUGAGAUUAUAACUUGUGUUUCCAAGAUUGUGAUUAUACCCAAGUCCACAAGAGGCAAAAUGAAAAGUUUCACCACAAUGUGAGGUCAUUUCAAGUCUUUUCCGUGAUACUCUCAACUACAUGCAAGAAAAAUGAAGAAAGGAUUAGCCACCUAGGAGGAAUAGAUUAGCUAUAUAUUUGGCUUCUAGAUAAGCGUCAGUACGACAUUGAUAGUGAUGGACGUGCAUCACCAUGAGGGAUGGGGAUUGAAGUAGAGGAAAGCAGCUUUCAUCUCAAGCAUCUUUCAGUUCUCUGUGAUUAGGUAAACGCCUAGAGCAAAUGAUUAAGACAUUUUUUAAUUCCUUUUUACCAAUCCUCAACCUCAGUCUUCAUAAAAAUUGAGAUAUUAUUGGACUACCAUAGAGCAAAUGAUGGUGAAAAGGAUCAGAAGUUACUCAGACUACAAAAACAGAGAGUGAUAAUGAAAAUGGUAAGAGCAAGGGAUGGUGAAAAGUUUUUGAAGUACGGUGCCUUUCACUUCUCAGUGGUUGGAUGCAAUAAAGUUUUGUCAUUCACUGUUCAAUCCUUAAAUCAUGAUAAGGAAGAUGCCAAAUCACACUGAGAAGGAACCGACCAUGUUUAAGAAGAAACCUACCCAAUACCAAGACAAAAUCACAAUCAACCAGGGAUUUGUAGAUGUUGAAAUGAUUAUUAUUUGGAGGACCUUAAGGAGGUGGAAAAUGGAAAGGAAAUAUGACUAUAAAUCGAGAGAGAAGAACACAUGAUUGCUGCUAGAUGGGUCCCAAAUCAUAACCAGGCCUCCUAUUUAGGCCAUUGGAUGGGUACCUUUAGAAACAAAUGAACAAAUAUGUCAAUUUUUUUUCCCAAAUAAAUGUAACACAAAAAGAGAAAGCAAAAGGACUUAUGGGCAAUGGUCCAAAGGUCCGAAGGUAGCCUAACCCACAUGAGGCCCAUUCCUUCCAGACUCCUACUCCCACCGACCCUACUAACCCCAAGUUGUUUUUUGAUUUCAUGUGAGAUUUGAGAUGAGGAAGUAGUAAAGAAACUAAUAAAUAAAAACUGAAAAUUUAUGACCACUAGAGUUUUUCCCCUAUAAGGGUCAUAAGAUAUGAUGGAAGUGUCCCUUGACUGCAUAGAGAUGACAAAUUUCACAAUUUGGUGAAAUUUACAAGAUGUGUGUGAUGAAACUUGCAAGAAACUAUAGAACCUUUUUCUAUUCACGAUCAGUUCACAAGUUUCAGAAGCGUGUAAUAAGGGUUAAUUGAGAACUUUCACCAACUUUAAGAGUGGCAACCUUCAAUAAAGAACUCAAUUAAAGGCCUUGAACAAAUGGAGUGACCUCCAAAGGCAUUCCACUAGAUAGAGAGAGUAAGUGUAGAUGGUGGUACUGUCCUUAAAAUUAAAAGUGGUAGUCGAAGCUGUCGAGACCAUAAGCCAAAGCUUGGUUGGUUUGGAAGUGGGGGACUAGGGCAUCAAUAUUUCUGUGCCAUCAUGGUAAAAAAGAAUAGAACUACUGCAUUUUAUAAGAGAGUGAAUAAAACCACUGAAUUUCAUAAGGGAUGACAGCAAUAAGGCAAAGGCAUGACUCACAUGGAGCUUUGAGUGCAAUAGACAGAUCACUUGAAUGAUGAAAUGGUGACGAACAAUCCUGGAAAAAGAGGCAUAAGCAUGAAUCAUUUGCAGAAAAACUUAGUGCAGGACAUACUCAAAUAGAAGCAGCAUGGGAUUGUCAACCACUAUUGGGAACAACAAUGGAGGAAGGAAGACAUCAGAUACAAGACCCUUGUGAUUGUUUUCUGCAUUCAUAUCAUGUGGCCUACACACAUGAUCUUUCAUACCUAACAAUUCCAUCUGUAUUUGUUGCUUCUAAAAUCCAGACCUGUCCUUUGUACCUUGCUCAACCAUAAAAGAAACGAGUCUCCAUCAAUUCUUUAACCCUGCAAUUUUAUUUAUUUUAUUCUAUUGUAUAACUUAACUUCUUGGCUUAGUGGAAGCUAAUCUAAACUUGUUCAUCUUGUUUGCAUGCACACAGAAAUAACCAUCAGUUUGGUAGACUAUAUCUGGGUUAUCAAUUGACCAUGUUGUCUGUCAUAAUUUCCUGAAAAUCCAGAGUACAUAACUUAACUAGGGUUGAAUUAAUGGUGGUCAAGUUAAUGGUUGAAGAACAACUUUGGAUGAUGGACCUAGUCCACCCACUAAAGCAAGGGUCAUUUAUAAUAUUAGUGGGUCAAACAAGCUAAGCUCAUUGAUGUGUACAAAACUUGACAAUCAAAAAGAAGGCCAACAGUGAACUCAAUUCCCAGCUUUAUAUCCAACCUUUCCCUGGAAGCAUCUGAUUUAAUAGAGAGAGAGGGAGAUACGAUGGCUUCUGCCUGUGCAACCAAUUCCCAGGCUUCUACAACCACCGAAAUAGACUAACCUGAGCCAUUCUUGGUUCCACUUUUCUCUCCUGUAUUCUUCUCUCUCCCCCACCCCCAUCUAUUCAAAACAUUUCAUUUUCUAUUCCCCUACCUAUUUAAAACGCUUCGUUUCUCCCCCAUAUGCUCUAUACUCUUGUCUAGCAUGGGAAUCAUGUCAGCCCAUCAACCUAGUCAUUCAGGUGAUUAUUCUGCAUCUCAAUUCUUUCAUGUUCAAUCAGAGCUAAUCUCCCUCUCUUCCCAGCCAAGCUUACCAUCAGUUCCUUCCCUCACCUCACAAACCCAACAGCAACAACUCUAUCUUCCCAGCACCACCACCACCCACCAUUGCGUCACCACUUUCAAAGGCCACACGUCCUACGUAUCUUCCCUUGCCCUUGCUGGUAAUUUCCUGUUUAGUGGAUCUUCUGACAAAGAAAUCCGAUUGUGGGAGCAAAACUUGAACUCUGAACUUGAUCAUGAGAAUAUAAGUAACAACGUGGUAGCUGUGGGAAAGGGUGCAGUGAAGUCCAUGGUAGUUUUGGGCGAUAAACUCUUCAGUGCCCAUCAAGACCACAAAAUCCGAGUGUGGAAAAUCAAUGACCAGGAUCCCCAUCACCAGAAGUGCACCCGCUUAGCCACACUCCCAACACUUGGUGACCGUGCCAUUAAACUUCUAACUCCCAAUAAUCAUGUCCAAAUCCGACGGCACAAGAAAUGCACAUGGGUCCAUCACGUUGACACUGUAUCUGUGCUCGCGUUAUCAGAAGACAACUCCCUCCUCUACUCUGUUUCAUGGGAUCGAUCACUUAAAAUUUGGCGAACCACUGACUUCAAAUGUUUGGAGUCGGUAGGAAACGCUCAUGAUGAUGCAAUAAAUGCAUUAGCAUUAUCCCACGAUGGAUAUAUAUAUACCGGCUCAGCUGACAAGACAAUUAAGGUGUGGAGGAAAGCCCCGGAAGACAAGAAACAUUCACAAGUAGCGACACUGGAGAAACAUAAUUCUGGGAUUAAUGCGUUGGCACUGAGCACUGACGGGUCUGUGUUGUAUUCUGGUGCAAGUGACAGAUCAAUAGUGGUUUGGGAGAAGGAUUAUAGUGGCAACAUGGUGGUGGUGGGUGCCCUCAGGGGUCAUUCCAAGUCCAUAUUGUGCCUAGCAGUGGUAUCAGAUGUGGUAUUUAGUGGUUCAGCAGACAAUACUAUUAGAAUUUGGAGAGGCAUCCAUAAAAGCUACUCAUGUUUGGCAAUCCUUGAAGGGCAUACAGGUCCAGUCAAGUGCUUGACUGCAGCAACUGACUGUUACAACCCAUCUAAUACAUCAACUUCUUAUCUUGUUUACAGUGGCAGUUUGGACUGUGACAUCAAGGUGUGGCAGAUUUUUAUUCCUCUUCUUUAGAGGACUUCUUCAUCCUCCUUUUGAGGUUUUGUAUUAUAGCGUGAGGAGAUUGUGUUUUACCUUUUCCUUUUUCACUGCCUUGUGCUUUCAAUUUCCUCCUCCCUCCUCUUCCUAAACUCUAAAAGAAUGUCAAUCAGUUUCUAGAGGUGUUCUUUUUUACUUUUCUUAUGAUUGUAUUAGAAUUUUAGUAUAAUAUCAAGGUCUGAAACUCAUGAGCGAGAAGGGAAUUUCAUUGUUUUUAUGGAGUGGUUUUCUUCACUAAGCUAAGCUGUAUAAGGAAGCAAUACAUUCUAGAUUUUAAAUGUGAACUUGUGGGUGUUUGAUUUAUCAACAAAGCUGACCUUUAUCUCUAUCAGACUGGGGGAAAGUGAAGGCCUAAUAGAGUAAGAUGAAAUUUUCAUGGCCUUGGGAUCUCUGAUCAGUUGGCUGUGAAAAGAUCAAGACUCAAAACCAUAACCAUACCCCACCUCCAAGUUGCUUUACCAUGUGUUCUCAGGGAUAAAUCUUCAUAAUUUUAUAUUUAUAUUAUUGAUACUUGAAGAUAGCGCAAGCAAAGCUUCCUCCCUCUAAAAGAGAGAUGAUGUGCCCUCCCUUGCCUACAUCUUUUCAAACAUGGCCCUUUUCCCCUAGCUCACAACUUGUGUGCUUUAUUUUAUGCAAGGAUUAGUUGGAUUGUGGGACUCAACAAAAAAGAGGCCAUUUUGAUAAUAAGUAGUUCUAGUAGAGAUUAGAAAAAGUUUUACCCACAUUCUCUGCCCUCCUAACAUCUUUAUCUUUUAUUCUAAGUUGGAUUUCUAAGAUUGCGGUUAUAUUUCAAAUUCAACUUAGAAAAGGAAAUCAAACCUAAUUAAUCUAAACUUUCUUCUUUCAAUGAAAAGAAUCUUCUUCUGGGUAGGUGUCAUAGAUGGGUAAAUAGACAAUUAUGAGACAGAAACUGUAAAGAAAGAAAUUACUCUAAUUAUGAAGUGCAUUUUUCAAAAAGGAAAGUGAAAGGUAUUCCAUAAGAAAUGCCUUCCGCUGAUUAAAAAGGUUUACAUACAAAGCUUAAGAAUGGGUUGCAUUUACAUGAAGACCUGUUGGAUGCCUCAUGCCACAGAGAAGGAAAGGACUGUACUUUGAAGAGGAAGUAUUAUUUUUUUUCUGAGAGAAUAUAGCUUAUGGAUCUCAUGCAUUAGAGACUACAUGUUUAUGCCUACAUCUGUGAGCAUAUGCUCUACUUUUAUAUCAUAUAAUAUCAUUUCUAUCAUCAUCAUAUGUACUAGUCAUAUUUAUAGACAGCCUGCCAAAGAGCAUUUACACACUCUACUUGAAGAACAAAGACCCUCAAUCAAUUAUGUUGUAUUGUUUCACAAGAAAAUGGAAAAACCAUAGCUCCUGGACUAUGGCUCAAUGGUAGCAUCAUCUAGCAACGAACUAGAGGUCCUAAGUAACCUUCUCAUUAUUUAAGUGGCGUGGGAUAGAGGAGGAUUCAUAUCAUAUAGUGUUUGCUUCCCUGAUGGUCGAGACAAAUGAAUUGCUAUGAGAUGGAGUUCAGUCAUCAAAACUGACAUUGGUUUAUCUAUCAAAUAAAAUUCCAAAAGAAAAGGUUGAAAAACUAAAUCAGAUGCUUUUUUUUCCUUAUAUAACCUCACAAAAUGUCUGGCAGCAAUGUAUAUUGCAUAAAUCUCACCUAAGUAUCUUCAAUUAAAAUAAUGUUUGUUGCGACCUUCCAUGAUUCAACAUAUUCAACAAGUUACAUGUGGAGUGGAAGUUAGGUACCAUUCCACCAUUAUUCUUACCUAACACUUUCUCCUUUUUUUUUCAAAUCUCUCUCCAUUACACAUCGUGACAAACAUAGAAGUGGAGCUUAGGGAAAGAAAAAAUGCACAAGAUUUCAUCUAAUAACCUUUUUAAGGAUGACUAACAAAACAAGAUACCAUCAUCAACCGGUUUCAUGUUCUAAAGAAACCUACUCCUAACUUGGUUAUCUGGUGUAAACACGUACUGGCCAAAUGAGAGCGCAAAAUUAUUGAAGGAAUGCUUUAUCACUUUUAACCUAAGUUUUAAAUUAAUAUAUGACAGCUAGCCAACCAAGGCCACAAGUAAAGAGAUUUUUCCCCCAUGUUUGUAAAGAAUUGCCAUAAUAAUCCUUUUCAAAGUCCAAAUCACUGGCUGUUAUGCUUGAAAUAUACCGAUUUUCAGUAUGGAUGAGAAUAAAGGAAUGGAUUACAUUGUCUGAAAGGCCUUCCACAAAUAUGCACCAAUUGUCACAUGAGCAGUCAGGGACUCAGAAAAUGAAUCUCGUUUAAUUUUCCACAAGGGGCAGCUUCUUUUUUAAUCUUUACUUUUCUAUCCUGCUUUUUUAAUCUUUGUUCAGUAAAGACAGAUUCACCAUAGAUAUAAUCCAGAAAACUCAUUAAUCACCACAUUUUCUAAAAAAGGCUCCCACAAAGCUACAAAGGAUAUAACAAUUUAUUAUCUUGUGGCAAAACCAAGUUUAUCCCACAGGAUCCAACUUCCCCACACACCCAACCUCCAGAAAGAGGAUUACAAAAAAAAAAAGUAACUAAAUGUGAAAUGUACAAAAGAAGAACAAACAGGUCAAUUCAUAUGCGCUUCACAAGGGAUCUUCUUUUCCUUCUUAUAAAGUUACAAGUUACAAUGACAAAUUAAAAAGAAAAAGAUUCAAAAAGUUGGCAUUGGAGUAAUUUACAGUGGUGAUUUCACUGGUGUACCUGGAUCACGGGGAUACUUCCUUGGGGUGGGGCAAUCUUUUAAACAUACGAUCGCGGUUCGCUGUCCAAAUGGGCUGUGUGAUUCCACUGGAUACAGAAUAAGCUGUUAUAGUUUCAACUCCAAUAUACAUGGCAUGGUUCUAGUGAUACAAAAAAUGCUCAGUCUGGACUCUGGAUAUUGCUAAAAUCCUAUGAGUUUUAACAUAGAGCUUAACCAAGUUCAUUAAAUGAAAGCUGAUGUUUGUAUCACAACUAAAAGCAGAGAUCAGCAUAAUCACAAAAGUCACAUUACACAAGAUAAACAAGAUCUUGGCUAUAAACCAUGUCUGAAGCUAAUGUGUGCAGGUAGAAGAACAUCUACAGUCCAGAAUCUUAUAGCCAGGAUUAAGGAAGAAAUAUUUCAUUUUACUUUUCAUAGGAUAGACUUAAACCCACAUCUGUGCUAAUGUGGUUGUAGAUUUCCAUCUGACCAACACAACUGUUGUAAUGCAGCCAUUAUGUUCAGCUAAAACACUAGAGAACAUAAGAAUAACAAAUGAGCCUUGCUGGUAGCAACAAGACCUUAAUGUAAAGGUCCCAGUUUCAUUUUAAGUCACCAAUUAAUCACUGUAUAUUUUCAUUUUUCUUGCCACUUAAAUUAUAAAUUGUGGGGGAACUGAAAAUGACAAACAUACCUGAGCAUAGUUGUAAGACAGAUGCACCCAUCAAUUGAAUUGCUCUUUCUGCAUUUCUAACUUCUUCCUGUCAACAAGUAUCAAACAUGAAACUUAGUUGAUACUUGAUAGUUCACAUCUAUAAGAUACAUUUGUACAUAUAAAUAUACAUAGAUACAUAUAUACAUACAUAGCAUUUAAAAAAAGUCUAUUUUGUUGCAUGUACAAGCUCAUUUGGGGAUUUCAUGAAGUGAUAAUUAUAUAACAAUAAGAAUGGAUUAUUAUCACAUUAUAACAUGUAUUUAAGGGCAUAAGAUCCCUUAAAGAUGCGCAUAUAAACCAUUCAUCAUAGGUAACAACUUAAUUAACUGAUAAUGUUUUCUAGCAUUGGAACAAAUAUGUUUUGUUGCAUAUACAAAACCAUUAUAGGAAUUUCUUAAAAUGACCUUUAUAUAUAAAACAAUAAAAAUAGGGAUCAUCAUUAUUACAUGUACUUCAGGGCAUAAUAGAUUCCUUGGAGGCAUGUGAGAUCCCAUGUAAAAUGAAAUCAAUCCAGUGUAUGUUACAUAGCAUUUUUAAUGAAUUGCUUAUAUUGUCUAGCACUUGAAACAGGCCUGUUUUGUCUUUUUGUAGGAUCAACUUAUGAUCUCAUGGAAUGAUGCCAAAUUUUGCUUUAAUUUGAGGUAAUAACUUUAUUGGAGGUCCAAAUGCACUCAGUGAACUAUAAUAUAUAGUUCCUCCAGGGUUACAACACCAGAAUAUUUCAGGAAUAUCUUUGAGCUUGCAUGUGCAUGCUAUAAAUGAAGCUUCACAUAACAGCUGUAACUUGUAAAAACUAUUUUUUUUUAUAAGUAAACACACAGAGAAAAUAUAUAUUAGAAAAACGGGCACCUUAAGGCUGACCCAAAAGCAUACAGGGGGUAUACAAGAGGCGCCAAAAGGCAAGAACAAAAAGAAGAGGGGAUACAAAAGAUCACCAGCCCUCAACUAGAACCCAACCAAUCAAAAAAACUGAUUAAAGGAAGAGGUCCUUCAUUUACAACCGACUUAGUCCAAAACCAAAUAUUACAUACAAAAGAAUUUUUCAACCUAUGAAUUGAAAGCUCCUCAUUUUCAAAUGAAAUCCUAUUUCUUUCCUUCCAAACCGCCCAAAAAAGACACAAAGGGGCUGCCUUCCACACCUUACAACGCUUCUUGCCCAUGUUAAUACCACGCCAACCAAAAAGGGUAUCUCUAACCAAAUAAGGAAGAACCCACUGUAACUUGUAAAAACUAUUGAAAAAUGGUUUUGCAGGGCAUAAUUCAUUCUUUAAACAAGUUGUACAAUCAACAUAGGACACCCAAAAUUUUUUAUUCCUAUCUAUCCAACACAAGUGCUAAACACAAGAAACAGCUCAUAAUUGACUCCAGAAAAAAGCUUCUCCACAUAAACUUCAUUAAAAACUGGUCUGGUGAAGGAAAGCAAUCAACCACUUUAUAUAGAAAGAUCACAUUUUUUUUUUUCUAAAGGAGCCUCAUAACAAAGAGACCUGAUCAUGAGAAAUAACUCACAAUUGACUGCACAAGAAACCAUUACUAAUGAAUUUUAUAAGAGGAUGGUUUUGAGACAAAUCAAUCUACAAUAAAACAUCAUGUUUUUCUUGCAAUAACCUAAAUACAACCCAAAUAUAUAUAUAUAUAUAUAUAAUAAUCAACUCAGCAAUAAGCUACAAAAGAUAACGAUCAGGUAGUUGAAGUUCCAAACAGAAGCAUACUUGGGGAUCAUGACCUUUCGCAGCUAGAAACAAACCACCCACACGAACUAGAGGAAGACAGUACUCAGCUGAAAAAGAAAUAAACCACAAAAACUAUCUCAAGCAGUGAUGACUUCUGAAACACUUAAAUAUAUUCAAAAGAAAUCUGGAAAGGCAUACUAAUAAUUACCUAAAAUCCUCAUUUCUGCGACUGCUCUGGCUACUGCUACAUCAAAUACUUCUCUGAAGCCAAUGUUUUGUCCCAAAUUCUGGCCCAUAAAAAGGUUUGGAUCCAGGGGACAAUUACUGGUAAGUGAAAUAUUCGAAUCAGAUAGUUCCAAGAAAAAUAAAACAAAAAGAAGAGAGAGAAUAAUAAGUUGGUGGACAGCCACUUCCUCUGAAAAAUGAAAUAAGAGAUUUCACAUUACAACAAGUGACCAAAAUGCACUAGUUUAUCUCAAAUUGCAAGAAGAGCCAGUGAGCUUAAUUAGAAAGUGGUGUUAGAGUAACUCUUUAAGGCUGGACAGGGACGAGAUGCACCAAAGAUGUAGCAUUUCUGAUGAAAUUCCAUACACAAGGACAGAUCCUGUUUCAAAAGUACAGAUAACAAAAGGAAAAAUAUAUGCAGCUUUUACUUAUAAGUAAAAAGUUAAUGAUAUGUUUUCUGUUCCAUAAACAAGGCGAAGAUACAAUAUUUUGCAAACAAUCUACCUUCCUGACCCUAGCAACUUGUGGAAUUAAGAAUAUUGGCCAAGAGUAAAUCAAGAUAACAAGAUGUGAGAUCCCAAAAACAAAAAAUAAAAAAUUGAAGAAGACAAAUAUAGAAAAGCAACCAUAAUCACAUCCAUUGAUGAAAAUAUCGGUAAUCACAAAUAUAUCGGUACUUCGAUUUUAAGGAUAUAUCGGUGAAUAUUUUGGAAAAAUAUAUCGAUAAACUUAAAAUUGAUCAAAACUCGUGGAAAUAAGAAAAAUUUCAUAAAAAUGUAAUUAGUAGUAUAAUAGACAUUUUAAAUUUGUUUUGUUCAACAAUUUGAUAUAUAUAAUAUAAUUUAUCAUAUUUGAUAAUAAUAUUGUAUGCAUCAAUAAAAAAAUAUAAAUUUUAUAAAUGUACAUUUAUUAUUAAAUUACAUCAAAUAUUAUUCCACAAUAAUAUUGUGAUAUUUAAUUAUAAUAUGUUUAAUUUUAAAAUAUAUUUAAUAUUAAAAUUAUGAUCCAUUUAAUUCAAUUGUAUUAAAUGAUAUAAAAUAAAUGAUGAUAUAUGUAUAAAUCUUUUAUAUUUAAUUAAUAUAUAAGUGAUAUAAAAAAAAGUUAAGAAAAUUAUCAUUGUAAUUUUUAUAUUUUUAAUGGUCAAUUAAAUUAAAUUUUAAAAUAAAAUAAUUAGAAUUAAUUUAUUUAUUAAAAUAUAUUGUUUUUAUCACUAUCUUAGUAUAUAUUCUUCUAGUGCACAUCAUAUAUUAAAAGACAAGUUAGCCCAGUGGUGACUGGUGAGCAGGCUGUGCACACUGGUUUCGGGUUCGAGCCCCACACCUGCAGCAGCCAAAAUUUUCCCUUUUUGUUUGACAAGUCAGCAGCCCAAAAAAUCCACGUUUUUUUUGGCGAUAUUUUGGUGUCUCAGGCAAUUUUCAUCGAUUUUUUCCGAUAUUUCUUCUCGUUUUUUGUAUUGCCCCUCGCCAAAACAUGAAAUUUCGGCAAAAUUUCAGCAGUGUUUUCCGAAAUUUUCAUCCAUGAUCACAUCCUACAUUAUUUUUGUGUUUUUCCCACAAUGGAAAUAUGUCUAAAUGAACCAGUAUGAGGUUAAAACCCCUGCUAAAUGUGUAAGUUGGGAACACAGUUUCCAACAACCCAGAAAAAAUCUGAUGACCUCUCACAAAGCUCAACAAAAACCUGACCCCAUUGCUUCACUGCAACUGGCAAGAGAGUAGGAUGGAGCUAGGGAGAAAAUCACUCCCAUGAGAUUAACACCAUUGGUUGUGAAAAAAAUGGAGUUUCCAGUUUGAUUUGAGAACCAUAUUUCUGAUUUGGCUGAAAGCAGACAAACAAUUCUCUCACUCCGAAGAAAACCACCUUUGAUGAAAAAGGAAUUGUAAAAAACAUUGAAAAGGAUCUUUCGUGUAUAAUCCUGCAUAAUCUUGAAUGUUAUCAGUUCCGGUACGUAGACCAAAUGAUACAAUGCAAGCAAAAGUUCCUAGAUUCAUGGAGAUAUAGAACAGCAUAUAAGUUAUCAUAAACAGCAUUAACUUUUCUUGUGUUGCUUUUUUAGUGAUGAACUACCUUUUUUUCAAAGGCAAAAAGAAUAUUAUAGAAAAAAGCACCUAACAAAAAGCCGAUGCACCAUCGUACUGGGGCAUACACAAAACACACCACAAGAUGGCACAAAAUUGAGAAAGAUUACAACAUGCCAAAAUGCAGCCCAUGCCAUAAUCAAUCAAUGAAAUCCAGAAAACAGGAAUAACACCCCUCUCUACCAUCUCCCUGCACCUAAAAGAGAAAAGUUUUAAGGAAGUGGUCUUUGAAUGCUAAUUCUGACUGCUUAACACUUCAAAAAUCCUGUAUUCCUCUUUUUCCACACACAUCAAAAUAAGCAUAAAGGAGUCAUCCUCCAUGACUUUUUUGAGUUUUUAUCCCACAAAACUACUGUGUUACCCAAGCAAGAGCUUCUUGACUGAUUUAGGGAGAACCCACCUCACAUCAAAAGGGAGACUAAUAAAGAUCACAUUCUACUAAUCCAUUCACAAUGAAUGAAGAUGUAAUCAGUCGUUUCUUCUUUAUUUACACAUACAACAUUUGCUCAUUAGAGACCACCUCCUAGUCAGAAGCUGAUCAAUAAUAAGAAUCUUUCCCCAUGUAGCCUCCCCUGCAAAAGGCACACAUUGGAAGGAGCAGCAGAAAAUGAAAUUUCUUUUAGAGGGAAAAGAAAUAGGGUUUCCUGAACGUAGUGCUUAGAAAAUACUCCUUCGUGAUUGCCUUCUAGACAAACUUAUCCUCACAAUUUUGCCUCAUGGUAAAGUGAUGAACAAGUUGCAUAAAAGAGUCCAUGAAGGUCAACUCCCGACCUAGAUAGCUCCUUCUGAAUCUAGGCAACCAAUGACAAGGCUUCCUCUCAUUCCACCCCAAAAAUCUGCAACCCAAAUAUCAUUGUGCAGUGCUAAAACACAAAGGUAAGGAUAAUAAUCCUUCAAUGCUACACACCACACAUCAUGUCAAAACUCGGUGUCAAACUACUAGUUACUUUUAAACUUAUACCGAACUAAUAUCCUUAAACACCUAGACCAAAUCUCCCCACCCUGAGCCUGAAAACCAUAUACACAGAGAGGUAAAAGAUAAAAACCUUAAAGCACAAGCUCUCAUUACUAUGUUAGACUACCAUUUACUCAAUAGUUUAAGUUGGUAAGGUAUAUCAAGUCAAUAUAAAGUGUGUGCCUUAAGGAGGGAAAUUCCCUCGAACCAAUUCCCCUCCCCCCUCCCCACCACCAAACAACAUCAACAACUACUACAACAAGGAGGGGCAAAGAUGAUGAAUUUGUUCAUAUAUGUUUUGGUUUAAAUAAAACUAAAAAUGAACUGUUAUAACAGACACGUAUUAUUGCUAUGAGAAAAAAAAUCCAAAUUUCCAUUUAGUAAUCAAAUAAUGGAAUAACAAAGACUUUCUUGAAAUACAUACAUAUGAUAUAAAGAGAAGGCGAAAAAAAUUAAAGAAAAAAUAAUUGAAAGAGUAAAAAAAUAUACAUGUUUUCAAUGGAAAAUUAUAUUUUUAAUGGAGGAAUUAUGACCUAGUGGGUUUUUGAAGAAGAAGUUACAGCAAUUGUGGAAACAAAUUACCUACACUCACAAUUUAGGUAGUUUUAGGUGGGAAAGUAGUUGCUUUCCAGAUGUAUUAUUUUCUAUUUAUUAGAAUUUAAAACUAUGGAAGAUAAAUUCAUUACUUAUGGCUUGUUGGUAAAUUUGUUUCAUUUUAACCAAUUUGAAUUCCAAUUAGUAUCCUCCUUCAAUUUUAAUAGAUGACUAAUUAUUAAAUAAAUAAGAUUGGCUAGAAAGGAGAUUAAAUGGUUUUGACACGCUCGUCCUGUGGCCUUCUUGGGGUGUGCGUGUGUGUGUGUGAGAGAGAGAGAGAGAGAGAGAGAUUGACAUUCAUAUUUCCUCCUAAAUAGCCACUUGUUAAUCUUAAAAUUCUCUUCAAGAGUUUUAAACAGGUGAUUCCAAGUACUCUGUUUAAAUGGAGUUUUCUUUGUUUUUAUAGUUCUUGCAUUAUGUAUUUGUAAUUUGUUGUUUUCACUGUUAACCAAAGAACCUUCAAGAAUUGUGCUUAUUUUAAUUGUGAAUCCUCUCUUUAGUUGUGGCUUGAUUGUUAUCAAGUUUCUGUGUGUUUGUGCGCACACAUGUUCAGAUCUUAUAAGGAACAUAGACCAACUUGGCCACAUAUUGAGGUCCAAGCAAGUGCCAUACAGCUUUGUCUGGUAGCCAGACUAUGUCAAACCUCCCAAAAGGUUAAAGAAUAAAUCCUUGAACAUGGCUCAGUUAGUGGAUUUCAUUGUUUCCAUAAGAAAAAACAUGAAUAAUUUCAAUAAUUCUCAUUCAGAACCUAGCUUCCAAGCCUCCAACAUUGUAAACAACUACGUCAAUUUAAAAUGGAAAUGAGACUGUUCAAACAAGCAAAUGAAGCACAAAAUGACUACAGAACUACACAAUGAAACUUUUGAGUCACAGGAAAGAGGGGAGAGAGUGAGCGAGUGAGAGAGAGAGAGAGAAGAGCAAAAUACCUCUGCUCUCCCUCUUACAACUUGCACAUUUGACAAACCAGUUAAACUGACUGCAUGCUCCAAGAAAAUGCAACGCUUGUUCAUAGAUUCCAAAAGUGUUAUUUUCCAACCUGUCCACCAAAAAAUGCCAAUCAAUCUGUACUCAAUUUAAAAAAAUGAAAAUGUUAAAACUAAAUCAAUUUAUAGGGAAAAACCAAAGCAGACUAAGAUCUGUUCCAAUUAGGUUGCUGACAAAAUGUAGGAUAUGAUGAAGAAAUCAAAAUUUUGAAUCUUAAAACAUUUUCAUAAUUUUGUAGCCCAUAAAACCAAACCCAAAUCAGCUGUCCUAAAGUCAAUUUUUUGCUUUCUGGGGUUGAAUUCCCAUUUCAAAACAAUAACAAUUAUCCACACAACAUAUAAUCCCCAAAAUGUUUCUUGUUUUCCUCCAUUGUCUCUCAGCAACCAAACAAACUGUAAAAGAAAGCCACAAUAAGUCUCCUGAAUGAAUUACCGCUCAUCAAACAAUUCAAGAAAACUCACUGGGACAGGCUAUAGCUAAGAUUAAACCAGGAAGCCCCGGACCGCUUCCCACAUCCACAAGGCUAAUAUUAUUGCAUGAACUGUCACAAUGCGCGAUAUAAGAGCUCUGUAUGGGAGGUAUCAUCGCAAGCGAGUCACCAACGUGCCUUUCCAUGACCUCAUCUGCCUUCGUAACAGCAGUCAGAUUCAUUUUCUGCAAAAUGAAAAACCACAAAUUCUUUAAAUUCCAUUCAGUUUUCUAGAAAAUAUACAUAUAGGGAAGUUGCUUCGUUAAUUUUGCCACAAUGGUACCCAAAAAACCAAAUCAGUAUAAAACGCAUGAUUCCAGAAACCAACUAAACAGAAGUUAGUUUAGAGAGGAGGGAGGGAAAAAACCUGGUUCCAUUGAAGAAGAGCAUCGACGUAGAGAGAAAUUUGUUGCUUCUGGAGAGGAUUUAGGGUUUCGAAAUAAGAGGAGUUAAGGACUUUGGUGGUAGUUAGGGUUUUAGUGGCGAUUCUGUGAGGUCGAAACCUUGUCGAUAUUGAGGUGGUAACCUGUUUGACGAAAGUUCCCACAGAGAGUGGAGACGACACACCAGGAACUUUGCCACGCCAAACCAACAUCUUUUCCCGCUCCUUAUCUCGCCCACGUGGUUAAUAUUAGAAUCACAGGCCACAAUACGCACAAGUUUGUCGUGAUCAUUAAUCAUUAUUUAAAAAAAAAAAAAACAAAAAGGUUAAGGGCAUGUUUGAUACCCGUCUUCGAAAACAAUUCUAAAAAAAAAACAAGAACGAUAAGAAAUAACUAAAAAUAUUUUUUUGAAAAUGUUUUAAUUUCUAUUAUUAAGAACAAAAAAUAAAAAAUAUUUUUUGAUCAUCAUACCUUUUUUUUAAAAUUUUUUUGUUUUGAAUUAAAAAAAUUAUUUUCAAAAACAACUAUUAAAUAAACUUUAUAUUUUUUGUAAUAAAUAAAGUUUAAUUAUUUUUGGAAGUGUAAGCCUCAAUAACCUUUCCUUCGGUUAUAAAUUAAUAAUAAUAAUAAUAAUUCACUACAUUAGAAGUAUGAGCAUUAAGCAUUUGGAAAUUAAAUAAAAAAGUUUUUAUAGUAUCUUUAUAUUAUGUUAUACAACUAAAAAAAAUGGCAUUGAAAUAUAAAUAAAAAAAUUGGUAUUUUGUUUAUAUAGAGAAAAAAAAUGGAAAAACUGGUUUUUGAUCAAUCCCGAAUAUUUUAAGCAUUUGAAGUAAUCACUUAAUUUAUGAUUCUUUCAAAUAUAACUAAUAGUGCAAACAUUUGAUUAAACGAACUGUUUCAUAAAACAACUUAUUAAUAAUUUAAAGUAAUUUAAUAACUUCAUUUAAAUCAGAUUUAAAUAUAUUUAAUAAAAUGAUUUAAUAGUAUAAUUUUAAAUAAUAAAUUAAAACAAUUAACUUAUUUUUAAGUUAAUAUUUUCAUUUUACUCUUUUAUCCUCAUAUACUCUAAUUAUCUUCACGAUUUUUUUUACUACUCUAUAACCUCCUUCAUUAUUGUUCGACCUCAUUUGCGUUAGUUAUGAUUUAUGAGAAUAAAUAUGUCAAUUUGAUGAUUUCAAAUAAAUUUUAAGUUAAUUUUAUUAAACAAUCUUAAUACUUAAAAUAAUAAUUGAGUAAUAGCUUUUAAGUCAAUAACUUAAAUAUAAUUUAAUUUAAAAUCAAUUUAAAUUAUUAAAUAACAAGUAUUAAGUUUUACCAAAUACCUCCUAAAUAAUAGCUUAAUUAAAAUGGUUAUGGAUCACUUUUAUCAAUUUCCUUAACAUUAAUUAUCAUUUUAAAAAAUAAUUGUUCUAAUUAUAUCUAAUAAUAUAAUCAAUGUCAAUAUUUUCAUGUUUCAUUUUCACUCUUUAAGAGGCGUGCAUUUUGACUGGAUUUGGACUUGGGCCACCAUGGAUGCAUAUUGGGCUAGCCGAUGGCCCGAACGUUGACUCACUGGAUCCAGAACUUGGGCCUGCGGAUGAGCCGGGGCUAGAUUGGAGGGCCCAAUGCCCUUUAAAACGGCGACGUGUUUGCUUGAUGAGAAAGAAUGGGGUGGGUCUGGGAGGCCUGUCUGGCAAGAAAUAAAAAUAUGGAAAAAGAGUGCGUGGAGUGAAAGCACUUUUAGGAAGUAAUGAUUAUAGGGAGAUGGGUGCCAAACAAGUCACUGUGAUUGGAAUAAAUACUUUUGUCUGUUGAGGGCAUGGGGGUCACGGUCACCUUCAACAAUUCCAUCGCCAUUGGUCCGGAUUCAAAUUACGGGGUCCCAUUCAUUCAUCACCAUAUAUAUAUAUACACACAUUUGUAGUAAUUUUCUUUACGAUCAAAAUUCUGCAUCGGAAGUGCUCAAGUGUUCAAAGGUAAAACUUUUUAGAUUUUCAAUUUUAAAAAAUUUUCCAUGUUUUUUAAAAUGCUUUUUGGAAACUUGUUCGAUCCACUAGGAUGUCUUCCCCGUAAAUACCAUGUUAGAGAGAUAUUUUUAGUGUAAUAUGAAUUUUAGAAAGAAAAAAAUGAUUGCUAGCCUUUCUUGCAUUAUAAUAUUCUCAUAUUAUUUACGAGUAUUUGUGAUUCUUAUUUUAGAUUCGUGAAAGAGUUUGGCAUCCCCUCAAAGAGUUGAGGUGUCCACAUGUGAUACUAGCUUAUGAAAGUGAAGGCUAGUAUAACUAUGAAAGAGUCAGACUUCAAAAUAACAUAUGUUAGAUAAAUUUGUGCACUUUCUUGUGAUAACGGAUCUGUCAUAUGAUCGUAAACCUCUUAACUUUUACAUCCUCAAAAUCUCUGGAAGACUUUGUGAGUGAUUUUUUAGGUAAAAUUAUUAUAUCUUGCACGAUUGAAAUCCCUUCUUCUUCCAUGAUUCUUAAAAAGAAAUUACUAAAUAUUUAUUCACCCCUUUUAGCUAUUUCAUAAACAAGAUCUAAGACUUUAUAAACCUUAUUACUUAUAAGUAUUAAAAUAUUUUAAUUGUGAUAUCCCACGUUCGAUAGAAGAAAAAGUUCAUUGUGCUAUAUCAGUAUUAGUUUCUCUUACUCAUGUAAAAUUGUUUUAAAGUCACGAUGACUUCUUCGAGUUUAGAGUGGAUAAUAUCUGUACGAUUGAAUAUGAGUUUUUACAAAUAACAUCAAAGUCAAUUUCCAACCCUAAUGAGAUGUGCUUAUCUGUUUGACUCAUAAUCUCAUGGGACAUGACAAGAACAUUGUAUUUAUAUGAAAGGUGUUUGAAGUACUUAUUUGUUUAACCUCGUAAUCUUAUGAUACAUAACGAAAAUAUUGUGUUUGUAUAAAAAAGUAUUUGUAAUAUUCUACAUUAAAGAAAAAAGUUUUUGACGUUAUAUAAGCAUGAGUUUCAUGUAAACAUAUUUUAAAGUCAUGAAGAUCUAUUUUGUUUCAAAGCGAUUAAUCUACAUAAUUGGACGUGGAAAAGUGUCGGGUACAAAUUUCAACUCCCAUGUAAAAAGAAUAUUUUGAUACGUAUUAUACUAUUAAAAAAAAUGGCAUUGGAUAAGGUAACAUUUUAAAGUAUUUCUUUUUACAGAAAUCAAGGGAUUUUGAUCAGAUAUUUGAAAAAAAAAAAAAUAAAGGACAAAGUAGAAGACUUGCAGUACCCAUUUUCAUCAAAUAUUUGAAAAAAUAAAAUAAAAUAGAGGAGAAAGUUGCAGUGCCUGUAAUUAUAUGGUAGGAGAUAUGGCAAAUCCCCAUUGGCUAAAACUUACAAAAAGUGAAAAAGGGAGGAACUGGUAGGGGGAAAACAUGUAGGUUAAAAAUGUACAUUGAAGACACAAGCACCAAUGAUUCAAUGGACAUAAAAAACUGACCUUUUCAACUUUGGGUUGGGAGUCUUGGGACUUCGUUUUCUUUUAAAAUUGAUUUGAAUCCAUGGGAAAAUUUUCCACUUUUCUCUACACUAUUUUGCUUUUUCUUUGAAAGGCCCUUUUUCCCAUUAACUCCAACUCUGUUUGCCACAAGGGAAAAGGCUGGCUCAUUGGGAGAUACUUUAUCAGGGUCAAACGUAAAGUGAUUGAGCCAGAGAUUAUAAGAUAGAAGCCAUUCACCAAAAUAAUACAUGGGUGCUUUUCUUAAUCUAAAGAGGGAAGACAACUUGCAUUUUGUCUUCUAUGUUACCACCUCCUUGUCAAAAUCAAUCAAGGGGACUCACCCAUCUCUUCAAACAUCUCACUUUUAAAAGUAAUCUACUUUUUUUACUUAAUCUCAUAGUUGUGACUAAAAUACUUGACUUUUAACCUUGUUAGAUGAUAAUCCAAAUUUGCUUAAUUUACUAGAGGGAAAAGCAAUCCUCUUUACCUUUUUGGAACAAAUUUCCACUUCUAUUUUUGGCUUUAUUGAAAGCAUGCGUUGAGAUCGAAAUUAUACUUUUAAAUAAUAAUAUUUAUUAUUACUCCAUAUUGGAUCAAGAAAAAAUAUAUACAAUACUAUGCAUAUAAUGAACUUCUUUUAAUCAGAUAUGUGAUAAAAAGUUCAUUAGACUGAGAACGGAUAAUAUCUUUAUAAUAGGAAAUGAAUCGAUACAAAUAACAUUAUAAUCAAUUUUCGAUCCUAAUGUGAUUGUUGAAUCAUCUCCAAUAAUAUUUGUACCAUAAAAUCUCAUGGGAGACAAUAAGGUUGUUUGUGUAUGGGUUCCACCCUACAUUGAUUUUUAAAAGACAUGAUGAAUUAAUGAUUUUGAUUUUGUAACAGAGUGAUUGAAUUUAUAAAUUUACAAUAAGAUAGUACCAUACAAAUGCAGAUAACACAGCAACCAACAGGUAUGUCUCUAUUCCUAAUACCAAAAUUCUCUUUUUGCAGGGAGGGGGGGGCUCAGGUUCAUAUUCUCACUGGGCAACACAUUCUCCAUCAAAGUGUCAAAUCACACUCUCUCCCACUCUCCCAACUCUCUUUUUCCUUCUUUUUAGCCCUUGAUUCUCUCUCUCUGUCAUUCCUGAGUUCUAUGAUUCCCUCUGUCAAUUCUUUAUCUUGCUCCUAGUUAUAUAUAUGUGCUGCUGCCAAACUCCCUCAUCUUUAACCAAACCCAAUAAAGCUUAAGCCAUUUCUUCUACUACUCCCCAUAUACAGUCUCAAACAGCCUUUUACUGUAGAGGAAAGGAACAUCUUUAUUAAAAAAUUUAUGUAUAAAGAUUCACCUCCAUCACCUACUGCAGCCUUGAGGCUUUAGCAUCCAAUCGUCUUUGCAGAUCAAAUAUUCAUCUCUGUCACCAAGGCUAAUUAAUAUUUCUUUUAUGUCAAAGGUUGGCCAAAUUGUGAACUCACCCCACAAAGUACUGGUGAGUGAUAUAACAUGGACUAAAAAAAAUGUACAAGGGGUUGUAUGUAACUUGAGUGGAAUGAUGUAGAGUUUGAGAGGGGGCAUUGCUGUAUUCGAUUACUCUUCCAAUAAAAAAAGAGGGGGUCUCCUCCUUUUUGAGAGAACAAGGGGGUUGAGGCAUGGGAAAAGCUAGGACCAUGGGUGCAGUGAUCAUUAUUCUCUCCAUAUGAGAGAGAGAUAGAGAGGGGGAGAGAGAGAGACAUCAAGCCUCGGAGAAAUGGCACGAAAUACCUUGGAUUUUACUCUAUUCUUUCAACCCCAACACCCAACAGCAAUCAUCAUGCCCUCCUCCUCCUCCUUGCUCCUCCAUCUGACUCUCCACCACCGCCAUCAUUACUCCCUCACAAUCCACAACCUCCACUACCACCACCAUCAUCAUCAUCUCUACAUAGAAGAAGAAGAAGAGCAAGAACCACCAACCCCAUCAGCCACACACCCCAACAAGAAGAGGAAGGAGAGUGCCCCAUCAGCCACACACCACUGCCAGAAGGAGGAGGAGGGUUUACUUAUGAGAAAAUUAACCCUAGUCUUUUUCUGAGUACUGAAGAGUCUUCUUCUCCUCCUCCAUCAUCAGAGGCUCCAUCAACUCUUUCUUUUCUCUUUUCUCCUGGGGAAUCAAGCGUCUCGGUCCGAUUGUUUGCUAGAUCCAAGCAAAUUACAGCAUGCUUAAGAAGCUUUUCGGCUAUAGGGUUUCUUCAUUUUUCACUUAUUAAACGUAAUAGUUUGCUUAAUUUGGUAUGUCUUUUUUACUUGAAUUUUGGUGUCCUUUCUCCUUAACUGACUGCAGAAAAAGAAGAAACUUGAUAAUGGCAUGUGGGUAUGUGUGUUUGUGCUAGAAGAGAACAUCAUUCUCUCUUGUAUUAAAUGUUAUUGUGUUUUUUAGUUGAGAACACCAACAAUCAUUAUUCAUUCACUCUGCAAAGAGUUUCAACAGUUCUUGAAAACCAGAUAGGGUUUCGAUAUCCUCAUGGCUUCAAACAAUUUCCCAAGCUCUGAUCUGUUUCUUAUCUGUAAAAAUAUGUUCACAAAAAUGAUGAUGAUGAUACUGACAUGGAUGAAGAAAACUUAAAAGAGAGAUGUGUGUGAACACCUAUGCAUGCAAAGAGAUUGUGCAUGUGGUUUCUAUACAUAUAUGGCUACAUGAACACCAUAUUGUCUAUGAGUAUUUGCUGCAUUAGUUUUAGGCAUUUGGGUGUGAAUAGAAAUAUAUGGAGAGAAAGAUAGAGGCAUAUUGGAAAAGAUAUGCAGCUGCAUAUAUGAACAUAGAAUCUUGAAUUCUGCUUCAUCUAUUUGGGCUAGCUGUAAAACCUAAAAAGUAUCCUGAAUUUGUUAAAAGGCAUAAAUUUGAAGUGUUAGAUAAUAAUUCUAUCUGGGUUUGCUUUUCAUUUAGCAUCUUCUUUUUGCACUAUCAAUUCCAUAUAUAUAUAUAUAUAUAUAUAUAUAUAUAUAUAUUUCUUUGUUCACCUGCUUCCCUUUUCUUCAUGCCAGUACUGCAUCAUCACAAGAAGCAUUACCUGCUAAAAGAUAUCUCUAGCUAGGUGGAGAUUAGCCUAUGAUAGUAUUCCUUAUCAUAUAGCUUUCAAAAUUGCUUUUUUUUGAGUUGCAUCUUUUGUUAGAAAAUCUCUCUGACCAACCUCUCUCACUGCAGUUUUUCACUCUUUGGUUGCAAAUUAUGAUAAAUGCCCUUCUUCCCAUAUGUAGAUUGCACAUGUUUUAGGUUUUUGGGAGUCCUAUCUUGGUGGGUAUUUUCAAAACUUGGUCCAUUCAAUGAAAGGAUAUGGUCACAGCAAAAGGAAACACGUAGACUACUGCAUAUAUACUUGUAUCAGAAUGCCUUUGGAAUUUGGAAUAGAACAUGUUUUAAGAUCACACAAGGUAGAUGCUAUAUUAAUUAGCAGAAAACAUUAAUAGGCAGCAUAUACCCAACAUCAAAAUCAGAAGCAUAUAUAUAUAGGAAUGAUUGAGGAGUACUAUAGAGGUUCUUAAAUCAAUUUCUUUGUUGAGGCUGGUUUUGAUUUGGCAGGUGAGGUAAGAGUGAGUCCCAUUAACACUACUCUUGAAGAGCAUAAGCGUUCGAUAUAUUUCUUGUACCAUUCAAUGAUGCUGAAUGUGCUUGGUAUUUCUAUAUAUAUAUAUAUAUAAACCUACUUCUUUAUUUUGGGCAGUGUUUGGGUUUAAAACGGCAUUUUUUUCUUCGGCCCUUGCUAAAAUAAGUUGGGUCUUCAUUGCUGAUCUUUCAUAUGGAAUACUAAUUCAAAUGACCAGAAAAAAAAAAAGGAUGGGGUCUCCUAAAAGAUUCUCUCUGAGUUGCAGCUGCUACAUGCUUCUGACCCCAAUUCAGAAACCCUAAGUUUUUAAUCAGAGGGAGGCUAGUAUAAGAAUUUGCUUCAGCUUUUCUGGUGCAACCCUUUCUGUUUCUCACUUUCCGUUUCUUCCCUCCUGUGCUUGAAUGCAGCAUUUUGGUUUCUCCUUUACUCCCCUCUCCCCCCACCCCCCCCCAAAACACAAAGGGAAAUAAAAAAUGUAUUCAAAAUUAAUAAAUUAAUUUUAUAUAUUUCUUCAAAUUCAUUUCAUUUAUAUAAAAAUUAAAUCAUUUAAAAAUGUAUAAAAUUUUAACUAAUUUUAAUUAUAUUUGAUUUUCUUUUAUAUUUUUAUGCUCGAAUCAAACAUUAAAAAAAAAUAUCUCCCUUUAUACUUUCUGACACCAAAUAUAACAUAAAAUAAUAAUUUUUUAAUAUUUAAUUUCAUAUGAAAAAAAUAAAUAUAAUUAAAAUUAGUUAUAAAUUUUUAUUAUUUUAAAAUUAUUNNNNNNNNNNNNNNNNNNNNNNNNNNNNNNNNNNNNNNNNNNNNNNNNNNNNNNNNNNNNNNNNNNNNNNNNNNNNNNNNNNNNNNNNNNNNNNNNNNNNAAAAAAAAAAGGGGGGGGUCUCAAAAAAAUUUUUUUUGGGGGGGGGGGGGUUAAAAGUUUUUGCCCCCAAUUAUAAAACCCAAUUUUUUUUUUUGGGGGGGGGGUUUUUAAAAAAUUUUUUUAAGUUUUUUGGGGGAACCCCUUUUUUUUUUCCCCUUUCUGUUUUUUCCCCCCGGGGGGGAAAAGGGCCAUUUUGUUUUUUUUUUUUUUUCCUUUUCCCCCCCCCCCCCCCCCCCCCCCCCCCCCCCCCCCCUCCCUCUCUCUCUCUCUAUAUAUAGAUACAUACAUUCAAAAUGAAGUUUGAUCUUGAAAGAAUUAAAUAUUUUCAAGUGUUUGAUCUCUCCAGUUUCUUCCCUUUUUAUUCACUAGUCUCAAAAUUCAUAGAACUAUAUACUAAUUUUCAAAUAAAUUUCAUUCUCACUGCAAUUGGUCAUAUUGUUUGUCCAUACCUUAUAAAGGUGGAACAGAAGAAUGUCGGUUAAGGCAGAAUGAUGAGAGUUUUGAAAUUGGAUUUUAUGUCGACCUACUAAAAUACAUACAGACUAGACUAAUGAAAUAUUUCAGGACACACAAACCCCAUUUCUCACCCCAAUUCUGUCCCACCUCCGAUGGAUGGGCUUGGAACCCAAUAUGGGAGGCCCAUUUCACAGGGGGGCCAAUUACAUAGCAGGGCGUUUUAUUGAUCUAGUUUAUUUUUCGAAUUAUCUUAAAUGAAUUUAUAAAAAAAAAAACAAUUUUUUUUCCAACUGCAUUUUGACAACUUAAAAAGAAAAGCUAUAGAAAAUACUGAAUUAUUUUAAAAAAUAAUAAUAAUAAAAGCAUAUGCCAAAAUGACUACCAGCAGCCUACUAAAAGUAUGUGAACUACUCUUUCUGAUGCUGAAGCCAUCAACCGAAAGAAUUGGACCAAGGGCAUUCUUUAAUAUUCCAUAAGGGACUGAAAAAGGAAAACAUUAUGAAACUAAUAGUAUCUUGCAACCAUGGAGUGUCAUGUUAUAUUGAAAAUGCCAAAAACUGAGCCAUAAGAACCUAAUUUCUAUUAAAUCCGAGCAGUGAUGUCUGCCACAUAAGAUCCAGGAAAUAAUGGGGGGAACCUUGAUUUGGAGAAAGUGGAUCUAGAUGAAACAUUUCCCAGAAGAAUGUGGCUUUUUACAACAAAUCUAAGGGCCACAUCUUCAGAAUGUGAUACAAACAGUUUAAUCUUUACAUACAAGAAUCUUGAAUGUUGUGCUACACAUGGCUGACAUAAAGAGGAUCAACAAUCAAACCAACAACAAACCCCUUCCCCCCUUUAUUCUCUUUUUGCACCAGAAAGAUCAUACAUACACAGAGGUUCAAAUCUGAAGUUGCUACACUUGUUUGGAAUGAGGACUGAGAGCAAGGAGGAUCUUCUUCCUUGGUCCCUGAAAUUCAAACAGCCUUAUUAAGCAACUGACAGCUAACUUAUUUCAACAAAUGCUCAAGCAAAGGUGUAGGAACAUCUCUCCCACCAUCAGAUGAUAGGUACUUACAAUUCUACUUCCACUAGUACUUUUAUGGAAGACAAAGGUAGAUUAAAACAGAAUAUACCAUGUAUAUUGCUAAUUGUAUGCUCAAGCAUGCUAUUAAAAUAAAAUCAAACGAGAGCUUUAUAGGAUUUGAAGUUCAUUCACUGGGAAGCAUUUCCUUGUAUGUGUAUAUAUGUAUAUGUUUCUUUUCUAACAAUUUGUGCAAACCCAUCAGCACGGAAACCGAGGAUCUUGAACUGCAUUCCGAUUGCUUAAAAGUCUCAUGUGGCAUGGACUUAAAAGGACAGGAUUGUACCUAGUCCUGAAAAGUUUCAUUCAUUUAACUGGCAUCAUUCUGUGUUAUGAGGUCAGCAACAAAGAACAUAAUAUUUAAUUUGACCAAGAUUCAUCGCCACGAUCUUCUUUUUCUGCAUGACAAAUCGAUUGUUCUUUAUCUUUGUUGGGGUGUCUGGACUCAAAAAUCUAAAUGCCAGUUCACAGGAGAACAUUUUGCAAGCACAAACAAUCAUAUAUCCAGAGACAAAAGAAUAUACCAUUGGUAUUCCCAACUCCUUCAGGUCAUUGUCCCGCAUUUGCUUUAGUGCAGUCAUGUCUAUCUGAAAAUCAUAGCAAAAUACAUUUAAGGUCACAGGAAAUACAAAACUAUAUAAUAUAACUCUGUCUACCUUAAAUCAUAGCAAAAUACAUGUCAGGUCACAGGAAAUACAAAACAACACAAUAUAACUCUCUUGAUUCACUUCAAAAUUUCUUAAAUACCCAGAAAAUUUGAAAAUUUCCUAGUCAUUCAUAUGAUUGAUCACACAUGAACCCUAACAGCUACAGGCCAUCUCAUUUAUGAAACUCCAAUGGUUUAAUACACCGAUGCAUACAUGGUACAAUCCUCAAAACAUAAUUGUAAGAUUUAAAUAGAACAAAAAAAACUUAUCAAAAUUCAAAGGGACAUCUAAUAUCUGCUAUAUGACUUUGGAAAAAGCUGACCCUUUUGUGAAACUAACAUCAUAGUUCAAACAAUAGCAAGAUAGGCAUCACGCUCAUAUGAAAUUAAAAUUAUUUUAAUUCAAAUAACCUUCAAAAGACAAGAACCAAUUAUCAUAAUUUAUUUCAGAAGUAUUUGACUUUUGGUUGAGUUAUAUUUGCAGCAAAAUUACAUCAUUUUAGGGGAAAACAGUAGGCAGAAACAACAAAUUUCUGUCCACUAAUCCCACUUGCUCUAGAUGUCCACAAUCUUCCAACAAGGGGAAAAAAUGCUUUAAGUAAAAUACAAAGUCAAAGUGAUACAUGGCUUUUAAGUUUCCAUAAACUUCAAUAAACGAACUCCACUUCCCAAAGUGACGGACCUUGAGCUGAAGUCAAAUGUUGAAAGCUUGCUGUUUUCACUCCAAGAUUACUUCUAUUCUGAUGCCUAGCCCCUUUCUAGAAGCAUAGUCACCAUCCCUUACUAAUCAAGUUCAACUUGGUAAUGUUCACAUGAUUGUUAGCUCAACUUAUUUUUGAACACCACAAAUUCAGUAUAUUUUAUCAUUUACCAAAAACUCAGAUCAAGGGGCAAAGGAAGCAUUAAGCAGUAACCAGAAUGCUAACUUCUGGUAAAAUCACCGGGAUUUGGGUGAACUACAGAUGCAACAAACUGUAUCAGACUCUCAACUGGCUAAUCUGCACUCGACAGAACUGUAUAACAUGUGGAAAAAGCAGAGAGGCAACUUUUGGUGAUAGGAUUGGCUUUUAAGUUUGAGGACCAUAGAAAGCAAAAUCCCUUUCUGAACUAGUCAUCAUCAACAUGGAAACUGGAAUCCUCAUCCAAUUCAAGAUCAUAUAGAAGAAUCCUAGAGGAAAGAGAGUGUUCUAGCCAAGUGAGGAAGCAUGAGUGAAACGAAGUGCAUAACCCAUUUUGCAAUUCACUUCAAGGGAAUGAUUAUGGUCAUUAUUAUUUUUAAUUCUUAAUUAUGUAACCUUAAAAUAAUAUGCAUGUAUUUAGUGUUUCAAAAUCCAAUCUGAAACUACAAGUUACCACUAAAAAUGCAACCAGGAUACAUUCAGAGAUAGCAAGAACAGAUGUGCUUACUUCCUCAGCCUGAAAAAGGAUGAUAUAUUUCCCCAAACCCAGUGAAUGUAAGAAGCUAGCAACGGUGAGUGGUUCCACUCCCUACAUACAGACAACCAAGAAAAGAUAAUUAAAAAUGUGGCAGUAAGACAUGUUGAUGGGUGAUAUAGCAUCAUCACAAACAUUGCCAGAGUUAUAUCUGUUACUGCCAUGGCAGUGUAAAGAAUUUCAGUAGACACACAAACAUAAGAAUUGUGUAAGCAACUAAAACAAUUUUUUGUAAUAACAUUUCCCAUAUAGAUAAAAUACCACACCCUAAUACCACCAACGAUGAUAUAAGUGGCACAAGCUUAAAUGAUACUGCAUAACCAUUUCAGAUUUUCAAGAUUUACUAAAACAUCUAUAAGAUGUAAGCAAGAGAAACAUUGUUGAUAUAAAUAGUUAAGCUUCAAUAGAUCAAAACGGAUACUAAACACCUCUGGGUCAAAUGUAUGACAGGGCACCAAGUGAAACUUUACUAAUACAAAACUUUCACUCAAGAGGUAUAAUAUCAUAAAUUUGGAUGUCAACACAGCAGACUCAGAAAUGGAAAUCUAAUCCUCAAAAUCAAGUAUAUUAUCAUUAUUCUCAUGCAAGGAUUGCCUAUUCAUUAAACUUAAAAUAGUUCCUUAGAAGAUAUCAACCAUACACAACUACAUAAAAUUCACCAAAGUUGAUUCAAUCUAUUCAUCAAUCUGUUACAUCAGAAACCCAAAAUUCCAGUUCAGAGGCUUCACGUUCAUCUCAAAUUUUUGUCUGGAUUUGAAAUAAAUGACUUUGAAAGAAGACUACCAUCAAUUAUCACUCAUGAAUGCCUGAUGCAACAUGUGUGACAACACCAACUGAAAGUCAUGAUUUGUUAACGUUUACAUUUUUCUCACUGAUCAAUUACCAUUUUGACACAUCUCAAUCAUCAUUUGACCAUUGAUACAUUCAAGGUAUAGCAUAGAUUUCAACUCCAACACCUAUAAUUUCUAACCUACAAAUUGGCCUCCUCAAAACAAGAAAAAGUACAACAACUUCCGCUAAAAUAAAAUGAAAGCAUACAAUCAUUCACAGCAUUGACAAACAUGUAAAUGGAAAUUACACCUUUAACUGUGAACCUGCAGUUGCAUUCUACUUUACAACAACUAAAACAAUUUUGUUUUGGCGAAGUAGAAGUUAAAUAUAUGGGAACUAUCGUUGCUCCUCGCAUGCUGCAAGUCUCUAUCCAGCAGAUAUUGGCUCAGACUUAUUAAAACUCAAGCAUUCUGAAUCAAACUGAUUGUUGCAUAAAAAAAAUAUAAAUAAAAAAUAAAAUAAAAAACACUUUCUAAUUCCUAUUUCAUGUCAAUAAACAAUAAAUGAAACACAAACAAUCAAAAUAUGCGGAUCAUGGCCAUGCAAAUGAGUUCUCCCAUAAAUAAGCUAUUACAGUGUAACUGCAAGGUUGUGGCAAUUUGACUGUACCAAAUAGGAAUUUUUCUGAGCAAUGCUAUUUGGUGGAGGAAGUCGUGAAACCUGCUUUGUGGCUUCAAGAGGCAAAGUAGCUUUGGUUAAAAAAUGUAUAGAGCCUGUGGGCCUCGAAUGGUUAUAAGCGUCUUUACCCAUAUAUGCAGCAGCUCUUGAGGAAUCAAUUGGCCUAAAUGUCAGUACUUGCUGCUGGUCGUUUAUAUUUCCCGGUGGUGAGAAGCCUCUAGAAGCACUCAAAAUUCUGUCUGGAGAUCUACAUCUUAACCCAUUAUGAGUCCACGUGGAAUAUGAUUUUCUUGAUGAGUUCAACUGGAGCAAAUCAUCUGCACUUCUUGUGGGAGGAAUUCGUCUUAAAAGGCCAUUAACCUUUGAUUCAGGCAUGCGCUGCAGUGUAUACAUAUUGACAGGAGGAUAAACGGCCCUUGGCAAUUGUCUCUUAAGGCCCGUGUGAUUUCUUCCUUCAUAGUCACCCCUUGUUCGCCUAAACUUGUUUUUUUGCAUGAGUUUGAAACGAAGAUCAUUUCGACCAACCCGAGCAUCUUUAGUUAUUUAAAGUGAUCAAGGUUAGUACUGAAAGCAGUUCAGAUAUACAAACUUUGAAUCCUGUAAAACAAAAAUUGGUUUGCUUGUUAUUAUCCCUACCAUUUGAACUCCAAACACUUCUAUCUCCCCGAUGUCUGCACACAGAAAAUGAAAACUCAUCAAUGUCGAGCUUAAAACAAGUUUUCUCAAUGUGUGUCUCUGUUCUGUUUGUGCGUGUUUGUAAGUGCAUGUGUAAGCAAGAGAGUGGCCUUGGGAAACCAUGCAUCUUCUGAUGUCCCAUGGGAACUAAAUCAGAGUUGGGCAAAUCCUACCAUCUUCAAUGGGCCAAUUAUUAAAAAUGAAAAUCCAUCUUACAAAUGAGGGGAAAUGCAUUUAUGCCAUUCAAGAAAUUUUAAACUUGAUCCAGAACCAUCGAUCCUGGCAAACUCCGCAUACCGGAUAUAAAUUUUUACCUUCAAACAUACUGAAGAAAUAAAAUCAAGUCCAUCCAUUCAGUUCCAUUCAACACUCAAAAAGGCUCUUAAGAAUUCAUUGCUCUUAAGAAUUCCAGUCAACCGAGGCAUUCUGGAUUUGAUUUUAUUCUUUUUCAUCUUACAGCUGUAAGACAACCAUGCUUUAUGCUUCGUAAUGUUGUCUGGUCAAGGAACAAUAUGGUUACAAAAUAAGUGAUAAGAUGAUUAAAAAUUUUACAAGCAUAUGAUGAACCCCAAAACAAAGGGUAGAAAAACAUAUGCUUUACAGCUUAUAGUUUAAUUCAUUAUACCUCGACUCAUAAAAAGUAUCAUUACAAAUGCACAGUUUUCCUAUAAAUCAAUGCACAAUGACGCGGAAAAUUAGCUCAAAAACAUCUUUGUUAGAAAGAAAUUUACCGCUUAGUCUUGGAUUGCGUCUCAUAGAGGGAACUCUCGGCAUUACCUCCAGCCCCAUCCCUCGUGGAUCUCUUGCUUCCAGCUGAAGGCAAAGAAUCAAAUCGAGAGCCGUCAGGUACGUUUCCCGCCCUCUUCACCACCUGUAGAAGCAUCAGCAUUCACCCAAAUUAUACUAUUUAAAAUCCUCUCAAAAUCAACCAAAACAAAAAAACAAAAACAAAAGCAAAACACAAAACACACACCUCAUAAUCAAACAAAAAUUAUCCACAAAAUAUAAAAAAACUUGAAAAUAAAAUUAAAAUUAAAAAAAAAAUAAUAAUAAUCAAUACAUCACGGAACAUAGCUAUAAGAUCACGCACUGAACGCUAACUUGCUGUUUGGCUCUCGAGAAAAAAGAACGGAAAACAGAACAAAAACCAAAAGAAAAAAAAAACUCGGUAUUGAAAGACCAAUAAUUCAACCCGAAUCCAUUGCGAGAUUUGGGAAACCCAAGAAGAAAUGGAUAGAGAGAGAGACCUGACCAGUACGGCCCAGAGUGAUGGUGACCUGGGGCCGAGACAUUAAUCUUUCUCUCACUCUCUAUGGCUCAGUAGAGGUGAAUCGAUCCAUGUACCUCCAAUCUUUAAUCUGAAUCAAACCACGAAAUUCUCUCUCUUGAUCAUUUCUGAAAAACUACACACCUUUCUCCUAUUUUCCUUUCAGCAGGAGGAAGGCGGCUUUUGGGAGUAGCGUUCAGUGGGUCACCUGACGGUGACGUAGCUGGGUCACAGGCUUACCCAAUCACUGCGGCCCAGACCCGUACACCUGGCCCAAAUUCCCAAUUAACUUACCUUCUAAACUAAUUUAUAAAAAUAAAAAUAAUAAUAAUAGAAUUAAUAUAAUCUAUUAAUAAAAUUUUUAUUUUUUAAUAUUUUAUUUUAAAUUAGGGAAUCUUGUAUGAAUUGAGUCACAAUCGAAUGUCAAUACGACACGACAAUUAAUUGACUUAAUUGUAUAAGACUUUAAUUGUUAUAAAUAACGACUUUUUUUAAAGACACAAAUAGUUAUAUUCAAUUCAAAUAAAUAAUAUUAAUUAUAUUUUAAAUUUAUUGAUCCUUAAAUGGUUAUUAAAUUAAAAAAAUACAAUUUUAUGUAAAUAAAAAUGAUAAUGAAACAGAUUUUUUUCAAUACCCAUAAUGGGAAUUGUUUACUCGAGACAGGUUUUAAAAGUUUUUGGGAGCCUUUAAAUUUAUUGGUAUUAUUUGCAUUAUUAGUAUUUUUUGUGCGAACCCCACCGUCAGGAGUGAGGACCGACCAUAGUAAAGUGUCUACAUCAUUUUUCAUAGACUGGACCACAAUCCGAAAGGUUGCAUUGGAAAUCAAUGUAAUAGCCUAGGUCCGUUUGACGACUAUUUUUGGUGAAGAAUCUUCUAUCAUCUAGAACAAAAAAGACGUUUACCAAUGAGAAAAUUGUUUUGUUUUAUUUUUUAUUUUUCACAUAUUUUCUAAAGUUUGUUUUAAAAAAUAAGUAAGCAGUACAUAUAAAAUUAUUAAAAAUAAAUCACGAUAUAAAAGCUAUUUUCUAAAAAUAUUUAAAAAAUAUGUUUAAAAUAUUUUAAGUUCCUAAAUAAAUUUUUAUUUUACAAAAUAUUAUAAAACGGUUUUUAAAGGUGUUUUUUUCAAGGUAAAAUUGUAAGGAAAAAACAAUGCUACCCAUUGAAAUAUUAUGUCAUCUUUGUAUAAAUAAAUAAAUAAGUGAAUGGUUUAAUGCUUUUAUAAUUUUAUCUUAAUUAUUGUUUGUAUUUUAAAUUUUUAAGUAACUUGUUUUAAAUUUUAAAUUAGAAAAGAAAAUAACUCAUUUGAUGUUGGUUCACAAUGAUUCCAAAGGAUUCUUAGACUUGUUGGGUGAUUGUUUUUUAAAAUAGUUAUAAAAAAUAGGUUUAGAGAAUAGUUUUUGAAAAUUGUUUUAUGAUUUUUAUAAAAUAGAAGUCCGUCUAGAUAUCUAAAAUACUUUUAAUUCAUUUUUAAUAUUUUUUAAAUACGUUUUAAAAGUAAUUUUUAUGUAUAAUAUUUUAUUUUUAAUAAUUCUACGUGUUUGUAUAAUUAUUUUAUAAAACAAUCAGAAGAAAACAAGUGAAAACAACAUGAGACAAGUAAAAUAUAUUAUCUAAAAAACCUAUAUUUUUUAACUUUUAAAAACUAAAAACAGAAAACAAUUUUUGAUUGUUAAACCAUAUUUUAUACGUUUUUUUUUAUUAUGAAUAACAAAAAAUUAUUCUAAAAAACCGUUUUGUAACAAACCCUAAAACUUUUUUUCUUUCAAAGAUGUUUUUAUUAUAAAAAUGUUACAUCAAGGUUAAAAACAUUUUUAUUGAAAUCAUUUUAAUUAACAUCAUGGUUGAAUUAUUUUAUUUUAUCUUCUUCUAGAAACAUAGAUUUUAUAUGUUUAAGAUUUAUUGAUUUAUUUAUUUAAAAUAAAUAAAAUAAGCGGUAAAUGGAUUCUAAUUAUAAUCAUUAAAAUGGGUUGAUUAACUUGAAUUCAUAUUAUUUAUGUCGGUAAAAAACCUUAAUUCAAAUUCACGAAAAACAUGUUGAAUCGAUGAAUUAUAUCCAACUUUAUCAACUUAUAAUUUCAACGUACUAAUUAGGAUGUUUCUAUUUUUAUCUUAAAUCUCUUGGUGAAAAAUGAACUGCAACCCUCACAUUGGGGUUAAUUGGAUUCUUGUUUCAUAGUUUGAUGCUUGGUUAAUUUGUUUGUAGAAUUAGGGGAAUUGAAAAGUCAAGGUGGAUAUAGAGGAGGAAAGUCUAAUGAAGGAGGCCAACGAUGGCUAUCACGAAUGUUUAUUAAAUCAUGAGCCACAUGUUUAAAUGUUCAUUAGUCACUAUAAUAUAUAGUCAUGACUCAUGCCCUACUACUUGCAGUUGUAUGAGUAUGACCAUAAUGGCCUUCAUAUUUGGCGUUGGCGUUGACCUCGUAAACUCAUAUAUAUAUAUAUAUAUAUAUAUAUAUAUACACACAUGUUUGUUUGGUUGUGUAAGAUUCUCUGCAUAAGGGCUAUGUUUGGAUGCUUGGAAAAUGGAAAAUUUGACCAAAAGAAGGAAAAUAUAGAUGAAAAGUAGAAGAAAAAAUAAAAUAUAUAUUUAAAGUAAAUAAAUUAUUUUUUAGUUAUUUAAGUAAUUUUAAAAUAUAUAAAUCUUAUAUAAUUUUAAUUAUAUUUGAUUUUUUUAUUAUUUUUUAUAAGAUAAUAAAAUAUGUGAAAAUUAUUAUUAUUUUUAAUAUAUUUUAUGAGAAUCAAAUAUAACCUAGAUGAAAAAGUAGUUGAUGUUUGUAAAAGAAAAAAGAAAAAAGUGAAGGAAAAUAAAAUAUAAAUUUAAAAUUAAUAAUUUAUUUUUAUAUAUUUUUAAAAUUUUAUUUUAAAAUUUUUUUAUUAUAUAAAGUUUAAAUAAUUUUAAAUAAUAUAAAUUUAUAACUAAUUUUAAUUAUAUUUAUUUUUUCAUAUGAAAUUAAAUAUUAAAAAAUUAUUAUUUUAUGUUAUAUUUGGUGUCAGAAAGUAUAAAGGAAGAUAUUUUUUUUUAAUGUUUGAUUUGAGCAUAAAAAUAUAAAAGAAAAUCAAAUAUAAUUAAAAUUAGUUAAAAUUUUAUACAUUUUUAAAUGAUUUAAUUUUUAUAUAAAUGAAAUGAAUUUGAAGAAAUAUAUAAAAUUAAUUUAUUAAUUUUGAAUACAUUUUUUAUUUCCCUUUAUUUUUUCUUUCAAUAUUUUUUUUUUAUCAAAAUUUUCAGGAACCAAACAUAGUCUUAAUGUUUUUUUAUUCUUGAUAUUUUCCAUCAACGAAACAUAGCUGUCAUAUUUAAAAACUGAAGAAUUUCUAAACACAUUUAUUUUAAGUCUUUAUACGGAUUUAUUGUAUUUUCAAAAUAAAAUUUAUAUAUAAAAUAAUAUUUUUCUUUUUAUUUAUAGAAAAAAAUGUGUUUUCAUAUGCUAAAAUAUAAAAUUUAAGUAAUUAUCUAAAAAUAAUUAAUAUUUUAUAUAUUUCUUUUAAUAAAUGUAUUAUUUUAAUAUCUUAAUAUUUUUUACUAUUCAAGUACUACUUUUUAAUAAAAUAAGUAUUAUACUUGAUCAGGGGUUAUUUUUUACUAAUGAUGUAGGACAUUUAAAUUAUUUUUAGAGGGUUCUUGUGUCGUAAUUAUUUUUAUGUGAGUGUAUGAAAAUAAUUUUUUUUUAUUUAAUUAUUUACUUUCAUUUUUUUUCUAAAUAGAAGGAAAAAGUUCUGUAAAUGCAAAUUAUGGCACUAAUAAUGACGGUUGGGAUGCCAUCAUGUCCGUUAAAAUAUCUUUUCACCUUUAUGAUUUGUUGAUCUAGAUUGGGGUACCCUACUUUAUGGUCAUUAGAACACUCAACUCAAGGCUCGUUUCACUCUCCAAACUCCCACUCUCCUUCUUCCAACUUGUCUUUUGGUUUUAAUUGCCAGUCAACAUUUUGGUUACCACAAACAAAUAGCUAAAAAGAAAUAAUAAUUCCAUAAAUAUCAUAUUGGGAGAAGAUGAAUGACUGGGGCCAAACAAAGCCCAAGAGACUUGGUUGGGACAUUGCCAGCGAUGCUAAGCCAUAAAUUGGCUGGCCGUGGAGGCCCACUUUCCGCAGUGUCAGAUUCAACGUGCUAUGUUAUUAUCAUUCCUCGCAAAGAGCCGCAAUGCCAAGUUGCCAACCAGUAAAAAGACAAUAAUCUUAAGCAUGCCCAUCUGGAAAUUUCGAUUUCAACUAAGCACAGAGGAGCUCCUUUUUUUUUUUUUUUUUUUUUCUAAUGGGGUUUUUUGAAAUAAAUUCCAAGCUCAAAGGGAGAGGAAUACCACGGUCAGCUGGAGAAGAUAAGAAUAAAUUUGCCAAUGAAAUAAAUAAAUAAAAAAUCACCCCUUUUGCUUUCAGCUGCCUUGACCAAGCUCAUUUCAAAUUUACCAACUCCCAUCAUCUUCACCACUGGUAUAUAGAAAAUAUCACAGCCGUGACUUUUUGUUAUUCAAUUAUUUAUUGCGGUAAAGAAGAAUCGCCGGGAGAUGGGUUUUGGAUUCAUCUUCCAAGGAGCAAGCCGCGUACCAAUGUGAGAAAAAGUCGUUGGUUUUCUUCCUCUCUGUAUCUCAUCUCGCCCAGUCAAACUGUAUUAUAGUAUAAGAGGGAGCUUACGUCUGGGUAGAGAGAGAUAGAUAUGGGCGGUAACGGCAAGCAUAGGUGGAAAAUUUCAUUUCGAUCGUCUUCCUCAAUGCCGAAGCAGUCUCCUAAGGAGUUCAUGUGUCCCAUUUCUGGGUCUUUGAUGGCUGACCCAGUGGUGGUUGCGUCGGGUCAAACUUUUGAGAGGAUUUCUGUUCAGGUGUGCAGGAACUUGGCGUUUGUUCCGGUUUUGGGUGACGGGUCUAGGCCUGAUUUCACUGUUGUCAUUCCCAAUUUGGCUAUGAAGUCCGCGAUUCUGAAUUGGUGUGCUGCGUCCCGCGUGGACCGUCCGACGGAGCCGGAGUAUGGAUCGGUGGAGACGCUUGUGAGGGCGGCAAUGGGGUCGGACGGAGAUGAUAGGUUUGAGACUUCGGAGAAGGAGUUGCUUCGAGCUGUGCCGGGGAACCCGCCGGUCAUGUUCUCACACGCCGCCACGGAGGUGAAUCACCGGCCCAAUCAUUUCUACUCCAGCAGCUCUGAGGAAUCUGUCAUCGCUGCCGUUCCGGCGACUCCCCUCCCCCUCACCACUCGACCCUCCUGUUAUUCAUCGUUUUCAUCGUCUUCGGACGAAGCCCUUAGCCUGGCCGUGACUCUAGACCCCAUUUCUUCCGAGGAAGAAGAGAUUUUGGGGAAAUUGAAGAGCUCUGAAGUUCAUGAGCAGGAGGAAGGGCUGAUUUUGCUGAGGACGAUUACGAGAACGAAGGAGGAUCUUAGGGUUUCGCUCUGUACCCCUGGAGUGCUCUCCGCCCUCCGGCUGUUACUGAAUUCAAGGUACGGGGUCGUGCAGACCAACGCCGUCGCAUCGGUGGUGAAUCUCUCUUUAGAGAAGCCGAACAAGGCAAAAAUCGUACGGUCCGGAAUCGUUCCGCCGUUGAUCGACCUGUUGAAGGGCGGACUCCCGGAGUCGCAGGAGCACGCCGCCGGGGCACUCUUCAGUCUAGCCAUAGAAGACAACAACAAGACGGCGAUUGGGGUGAUGGGCGCGUUGCCGCCGCUGCUCCACUCGCUCAGAUCGGAGAGCGAGCGGACUCGCCACGACUCGGCUCUGGCACUGUACCAUCUCUCACUCGACCAGAGCAACCGAGUCAAACUCGUGAAACUCGGUGCCAUACCGACUCUACUCGCCAUGGUGAAGUCCGGCGACCUGGCGAGCCGCGCUCUGCUCAUACUCUGCAACAUGGCCGCCUCCGGCGAUGGGCGCUCUGCAAUGCUGGACGCGAAUGCCGUGGAUUGCUUGGUGGGGCUGUUGAGAGGAAAGGAACUAGACUCGGAGUCAACUCAAGAAAACUGCGUGGCCGUGCUAUACUUGCUGAGCCAUGGGAGCAUGAGGUUCAAGGGGUUGGCAAGAGAAGCAAGAGCAGUAGAGGUUUUACGGGAGGUUGAAGAGAGAGGAAGCGGGAGAGCAAGAGAGAAAGCGAAGAGGAUGUUGCAGAUGAUGAGGGGACGAGACGAGGAAGAAGAAGUGGACUGGGAAGGGGUUCUGGAAUCGGGGGCGUUGAGUCAGCCACGGUAUCGAGUGGGUGGUGCCGGCAAACAGCACAUUCAUGGAGCAUACUCCACUGAAUUUUGAUUGAUUGAUGGUUUAGGGUUUUUGAAAGGUUUUAGACCUUUUGUCUGUAUAGAGUUGAAUUUCAGUUACUCGUUGGAGCUCUGAAAACUUGUGUAUGCAUCUUUCCAUCUCCAAUUGAUGGGUUAUGGUCCCUGUAGAAGUCUGUUUUGAGUCUCAAAUUUGUAAAUAAUAGAGUGAAUUGGAAACAGUUGCAUCUCCAGUGGAAGGAAGAAGAUGAAGUUUCAGGAAGGAAAUUCACACUUGAAUAGCAGUAGGUGUUUUUGUUUUUAUUUGACUUUGUUCAUAGUCUGGAUUCUUGGGUCUGUUGUAUUUAAUCUUCUGUUUCCAUUAUACUUGGUCUGUAGACUCUGUACAGAAAAUGAAUUUGGAAGAUUUCUUGUGGGUUUUCAGCCAAUUAUUGGGUCACUGAAUUGUUUCAGACUUAUUAAUUCUUCCAUAGAAAGAUCCAUUUGAAAUAUGAGACAACCAAAGGAAUACCACUAUCAUACGACAGAUUGGAAUUAUUUCGAUAUUUAAAUAAUUAUAUCAAAUUUAAGCAUUUAAUUUGAUUCCCAAAAGGGCGCAAACCCUCUCAACCGUCUCGGCAGGAAAGUAGAAGAAUAAAAAUAAUGCAGAGGAGCCGCAAGCGAAAGCAAGAGGAGUCGUCAUCAUGCUCAAAGGAAUCUGCAACCAAAUCAGCCCGAAACGACGUCGUCGUCGACCCCUACCCAUCUCACCCGCGACCCACCCCUGUAGAAUGUCGGGCCGUGCGGGACGACCUCUUGGCCCUCCAUGGUUUUCCCCAACGAUUCGAGAAGUACCGCAAGCUCAGGCUGCCCCCUCUUCCCCACACCUCUUCUCCAGGGCUCGACGGCGGUGGCGGAACUCCGGUUAAGUUGGACCCGUCUGACGGCGAUGACGUGAAUGGGUCCUCUCAGAAGGAAAGCGUUUUGGAUGGCUUGGUCAGCAUCAUACUCUCACAGAAUACAACAGAUGUUAAUUCUCAAAGGGCUUUCGCUUCUCUCAAGUCUGCUUUUCCCACCUGGCAAGAUGUAUGUGUUUCUGGUUUCAUGCAGUGCUUUGAAUGAUUUUCGCGUUUCUGGACCUACCGUUUUCUUGGUUUUGAUUGUUCGAGUCAUUUGCUUUUUUCUUGGUUUCAUGGGUGAUGAUGAAUUAGAGCACGUUUCUGGGGUUUUUCAGUGUUUUCCUUUUUCAUUGAGCUGCAUUGUUUUGAAUGGUUUGCAUGUUUCUCGGUUUUUCUGGAUCUGCAUUUGAUUUAAGUUUGUUUUGUUCUCCUAGGCAUUCAUGAAUUAGAAUAUUUUUAUGUUCUUUCAGUGGUUUUAUCCCAAUACUCUUGUUUGGCUUUGCAUUUGUUUGGAUGAUUCUCCUCUGUAUCUGUUUCAGGUUCUUGCUGCUGACUCCAAAAGCAUAGAGAAUGCCAUAAGAUGUGGCGGUUUGGCUGUGACUAAGGCUUCUUGUAUCAAGAAAAUGCUGAGCUGUUUGCUGGAGAGAAAAGGCAAAUUAUGCCUUGAGUACUUGCGAGAUUUAACAGUUGAUGAAAUCAAGACAGAGCUUUCUCAUUUCAAGGGUAUUGGCCCCAAAACGGUAAUUCUGUUUUGAUUGUUCUUGCUUGUUAACUUGUUUAUGAAUUUGCUUGCUUAUUGAGAAUUAUCUGUUGAAACAUUUUAUGGCAUCUGAGAGCAUUGAGGGUUUAUGGCCCAUUAGAGAUUGUUAUUUUGAUAGACACCCAUGAAUGCACUUUCAGUGGUUGGAGUUUCAAUGCUUUCCUUUCCAUGCUACUACGACCCUUGAUGGUGUUGUUCUCUGAUGGUCCAUUGGUUAAAUAGGACACAUCCAAUGAAAUUUGAAUCAGCCCUUCGUAAAUUUUCAAGGGUUGUAUCUUCAUUGCUGAAAAUUUUGUUCAAAUGCAAAGUAUUCCCUUUGUCCUUCUGGAAACCUUUUUUGGAUGUGGAAUUCAGAAAAUUUAUACAAAAAAGUCAGGGUUUUAUGCCCCAGCCUGACUAAUAUCUAAUCUCGGAUACAGAGACCACUAUCUAACAUAAGAAAUGACAUUUAUAUGACUUUCAUUUUUUUAUUGUUGUAAAUUGAUGGAAUAAUGGCGGUGGGGUAGGGUUUUGACUUCAAAUGAGGGAGUAGGACAUUCUUUGUAAUAGGGAAGAAGUUAUUGUGGGGAUCUUCUAUAUUAGGUGAUGUUUUCAUUUAGAAUUGUAUAUUCUCAUGGCGUGAAACAAUAGUUUUGGUGAGAGUUAUUAUAGAACUCUAGAAUUGAGAAGAUAAAGAAUUUUGUGCACCUGAAGGCUGCUCCUGUCUACUGCUUAGGUUUUCAAACUUCAAAAUCACCUGUAACUUAGUAAAACAAAUUUCUUAAUCAUCCCUAUUUUUGACAGUUUGCCAAGAACUGGGCAUAUUGAGAGUGAUUACUGAAUCAUUACCUUGUUUAUUUAAUCUAAUACUAUUUUAGUACAAACAUUAAGGUGGGAUUCUCCUUUAAUUCCUUACUAGGGUCCUCACUCCUCAAGCAAUUAAGACACUAAAGAAAGCUCACAUUGGCAGAAGAGUCAAGCUUAGUAUUUUAUUGAUUGGACAGGGCACACCUUGGUUACUGCCCAGAUUUUGGGCAGUCUGUCUGUGAUCUGGAUGAUCAUCUAUUUGGUUGAAUAUAGUAUUGAUAAUUACCACCAGAAAGUGCUUUUGAUUGGUUUUGAAUCAAUAUGUAAGACAAAUGUGCUUAAACUAGUUCAUUUUUGAAUUGAUAUGGGCUACGUUGUGGAGUUGAUUUAGCAUUUGCCUCCCCCCUUUUUUUUUCUCUAGUUUUUUGUAUUCAGCAGCUUCUUUAGCUGUUCACAUUCCAUAACUUAGAUAAGGUGAAAAGCAGAGGUCAUUAAGAGACUUGGUCUCAUGUUAAUGCCUGGUAGGGAGUACUAUAGGUGUUAGGCAUGGACUUAGGGGUGGCAACAUGCGUGUGUGCCCAUACAAGGCACCAUGUGGGUGCCUUGACUUGGCAAAAAUUCGAGUGUGGGAUUUUGUUGGGUUGAGAUUUUUCCUCCAAAGGGGAUGCACUAAAGAGUUUUCAAAUGGUGGAAUAUUUUUCGCAAUUUUCUAUAAUUAAAAAAAAUAAAUCCCUAAUGCCUGUGGAAGUACCCAUGGUGUCUUCUCCUACUAGAAUGAAAAAGGCUGAAAAAAGCAAUUUAUAGGGGUUGACUCUCUCCAAAGGUGGUGAUAGAAUGGUGGUAAUGACUAUGUUGCUUCGAAGGCACGACAUGGAGCCUUGGGCAAGGGCAAGGUGUCAUGGUGAGCCUUGCUAGCACAUAAGCAUGGUUGUAAGGCCAUGAAUUUGGUACCAUAGGUGCAGUGUCAUGGGUUGCAGCUCUGGCACAUGGCAUGGAUCAAGCAUGCCUUAGAUGAAAGGAAUCAACAAUGUUAGCGCACCUGGGUCAACAAUGUAAACAGCCGUAGGCUGUGAGUUGAAUGACACAUGUGGCUGCUUAUACAAUUGAUUAGUUGAAUGACACAUGUGGGCUUAACAUGGUGUAACUCUUGGCAUUGGUUAAAUACCAAGCCAAGGUCAUGGACACAACAAAAGCGUGACACCUGGAGGCACAAAGAUGUGGCACCUACUGCAUAAAGAGGAUGACACAUAUCAUGGAGGUUGCUAGGCAUCAAACUUGUGAUAUAUCGUAUGCCAUUAAUGCUUGCAAGACACAUGCCACAAACCAAUUAAUUUUAUGUAAUGAUGAGGCAAGUGACAUGCUAUGGUGCAACAAUGCCAAGAAAGGUGGCAUGAUCAAGAAAGUGGGUUGUUGAGCAUAGCUACAAGUGGCAUGAGCAGGGCUAUGCAGUGCAGCUAUUGUGACAGGUUGCAUGAAAUGCAAUGCUGUGAUGGGUGGCAAUAGCAGAGGACAUGGGUUGGAAAACUACCUAGAAUGUGGGUAGUUUUACUAGGUGGAUUCCUAAGCCGUGGGUGUAACUAGUGUAUAUAUAUGGUGCAUCACUAGGCCUUCUCUAUAUGAACUUCCCAAGGAAGUUGUGGAAGUCUUGUUUAGAGAAGACCUCGAUUGUUUCUUAUAAUUAUUUGGGCGAGUUAUUAAAGUUGGGAGGGUUUUUUUUUUUUUUAAACAAAUGUUGUUGUUGUGUGUUUUUCCUUGUAAGUAUUGUGUUGCUUGUUGCUUGUGCAUUUCGUGGGGCAUGAAAAAAGGCUUGUGUAGAGGUCUCCUAAGCCUUGCACAAUGCAAAAUAUUUGGGGGUAAGCUUUAUGCUGGGAUAGUUGAUAUUAGAGCCUCGUUGUAGAGAAAAUAUGGCUAGUGGAGGUGCUGAGAGAGUGAGUUUCUCGAAUUGAGGGUGCAUAUUAGUGAGGUCCCUUGUGGUCCCUUUUUUUUUUUUUGAUAGGUGAGGUCCCUCAUGAUCUUGACAAUGGUCUUUGUGCUAGAGUGGAAGAAGUUGCUAAUGAAUUUGAGGUUCAAAGGAGCUUGUUGGAGGGACAUGAUAGAUUCGUUAAGGAAAAUAUUACUAGGUUUAUUAUUGAUGUCAAAGCUAUAUUGAAGGAGUUCCAAGCCAAAAUACAAUUGCUUGAGGGGGAUAUUAUGUUGCUGAAAAUGGCUGUGGGUCUAAGACACAUCGGGAGUUGUAGAAACAACCUGAAAAAAAAUGCUAAUCCUAGAACCCAAGCCCUUCAGCAGGGUGUAUAAUGCAAAAAACUUGAAGAAUUUCUUGUGGGAUAUGAAGCAAUACUUUAUUGUUGCUCAUACUCAGAAUGAGCAAGUUACCAUUACAACUAUGUACUUGUCGGGUGAUGCAAAGUGGUGUUGGUGCACUAGAACUAGUGAUGAUACUGAGUCUAACAAGCCUCAUAUCACACGCGGGAAACCCAAAAUAAAGAUUUAAAGGAUCAAUGCCUUCCCAAAAAUAUUGCGUGGAUGGUAAGAGAAUUUUUGAAGAAGCUGAUACAUGCUAGAUCUGUCAGAGACUAUUUCAAGGAGUUUGGUCCUUUGAUUCUUGACAUUAAAAACGUGUCAAAAGUGGAUAUGUUGUUUAAUUUCAAGUCAAGCUUGUCGGGGUGGGCUUAGAUAGAGUUGAGAUGCCAAGGAGUAAGGGAUGCCUUUUAGCCAUGGGAACAAGAGAUUGCCUUGUUGACUACAAACUAAGCACUCCUCCCUUGGGUUAAAAGGGAAAAGAAGAGUGGAGACAAAAACCAAAGAAGAAGUUCAAAUCCUCUAAGAAAAAUGAGGGAAAACAAGGAAAGAAGGCAAACAAGUCUCAAACUAAAUUGGUGAAGUCCACAAAGGUGCAAAUGACAAAAGUUUCAAGAUGCUUUAUUUGUAAUGGUCCACAUAGAGCUAAGGACUGCCUUGAGAAGGAAAAGUUGAAUGCUCUUAUGGUUUUUGCAAAAAAAAAGGGGGAAGAUUGAGUCAUAGGUGUUAGGUUGGGUGAAUCAUCUACAAUUCAUGAAUACUAUUUAGGUUAAACCAAUUGCUCAUAAGGGGUUGAUGCAUGUUGAACUUGUAGUGAAUGGCCAAAGGGUAGUUGCCAUGGUGGAUAAUGGAGCAGCUCACAAUUUUGUCACUGGUAGAGAGGCAACAAGGUUAGGUCAUAAGCUAAGCAAGGAUGAUAGCAAGUUAAAAGUUGUCACUAGACAGAGCAAGAGAUCAAUGGCAUGGCUGAAGAUGUACCACUUUAGUUAGGUGGUUGGAAACAUACAAUUAGCUUACUUAGGAUAUACCUUUGAAUGAUUUGUUUUGACACUUGGCAAUAAGAUUUUUUAUGAAGGUCAAGUUGGCUCUGUUACCACACUUUAAUGGAUUGUUAGUGAUAGAUGAAUCCCAACCAUGUUUUAUGCGAGGGCUCAACAAGGUCCAAAAUGUGGGCAAGUUAUCAAAGGUAGGAUUGCUCUUUCCCAUGUAAGUAGAGAGAAAAGUGAGGAAAGGGUCAUGCGCUUAUGUGGCUGCGUUGUUGGAAAUCAAACCAGUUCAGGUUGUGGAGGUAUGUGAUGUUGUGUUAGAGGUGUUGCAGGAUGUUGCUGACAGAUGCCACAAGAGCUUCCUAAGAAACUUCAUCUUAGAAGGCCUAUUGACUAUCACAUUGAACUAGCGUUGGGUUUCAAACCUUGUUCACAAGUUCCUUGUCAAAUGCCUCCCUCUAAGUUGGUUGAACUCAGGAAUAAGUUGACUGAGUUGCUAGAUGCAGGCUUGGUCAAACCUUUAACAGCACGAUAUGGGGCACUAGUGCUGUUAUAAAAGAAGCCAAAUGGUCUGCUAAGGAUGUGUUCAGAUUAUUGUACUUCUUUUUCUAUCAAUAUAUUCAUGCGUGGUUUCCUAUCAAAAAAAAAAAAAUGCGUUCAGAUUAUCGUGUCUUAAAUAAGGUAACAAUAAAAAACAAAUAUCUUAUUCUUGUGGCUGUGGAUUUAUUUUAUUAACUGUUUAAGACUUCUUAUUUUUCAAAGUUAGACUUGCAAUCUGAGCUGAUAAGUCCGGAUAGUAAAAGGGGAUAAGGAACUUGUGUGACUCAAUAUGAGAGUUAUGAAUUUCUCGUGAUGCCAUUUGGGUGUACUAAUGCCCUAACAAUUUUUGUAAUUUGAUGAAUGCUGUGUUGUUUGACUACUUGGAUGCUUUUGUAGUCUUUCAUCUCUGAUGAUAUAGUGCUGUAUGGUUACAUUGGAAGAUCAUGUAGUCCAUAUGCACAAAUGAUGAGGAUGAAUCUGUAAGAUUUACAUAAAAAAGGAAUGGGAAGAAAUAAAGAAAUCCUAAAUUACUUUAUGAAGAGUGUUUAGGUAAUUAUUUGGUUAAGUUUUUUUGUCAUUAGUUUGUAGUUGGUAUUUGAGUUUUAUUCUUUAAAAACAGUUUCUAAACUUUCUAUUUUCUAAAUUAUUAAUAUUAUUAUUUUAAAUUUCUAUGCAAGUUUUUAGAAUCUAAAAUUCUUCUUUAUUAUUAACUUUAUUACAAGAAGUUUCUACAAAGUAAGUUUCUAAUUCUAAAAGGAAAAUUUCUGAUAUCUUUUAAAUUUUUUAGAAGAUUUAAUAAUUUUAGGAAAUGUGAAGAAGUUCUAAUAAGUUACUACAUAGGCUAGGUUCACUUUUUGAUAGUUUUAUCCAAUUUUUGGAGUUUUCUAAAGCUUAUAAAUAGAACUAAUUGAUGUAAAACAAGAUAAAUGAAUAAUUGAUGAUUAAUAAUAUUAAGUUUUUUUACAUAAUUGCAAAUUUCAAUGGUAAGACUUCAUUACUCUUUUUCUAGGUGAAAUUCCUCAAUGGUCUUAGUGAGACUUUAAGGUUUCCUUUCUUCUUUAUCUCCUCCGUUCCUAUCUUUUAUUUUAUUUAUUCCUGUGCCACAAUUUUUUUCCUCGUUCCUUUUCUAAAAUUCUAAAGGAUUGAAACACUAGCCUACCUAUUAGAUUAUAGAUAACCAUCCUCCUGUGGUAUUAUAUUAGUAAAGUGUUGCAGAGACUAAGGCAACAUUAGUUGUAUAUUAAAAAGGAAAAGUGCAAGUUUGCCAAAACUCAGAUCAAGUUUCUAGGCCACCUAGUCUCACAUGGUUAGAUUUAGAUGGAUGGAGGAAAGGUGAAGGAAAUAAGAUAUUGGCAAGAACUUACCAAAGUGAUUGAAUUGCUCUCCUUCUUGGGUUAGCUAAUUACUGUUGCCACUAUGUCCAAGGGUACUUCAAAAUUGUUGUGGCACUUACAGAACUUUUGAAGAAAGAAUAGAAGAAGUGUUAAGAAGAUGAAUACUGAAAGACUUUUGAUGAGUUGAAGGAUGCUAUCUCUUCAGCUAUCUCUUCAGAGUCUAUCUUGAGAUUGCCAAACUUGGAAUUGCUAUUUGAAUUCCAUGCAGGUGCUUUAGAAAAAGCACUAGGUGAAGUUCUAGUGUAGGUAGGGCAUCCUAUUACCUUCUAGACUAAGAAAUUGGAUGAGACUGGGCAGUGGUAUUCAACUCAUGAGAAAGAGAUAACCACAAUGAUACAUUUCCUAGAGCAUUGGAAGCACUAUUUGUUGGGUACCAAGUUUGUGGUGGUGACCAAUGGUGUGACUAACACUUACUUCAAGACUCAAAAGAAGUCGACUGCUAAGCAAGCAAGGUGGUAGGAGUUUCUUGUUAAUUUCAACUUUGUCUAGGAGCAUAGACCGAGAAGGCAAAAUAAAGUAGCUGAUGCUCUAAGUUGGAGGCCUUAUCUCAUGUUGUAAUUAACUUCAUUGCUAGAAUCAAGUAGGAAACACCUUUAGAUGCAACAUAUGUUAAGCUAUUGCAGCAAGUUCAGGAAGGCACUACCAGAUAGUAUUGGUUGGAGGUAGACUUCUUUUAUGCACAAAGACAUCGAUUCUAUGUGUAAACAAUUAUGGAAUUGUAUUUCGUUGUAUUGAUAAAGGAGUUUGCAGUGAAUAUAUAAAAUUUAUAGGGAAAACAAGAAAAGGAAUAAUCUGACUGCCUAGAAAAAAACUGAAUAUGGAAACCGCUAGUCAACUAUAUAAACAAGGUAGGAACCCCUAAUUUACAGCCUUAAUUUACAACUUAUACAAGCUGUAUUGACUAUGUAUCGCUUGCACAGUCAAAUGUAGCCUAUACAAAUUAUCAGGAUUUUCAAUACUCCUUAGGCUGGUGAGUAAAUGUUCUUUAAUCCCAACUUGCUUGUAUAGCUUAAAAUGAAUGAGUUGCAAGUCCUUUGGCCAAAAUUUCAGCUAAUUGAUUUUUUGUGCAUGUGGAGGGAGUGCACAUUAGUUGCCUAUCCAACUUUUCAUCAAUGAAAUGACAAUCUACUUCCAUAUGCUUGAUCCGAUCAUAUUGAGUUGGAUUGUGAACUAUGUUUAUUGCAAACUUAUUAUGAGAGUAGAGUCUCAUUAAUGCUUCCCACUUGAUCGUAAGAUUUGUAAAUAUAAUUUUUAUUUGGAGAAGUUUCCAUACCCCAUAUGCCAUUGCUCUAAACAUCAUUUGAUAUUGCCACCACUAAUUGUUUCUUACUUCUCUAGGUAACAAAAUUUCCUCCAAAAAAAAGUAUGGUAUCUGAAAGUUGAUCGUCGAUCCAUCAUUGAUCUUGUCCAUCCAACUUUUGUAUAGGUUUCAAGAAUCAUUUUGCCUAUCUUCCGAAACAAAAUAGCUUUGCCUAUUGUUGACUUAAAUUAUCUAAGUAAUGAAUUUAGCGAAUGAGAUAUGAUGGUUCAAAUUAUUAACUAGUUUGAAAUUCAAAUAUCGAAUCGAUUAAUAUUCUCUACCCAUAAAAGAAAAAGUAUUUUGAAAACUGCUUCCAUAUGGAUGUCCUUGGGGCUAUGAAUGAAUUGACUUACCACACUGAAGUAAAAAGCUAUAUUGGGGUUGAGUAUGAGAAAAGGAAAUAAAUUUCCUCACAAGGCCUUUAGACCUUUCCUAAACUACUAGUGCAUGAUGUUUUCCUUCAUCAAGCUUGUGACUUAGCUUAAUUGGAGUCUUUAUUGAUCUACUUCCUAGUAUUCUAGUUUCUUAAACAAGAUUUUUUUUCCCUUUUUAUUUGAUAAGAAAAUUAAAUCAUAUAGGGACUUGAACCUAAAACCUCCCACAAACUCUCCUCAUCCCUAAAGGAGAUUUACUACACACUUUUGUUGUGAGAUUACUAUUCUCUCUUUAAAAUGUGCAACUUGUCUCUUUAGAAUAUGCAACUUUGAUCUUGAUAAAGUAUUUAAUCCCUUUAAGGUCUUUAAUCUCAAAUUCCUUUGCAAGUUACUUCUUCAAUUUUCCAAACUAGGCGGUAUUUCCAUGUUGACUUCCUCCUCUAAGUCUUCGUGUAGAAAAACAUUCUUCACAUUAACUUGCUAUAAGAGCCAUUUAGGUUAGUAGCCAAGGGACCAAAUACGAAUGAUGUUUAUUUUUGCUAUCAUGACAAAAGUUUCUUGAUUUUUUUUUUUUUUGAUCAAUAAGUAUAUGAUUGUAUUGUAAAGAGGCGCUAAAGAAGCGACCCACCGAAUUACAGUAUAAAGGGACUUACCCCCUUACAAAAGGGCCCAAACAUCAAAGGACAAGGCAAAACAAAAAAACCUCUCCCUUAACGCAUACACACCCACUCUAUAAAUUCUAUUAAGGUCAAAGGACCAUCUUUUAUCCACAAUUUGGUUUCCGACUACAAUAAAUACACAAAAGAUACUUUCAGCCUUUGAAUGGACAACCCACAAUCCUCAAAUGCAAUUGAAUUUCUAGCCUUCCAAAUAACCCAAAACAAGCAUAACGGUCCCAAUUGCCACGCCACCUUCCUUUUCUUUCCCACAAAAGAGCCCCUCCAUCCUAAAAAUGUUUCCUUGACCGAAUGGGGAAAAACCCACGAAACACCAAAAAAGGAAAGGAACACCAUCCAUACUUCCCUUGUUUUUUCACAAUGGAUAAGAAGGUGGUCAAUUGUCUCCUCACUCUUAUGGCAAAGAAAACAUCUAUUUGCCAUAACCCAACCUCUUUUUUGCAAGCGAUCCAAGGUUAGAACUCUCCCCCAAGAAGCCUCCCACGCAAAAAAGCUCAAUUUGGGCUGCACACGAGAGUUUCUUGAUAGUCUAUCCCAUAAGUCUAUGUGUAUCUUGUAGUUGCUAAUCUCAUUUUAUACAUCUCUACUAUCUCAUUUGCUAUCAUGCUAGACUUGUUUUUCCCUAGUAGGAGGAUCAACAAUUUCCCAAGUAUUAUUUUUCUUCAAUGCACUCAUCUCUUCCACCAUAGCCUCCCUCCAAUUUUUAUCCUUAAGCAAUGUUUUAAAAACUGGACUAGAUUGGUUGGUUCGACUAGUCAAACCAUCGAUUGGACCUCGAUCCGAUUCAAUCCACCUAAUUGGGCUGGAAUAGAGUUGAACCGGCAUCAAAACAGUUAGCUUGAUAGUCCAACUGCAAAAUCGGUGAGCUGACUUGGUUGAUUCAACUCAACCUUUUUGUUUUUUUUUUUUCAAAAGCCCACUUUUGAAUGCCUUUGUUCACAAGUCCAAUGUCCAACUAACUUUUUAACUUUUUUCUUAAAGCCCAACGAAUUAGUAGGCCCAAAGUGAUGCCCUUUCACAACUCUUUGAAUUUAGUUGACUGAUGCACUCCUAAAUGGCUUUUUAUAGAGUAGUUUGGGACCUUUGGGUCACUCAUUUUUUGAUGUGCAAUUCAAAGGGGCCUUUUUUUUAAAGGGCUAAAGGCCAUUUAAAAGGUAUGGAAGGAUGAGGAUUUAACCUAGGUCUUUUGUGGGAAAAGACUAAGGGUGCAACAUUGUGAAGUGUGAUGUCUCAAGUCUUUGUAUAUAAAAGCAUUUAAAAUAUAUAUAAUAUAAUCCCAUAACUUAAAAAUAAAUAUAAAGAUUUAUGAUUUAUCUAAUUUGAUAAGAUAAUAAAAUCAAAAAUAUAAAUAAAACAACUAAAAAUUUUGGAAGUAAUAAAUAUAUAGCUACUAAAAUCUAAACAACUUUAAAAGUAAAUCCAUAUUCUCUCAUUAGACAUGCCUCCUUUCUAACACCUUGAGAAGAGAGUGAUGGGAAAGUCUUGGGUAGCGAUUGAGUUGAAGAUGUUUGAAGUGUCGAUAGAGGAAGUCAAAGGGAAACUAAAAGGUAUCAUUAUGGAAAGGAGUAGAUGUUUUUCCUCUUGAAUCAGGUUUGGGGUAUUAAGUUUGAGAAAACUACUGGAAGGUUUUAAAGAAUGUGAUAGGGAGGAGAAGAAAGGAAGAUUGGUUAAAGUUUGGGAGGAAGAGGGAAGAAAGUUCCGAUUGGAGAGACGUGUAAACGGGGCGGGUAGAUAUGUCUUAUGCUCUGUUGUUGAUGUAGAUGCUAAAAGAUUCUGUUUAGUCUUUCCUGAAGGAAAGGGCAUGAUAGGAGGAUGGGUCAUUCUCGUUGAGAAACUAAGGGCAUUUGGGAUAGUUACUCAAAAGAAAGCCAAGAGUGAAGAAGCAAUCCGAAUCAAAUCAAAGAAGAAGGGGGCGACCUUAGAUGGCGACGAGGAAAAAUGCCUUGGAAAUAAGGUGAAGGGUAAGAAAAAGAGUUUUCUGGAUGUUGCUAAAAAACCGGCUGGAAGGAUAGGAGAAGAGUUGUGGCUUCAGGUUGGAGGGAGAGGAGUGAGGAGUAGGGAGGAAGGGUUGGGGCGAUGCCUAGUUGGAAGGUGGGGAGACGGGGCAGUGUUGGAGACGGAGUUAACUUCGUUUAGAAAAUGGGAGGAAUGUAGUUGGAAUCUUAAAAAAAGUGUGAAAGUGAUGAAGUUGGGAGAACCUUUCUUUCUGCUGGAGUUUGAAGAUGAAGAGGAGGCAGAGAGAGUGUUAAAUAGGGGGACGCGCCGUUUUGAGGAUAAAAUGCUGCAUUUAGAAAGAUGGAGUGAGGAGGCCGGGUGCAUGCAGGGAGGAAGCCAAGCAAAAGAAGUCUGGGUGAGGGUAGUGGGGCUCCCGCUUCACUGUUGGAGUGGAGAGUUAUUUAAAAGAAUUGGUGACUGCUAUGGAGGUUUUGUGGAGGUGGAUGAAGAAACAAAGAAUCAUUCUCAACUUCAAUGGGCCAGGAUUUUGGUAAAGAACGGGGGGAACUUUUUUCCAGGAACUUUGAAUUUAGUGGUGAAGUCUUUCUGUUAUGCAGUUCAGUUGUGGUGGGAGGUGCUGCCUCGGAUUUCUGCAGUGGUGCCGAUGAAGAACUUGAAAUGGAAUGAGAGGGAAAGGGUUAGGGAAGAAUGGGAUGAGGGCUCAUGCACGGGGAGUAGUGGUAGGAGGGGAAAGGAAAGUUGGCGUGCAGCUGAAACUGAUGGAGCAGGUGCAGUCAGAAGAAUGAGGGGCAAAGAACAGAGUGAUGGUGACAGGAUGGAAACUUCAAUAGAUGGAUUUGCAGGCUAUGGUAAGGAGGCUGGAGGGGUGGGCUUAAGUGGAUAGGAUAGGUUGGCUAGGCAUGACAGCUGCAAGCCUGGUUGUGAAGUGGUCCAACCCAAAAGGAGUUUAGGCCUGGAACGUGAAGGCCCUGCAAUAUAUUCUAGUUAUAGAAUGGAUUGGGUUGUAAAACAAAAGGAGAUGAAAGGGCCCAGGGUGUGUUGGGAGAGGGGGUAGUCUAGCAGAGGUGAGGAGCGGGCCGCUUGUGAUGGUCUUUCAAGUUUUCAAAGGGACGAUUUGGGCUACGUGGACAAUAGGGAUGGGGAGCGGGCUUCAAGUGUUGACCCAUCUUUCUCUCAAAGGGAUGGGCUGGGCCGUGUGGACAAUAGGCCCAAGUCGACAGGGAUAGAAGGGCAACCCAGUCUUGUAGCGAGCUGGGCUUUGAUGCCACUUAAAACCUUUUUGGACGAUUCGGUGGAGCGGGUUUCAAGUGAUGGCCCAUCAUCCUUUCAAAGGGAUGGGUUAGGCCGUUUGGACAACAAGCCCAAGUCGGCAGGGAGAGAGGGGUAGCCUAGCCUUACAACAAAUUGGGCUCCGCUUCCUCUUAAGACACCCUUGGACGAGCCCGUUAUAAAGGCUAGGGCUUCGAUUCGUCAUUUGCAAGUUGAGGGGUGGUUCGCUGAAGAGAAAUUGGUCGGAGGGAUGGGGUCUACAGCGGUGAGAGGGACGCUAGAAAGUUGUUCCAUAGCGGAUGCGUGCCUUUUGGAGGAAGUUUCCAGGUAUUCCCUCUUUAAGCCUUCGACUGUUUGCGUNNNNNNNNNNNNNNNNNNNNNNNNNNNNNNNNNNNNNNNNNNNNNNNNNNNNNNNNNNNNNNNNNNNNNNNNNNNNNNNNNNNNNNNNNNNNNNNNNNNNNNNNNNNNNNNNNNNNNNNNNNNNNNNNNNNNNNNNNNNNNNNNNNNNNNNNNNNNNNNNNNNNNNNNNNNNNNNNNNNNNNNNNNNNNNNNNNNNNNNNNNNNNNNNNNNNNNNNNNNNNNNNNNNNNNNNNNNNNNNNNNNNNNNNNNNNNNNNNNNNNNNNNNNNNNNNNNNNNNNNNNNNNNNNNNNNNNNNNNNNNNNNNNNNNNNNNNNNNGGGGGGGGGGGGGGGGGGGGCUUUGAUUGAGAUGGAAAAGAGUUGUGGUCUUGAGGCCUUUCUGAAGGAAAUCAAAGGGGAGUUGAAUGUAAACCCUCUGAGUGUGUGUCCUGCAGAAGAGAGACUAGGAGAGAAGAGUGCGAGCGGGUCUUUCCCGUUUAAAGAAGGAAGGGUGGAAAGGGGUGAGAAAGAGGGAGAAGAUGUGGAGUCGUGGAGGUACAGUUGUUUGGCAAAGUUUUGUCAUUGUUUGGGAAUGCCUACAGAGGGCUAUGAAAGUGAGAUUCUGAAACUUCUUCAUAAGAUGAGGGAAAUAAGAGAUCGAUGCGAGAGGAUAAGUGGAAAAAAGAGGAAAGGACAGAGACCCUUGAGAUUUGAUCGCGAGCUAAAGAAACUUGAAUGAUCGGUAAAUUACAGUGGGUCAGGAGGGGACCGGGGUUAUCAAGAGUGUGUUAGAUGAGGUUUCGAAUUCUGUCGUGAAAUGUAAGGGGGGUAAAUGACAAAGAUAAGAGAAAAUUGAUUAAAGAUGUGAUUAAAACCCAGAAGGCGGACUUAGUGUGUCUCCAGGAAACAAAAAUUCAGGAAAUGACUAGUGGAAUUGUGAGGAGUCUAGGGGUAGGAAGAUGUUUGGAAUGGGGGGCUUUGAAUUCAAGGGGCGUGGCAACGGGGGUUGUGGUGUUCUGGGAUAAUAGGGUGCUGUAGAUGGUGGAAAUGGAGGUGGGUAAAUAUUCAGUAUCCUGCCGCUUUAAGAAUUGUGAGGAUGGUUUUUGUUGGAUGUUUUCAGGAGUGUAUGGGCCCUCUGUGAAGGUGGAGAGAGAAGAUUUUUUGAGUGAGUUGGGGGCUAUUAGAGGAUUGUGGAAUGAGCCGUGGUGUGCUGCAGGAGAUUUCAACAUGAUAAGACUCCCUUCUGAGCAUAGUCGAGGAGGUCAUCUAUCCCCGACAAUGAGGAGAUUCUCAAAAGUGAUUGAGGAGCUAGAGUUAAGGGAUUUGUCUCUUCAGGGGGAGGGGGGGGGAGGAGAGAUGUUCACGUGGAGUGGAGGUUAUAAUAAUCUUUUAAAGUCGAGAAUUGAUCGGUUCCUUAUCUCUGAAGAUUGGGAAGUUCAUUUUCAGGGGAUUAUUCAAGUUGUUUUGGCUAGGCCAGUAUUUGAUCACUCUCCGAUUAUUCUUGAUUGGGGGGGGGGGGGGGGGAAGAGGGGAGGACCCCCCCCCUUUCAAAUUUAAAAAAUUGGGGUGAAAGGAAAAAGGUUUCAAAAAGGUUUUAAAAAAUGGGGGGGGGGGGUUUCGGGUAAGGGGGUUAACCGUUUUAUUUUUGGGGGAAAAAUUAAGGGUUUUAAACCCAAUAUUAAAAAAUUGGAAAAAAAGGGGGUUGGGCCGAAUUAUAUUAAAAAACAAAAAGGUUGGGAUUUUACGGAAUUUUGGGAAAAAAAAAAAAGGGUUUUCCUUUUUUCCUUUGAAAAAAAAAAAACCAAAAAAGGGGGCAAAAAAAAUUUUAAAAAAGGGGGCCCUUUUAAAAAAAAUUUCUGGAGGGCGAAAUCCCGGGAAAAAUGGGUGAAAAAAGGGGAAAAAAAANNNNNNNNNNNNNNNNNNNNNNNNNNNNNNNNNNNNNNNNNNNNNNNNNNNNNNNNNNNNNNNNNNNNNNNNNNNNNNNNNNNNNNNNNNNNNNNNNNNNUGGCUGAAAGAGGGGGAUAGAAACACAAGGUUUUUUCAUCAGAUGACUAAUGCUCAUAGAAGAAGGAAUCGGAUGAAUAGAGUUAAAGUGAAUGAGAUAUGGUACACUGAGGAAAAGGAGAUCAAAGAGGAGGUGUACAGAGUGUUUCAAGGGCUGAUGGUUGAUCCUGGUGGGUGGAAGCCUAGUAUAGAUGUCUUGAAUUUGGAGAGGUUGGAAGAGGGGGAUGUGGAAGGACUGGAGAAGCCAUUCGAGGAGGAGGAGGUUUUUGGGGCACUGUCAGAUUUUUGUGGCGAGAAAGCGCCAGGCCCUGACAGUUUUUCAAUGGCUUUUUGGCAGUUUUCAUGGGAAUUUGUUAAAAAGGAGGUAAUGAACUUUUUCAGGUAGUUCCAUGAGACUGGGAGCUUUGUAAGAAGUUUGAAUGUAACAUUUCUAGUGUUGAUUCCUAAGAAAGGGGGGGCAGAGGAUUUGAAGGAUUUUAGGCCAAUUAGCUUGGUGGGAGGGUUGUAUAAGUGAUUAGCUAAGGUGUUGGCUAAUAGAAUGAAGGGUGUUUUAGCUAAGGUGAUAUCAACGUCCCAAAAUGCUUUUGUGGAGGGGCGGUAGAUCAUGGAUGCAGUGUUGGUUGCUAAUGAAGCAAUUGACUCCAUUGUGAAAAGCAAUAGAGGGGCAAUUAUUUGCAAAUUAUACAUUGAGAAAGCCUAUGAUCAUGUGGAUUGGUCGUUUCUUUUAGCAGUGAUGGAGAAGAUUGGGUUUGGGGAAAGAUGGUGCAGGUGGAUAAAGUGGUGUUUAUCCAUUGUUAGUUUUCAUUUAUGGUGAAUGGAAGCCCUACUAGUUUUUUCCAAAGCUCAAGGUGGUUAAGGCAAGGAGACCCCCUGUCGCCUUACUUAUUUGUAGUUGUGAUGGAGGCUCUUAGUUGUUUGCUAAAGAGAACAGUUGCUGGGGGUUUUUUGUCGUCUUGUUUGGUUCGGGGAAGAAGAGGCGAAAGGGUCUAGGUCUCUCAUUUGUUGUUUGCUGAUGAUACGUUAAUUUUUUGUGAAGCAAAGGAGGAUCAGUUGUUGUACUUGUGCUGACUGUUAAUGUGGUUUGAGGCAAUUUCAGGGUUAAGAACAAAUCUGGAGAAAAAUGAGCUGAUUCCGGUUGGUAGAGUUGAGAAUGUGGAAGAGCUAGCUGAUGAGUUCGGUUAUAGGUGAGAAAAUUGCCUUCCACUUACCUAGGAAUGCCGUUGGGUGCUCCGUUUAAAUGUGUUGCAGCGUGGGAUGGAAUAGAAGAAAGAUUCAGAAAGAAAUUGGCUAUGUGGAAACGUCAAUACAUUUCAAAAGGGGGAAGGAUUACCUUAGUGCGAAGUACCUUGUCCAAUUUGCCGAUAUAUUUUAUGUCUAUUUUCCAGCUGCCUAGGGUGGUUAGAAUUAGAUUGGAGUAGAUUCAAAGGGACUUCUUGUGGGGUGGUGGGGCUCUUGAGAAAAAACCGCACUUAGUAAGGUGGCCAAUUGUGUGUUUAGACAAAAGAAGAGGAGGGUUGGGGGUUAAGAGUCUUGGGGCUUUCAAUAGGGCUCUCCUUGGCAAAUGGGUUUGGUGCUUUGCAAAUGAAAGAAAGACCCUUUGGAACCAAGUGAUUAGAGGGAAAUACAGGGAGGAAAGAGGAGUGUGGAGAUCUUGUGAGACUAGGGAGGCCUAUGGAGUUGGUUUGUGGAAGACAAUAAGUAAAAUGGGACAUCUAGUAACCCCUUCUUUUGGCUUUGUGGUGGGUGAUGGUAAGAAGGUGAGGUUUUGGAAAGACAAAUGGUGUACAACCAUCCCUUUGUGCGGGCUUUUCCUUCAUUAUAUGUUUUAGCUUCUUACAAAGAGGCUUGGGUAAAUGAAGUUUGGACAGCUAAGGGGGAAAGGUGGGAAGUUGGAAUCCUUGUUUCAAUAGACCUUUCAAUGAUUGGGAGUUGGAAGAAGUGGAAAGGUUGUUUUGUUGCUUGGAGGGGAAGAAGGUUAGGGUGGAUGAGGAGGAUAGGGUGAAGUGAAUGGAAUCAAAGGAUGGGGUUUUCUCGGUAAAAUCUCUGUAUAGGACUAUGCAGCCGGUGUCUCUUGCUUCUUUCCCUUCAAAGAUUAUUUGGAACUCUUGUGUGCAGCCCAAAUUAAGCUUCUUUGCGUGGGAGGCUUCAUGGGAGAGAGUUUUAACCUUGGAUCGUUUGCAAAAGAGAGGUUGGGUUCUGGCAAAUAGAUGUUUUUUAUGCCAUACGUGUGAGGAGUCAAUUGACUACCUCCUCAUUCAUUGUGAAAAAACAAGGGAAGUGUGGAUGUUGCUCCUUUCUUUUUUUGGAGUUUCUUGGGUUUUUCCUCUUUCAGUGAAGGAAACCCUUUUAGGAUGGAGGGGAUCUUUUGUGGGUAAGAAGAGGAAGGUGGUGUGGCAAUUGGGACCGUUAUGUUUGUUUUGGGUCAUAUGGAAGGUUAGAAAUUCAAUUGCUUUCGAGGAUUGCGGGCUGUCCAUCCAAAAGCCGAAAGUUUCUUUUGUGUAUUUACUAUGGUCGAAAACCAAUUUGUGAAUAAAAGAUGGUCCUUUAACCUUAAUAGAUUUUAUAGAGUGGGUGUGUAUGCGUUAAGAGAGAAAUUUUUUUUGUUUUUUUCCUUGUUGUAUGAGCCCUUUUGUAGGGGGGUAAGAUCCCUUAUACUGUAAUUCUGUGGGUCGCUAUUUUAGCGCCUCUUUGCAAUACAAUUAUACUUAUUGAUAAAAAAAAAAAAAAAUCUAAACAACUUUAAAUAAUAAAAUCUUAUUUCAUAAGAAUAAUUAUAAGUUAAAUAUCUUUAAUAAAAAUAUAUAAAUUAUAUAUUUGUGAUGUUAUCGGUUAAAGUAUUUUGAAUGAAUUGAUUUCUUAGUAGGAGGGAAAAAAUUCAAGAAUCUACCCUUCCUUUUCUAUAGCAUAACUUAACUGAAGUUUCUUUAGAAUGCUCAUUUGAGCCAAAGCUCAACCAUUGGUUCAACUAUUGAAUCAUAAGUUGGUAACUUUUUCGGUUCAAUGAUUUGUCCGGUUUUGAAAACAUUGUCCCUAAGUACCUCUUGAACAAUUUUAGGUAUCUUAAUUGAGUUAAGUGUGGAAACAAGAAGUAGAAAUGUAGGAGACAAUUAUCAAAUGAGAUAAAAUUAACGUUUUAAAAGGUUAUAGAGGCUUAAGCCUUAAAGCUAGCCUCAGGUGAGGCUUCGCGAAUUAGCAUUGAGGUUAUGCCCUUAAUUAGGAUAAUUAAGGCUUAAAUCUCAUCUAAUUUAGGGUUAAAGCUUUGAGGCUAUAGCCUUAAGGCUAUUGAGGCCUAAUCCUCAAAAAUCCAAAGGGUUUUUUGCCUUUGUGGGCUUUUGGCAUAUAUUUUAUAAGAGGUUUAAGCCUCAAUAUUCAAAGAGUUUUAAUGAGUUUUAUCAUUUAUGCUUUUGUGGGUUUUGGAUCUAGAUUUCAUGAGUUUUGUAUUGAGUCCUGGCUUGGUUAAACUUUUUAUAAAAUAAGGGCUUAGUUGACUUUCGAUUAACCUUUUACAUGGAAGAGAAAAAGAGAGAUUGAGAAGAAAGAGUAGGGAAAUUAUUGACUGUCCUAAUGAUUGAAUUCAUAUAUUAUCAUUAUCUUAUUAUUGAUAGAGAAGAAAAAAUACCACUAACUUGGUGGAUGAAGAACAAGAAUUGGAUAGAUAUUAACAUUGAUGGGGAGGAUAAGACAACAAUUGCAUAUGAUUAUGUUCCUUUGAGGAUCUUACUAGUGACAAUGAUAGUAACAUUGAAACUUAUUUGAUAAAACCAUGACAGAAAACUAAAUUUUAGAAUAGAGAAAAUGAAACUAAAUUAGAACUUAUUAACAAUGAUAAAUAAUUAAUUUUAUAAGUAUGAAACUUAUGCCUUUUUAUUAUUCAUUUUUUUUUUGUGACUUUAUGAGUAUUUCUCUGAUUUUUUAAAAUAAUUUUUUUUAUUAAUUAUUUGCUUAAGUUGAGGCUUAUGCCUCGUUCUGCCUCGAGGCUUAUGUCUCACCUCAUUUGGACAUAUUGCUUUAAAACCCCUUUUAGCCUUAUGAUUUGGAAGAAGUUGUUGAAGCUAUAACCCAAAUUUGGAAGAAGAUCAACAAGAAGAAGGUAUAGAAGGGUUUGAUCUCCAAAUAUUAUGAUUCAUUGGCAUACAAAUUGAAAUCCCUUGGUAGAUUGAAAAUUAGUUAUUCUUUUUAUGUGAGUUUAUUGAAGCCCUUUCAUGAGAUUCAAGAUCACAUCAGGAUGCAACAAAAUAGUACACCUCCAACUAUCUUAGAGAAAUUUGAGUGAGUGCUUUCCAAGAUAUCGGAUCACUGAAAUAUGAGGGCAAGCAAGAAGAAUAGAAAGACUGAUUAUUUAGUUUAUUGGAAAAAGACUCCAAAAAGUGAAACUAGCUUAUAAAGAGAUACAAUCUUGUGGCAAUUUGAAGAGUUAGCAUAAACUUAUUUGCAAGCUAAGUCAACAAGGGCACUAACUCCACCUUGUGGGGGUGGUUUGUUAGCACCUUGACUAUGAUGAUGCUGUACAAAGGAUUCAUGUGAUGACACCUUGCACACAUGAGUGCCUAUGACAUAUAGGAAGACACACCAUGACUUAGACAAGGUGAGGUUCUUAGGACAUUUGAUAGCAUGUCACUAUGUGAGAAGGGAGUGUUAUGGAUGUUGAACGUUAGACUGGUGGUGACUGAAGGGUAGCACAUGCGCAUACCCACAUAAGGCACCAUGUGGGUGACAAAAAUUUGAGUUUGGGAUUUCGUUGGUGAAAGGUGAAUCUCAAUAAUGGAUUACACUUAGAGGGGGGGUGAAUAGGUGUUGUUGAACUAUAAAAAAAAUUUUCUAACAAAGAUUACCUAACCUUAGAAUUUCUCAAUGGAAAUAAACUUCUUUUCUAACAACUUUUUAGCAAAGCAUAAAAUCCACAAGCAAGUAUGUAUGCACCAACACUCUCCCAACAAUUUAUAAUACAAUUCACAUGCAAAUGCUUCAAUAUUCCUCAAAAUUAAUUCAAAAGAAGAAUUAUCUCCUUAACUCAUUUCAAUUUACUACAAGAUAUCAUUAACCAAAAUGAAUAGAAAAAUUAUUGAAGAUAUUCCAUGGAUAAUCACACUUAUUUCAGUUCAUAUAUCUUCCAUUCAACAUAUAUGCCCAAGAAACCAAUGAUAUCAAAAACUUAAAAUAAAUCAAAGAGUAGAGUGAGAGAAAUAGACAAUUGACAUCGGAUUUUAACGUGGAAAACCUCCGAAGAGAUAAAAAACCACGGGCUUACAAUCGAUUGAAAACAUCCACUAUGAAGAAUAAAAAUUGCAUACAAGGUUUUACCUAACUCAAGCCAACCAAUCCUUUUCGGACAACUUGACUAGUACCUUUCGGUUUUAACUUCUCACCCUUUUUUUCUGGAGCACACUUGGAGUCCACACGAAGCUCGAUCUCGGUCUCUUCUUGAAUCCACACAAGAAGAAAAUGGGUUUUUGCACAAAACCAAGAGAAUGAGAGAUGAAUGUUUUAGAAAUCAACCCAUGUUCAUUUUCAGAAAAUCCAUUUAAAAAAUUUUCUUGGAAAAAUUGGAUGAGAUUUUCUUAGUAUGUAAACACCCUCAAAAUGGUAAGGAAUGAGAAGCUCUCUCUCACGACUGCUGUAGUCUCUGCUCACUAGAAAUGGGAAAAGUUUGUAUUUAAAAAGCAAAAGAAACCCUUAAUUUAAUGGCUGAAAUUUGAUCUUAAAAAUAGGUUAGUUGGAUCGAUCCAAAAACAGGGGAGCAAAAGCCUUUUAGCAAAAAAUAUUUCUCAUAACUUUUUGAACUCUUUUUAAAGAUGAAAAAUAGGGUUGAUUCACUUCAUUCAACACACACUUGGCUACAAACCUCGACCUCUUAGCAAAGUCUUAAUCUUUAAGGGUCAAGUAGUUUGAAAAAGAAUUGGAAAACUAAGUUGGGGGAUACUUAGGAAUUUUUUCCGGAAUUGCCAACCUAGCUAAAUACUCAUAGUUGGGUUGAAAAUUUUUCUUUAAAGAGGAUGCAUUAGGGAGUUUCCAAGCAGUGAAAUAUUUUUUGAGAUUUUUUAUAAUUAAAGAAAAUUCAUCAUGUUUGUGGAAACAACUAUGAUGUUUCCUCCUAUCAAAAUGGAAAGGGGGAGAAUGACUCUCCCAAAGGUGGUACUAAACAUGAGUGACAAUGACUAUGUACUCCGAAGACAAGACAUGGAUUCUUAGGCAAGGUGUGAUGGUGAGCCUUACUAGCAAACACGCUUGGGUGCAAUGUCAUGAGUAUGGUGCAACCAUAGGUGUAAUACCAUGGCUUGCAGCUGUGACACAUGGCAUGGUUCAGAUAGGCUUCUGAUAGAAGGAAAAGGCAAUACUAGCAUAAAUGGGCCAACAAUGCAACAUAUGUGGAUUACAGGUUAAAAGGGGGGAAUGACUCUCCCAAGGUGGUAAUACAAUGUGAGUGACAACGACUAUGCUACUCCAAAGGCAUGACAGGGAUUCUUAGAUAAGGUGUGAUGGUGAGCCUUACCUGCAAACAUGCAUGGGUGCCAUGUCAUGAGUGUGGUGCAAUUAUAGGUGUAGUACCAUGGUGUGCAGCUGUGACACAUGGCAUGGUUCAGGUAGGCCUCUGAUAGAAGGAAAAAAGCAAUACUAGCAUACAUAGACCAACAAUGCAACAUAUGUGGGUUGUAGGCUAAGAGGGAUGCUUGGCAUGUACGGGUCAUGUUGCAAUAAGAAUGUGGGCUAAGAUAUGUUGCAAUAAGAAUGUGGGCUAAGAGAGGGCUAAGAUAGGGCUUGGCACACAUUGGGUCACCUAUACAUUCAUUGGGUUGAAUGGCAUAUGUGUGCUCAACAUGGUGCAACACUUGGCAUUGGUGAAAGACUAGGCCAAGGUUAUUGGCACAACAAGAGCAUGACACUUGUUGAAGGCACAAAGAUGUGACACCUUGGCAUUGGGCGAAGCCUAAGCAAGGUGUUGAUGGUGCAUCAAUAGGAUGACACCUACCAUGGGGUUGUAAGGCAUCAGAUAUAGGACACGUGACAGGCUACUGAUGCUUGCAAUAUACAUGACACAAGAUGACACAAGCCAAGCAAUUCCUUGUAAUAAUGGAACAGAUGGCAUGCAAUGGUGCAAUACUGCUAAGAAAGGUGGCAUGACAUGAUUAAGACAGCGGGCUGUUGAGCAUGGCUACCAGUAGCAUGAGCAGGGGCAUGUAAUGCAACUGUUAUGAUAAGUGGCAUGAGCAAGAGGAGCAUGAAAUGAAAUUACUAUGACAGGUGGUAAUGACAUAGGUCAUGGGUUGGAAAACUAGCCAAAGCAGGGGUAGUGUUAGUGGGUUGAUUCCUAAAAUGUGGGUAUAACUAGUGUACUUUAUCAGGCCCUCUCUGCAUGAACUUUCUAAAGAAAGUUGUGUAAGUCUUACUCAGAGAAGGCCAUGCCUGUUUCUUGUAAUCACUUGGGAGAGUUAGUAUAACUUGGGGUUUUGUUCCCUGUAAGCAUUGUGUUGCUUUUGUGAUUGUUGCUUGUGCAUAUGUGGGGAUUGAAAAGGGUUGGCUUAGAGGUCUUCUAAAUGCUGCACACCUUAAAAGAGUUGGGGGUUAAACUUUGUGUCUGUGUUAGUUCUCAAGUACUCAUGGUUAGCUACAUGAAUUCUCUUUUCUUUUUCAACCAUUCAACUAUAUCUAGGUUCUAUGCCACAGCCCUCAUGUCUUUUCUAUCACUACUUAUUACUGCAGGUAUGAUCUUCAUUUCACUUGACCUGAACUUUGAUGCAAGUUUUCAUCAUCUUGGAUAGAUUCUAUUUGCAAAUGCAUUCAAGUUUAAUUCAGUUUCUUCUCUCAUGGUCAUCCAUCUCAACAUUUUCACUUCAGCUACACUUAUUUAAAGAAAAUAUCAUUUCUUGAUUGGCCAACAUUUUAUAUAAAAGAACGUAGUUGUUAUCGUCUAUCCCUGCUAUAAUUUUACUCAUGUGGUUGAUUUUCAGUCUCUCAUUUUCAUUUUGGUUGUGGUCUUGUUGUCUUGGUCGAUUUUUGUAUUCCAUCUUUACUUCUUGGCAAGCAAAUUAAAUCACCAAAAUGAUGUUCCUAAAUGCUUGUUGUGGCUUAUGAUGACUCCUUCAAAUGCAAGUACUGUAGAGUUUUAGUAUCAGAUUUCACAUAUUAGAAGUUUUGCACCUGGAUGAGACUGAGGACAAUAGAAGUAAUAGAGUAAUUUUAGUGAAACAAAAAUGGGGGCUAGCUUAGCAUAAUGUCAUGGGGAAAUUUGUGAGCCUGAGCACUAUAAUGUGGUGUACUUUGAUACACAUUAUGUUGAUUGAGAUGUGUUUUAAGCCAAAUACCCAUUUGUUAAGUAGACCAUGGUAGUUGCAAAGGUUGUCCAGAAUCAUGAAACUACUGGCCAAGCCUUGCCAGAUGGCAGCUUGGCUGGACAAGAACUAGUUGGAUAGUCAGAGACCACCUAUGUAUCCAAACCCUUUGGUUUUUCUUUUGUUCCUUUUCUGUACUCUAAAGCCAUCACAAAUUCUCGACAUGUUUAGCUUAUCCCUUGUUUCUCUCUUCAUGAUGGAAAAGGGAUUAUUCUCGAUGGCAGUUUCCAAUUCAAUUCUUUCUUAUAGAGUUUUGAUUAUUCAUCUUUCUGAUAUGAAAAUGCUCAACCUUGUGUCUCAUCUAUCUAAUUUAUCUGCAACAUGUAUUUGCUGUCCCAGUUACUUAUAUCAAAUUAUGAAAUGGUUGAUAGGUUGCAUGUGUUUUAAUGUUCCAUCUUCAGCGAGAUGAUUUUCCUGUGGACACACAUGUGAGUAUUAUAUAUUUCAAAUUGAUACCACAUGAGAAAAUUAGUUAAUAUGAAAACCCUAUGCAGGUAAUCCAGAUUGGGAAGGCCAUUGGUUGGGUUCCCGCAGUGGCAGACAGGAAAAAGGCAUAUCUUCAUCUCAACCGACGGAUCCCGGAUGAGCUAAAAUUUGACCUUAACUGUCUUCUUUUCACACAUGGCAAACUCUGCCAUGAAUGUACCCAAAAAGGGGCCAACCAGAAAAGAAAGGAAUCCCAUGAGAGCUCUUGUCCUCUGUUAACUUACUGUGGUGAUAUGUUUAAAUCCAGCAGCCCCAAUUGAGUUUAUAUGCCCUCUCUCUCUCUCUCUCCCUCCCAUCUCACACAACAUUACCAUUUCCUUCUGGAAUUAUCAAUGUAUUGUGGUGGGAGAAAGAGAAAGAAAGGCAUAGGUGGAUCGGAAAAGGGAUUGGUAGAGCUGAUGUUUAUGGACUGAUAUGUGAAAUGGUAUGAGAUGAAGCCUCAUCAAUUUUAACCAACCCACUAUUCUACAUACACCCUAGGGUAUCCCUAUUUGAUUCACUUUUGAGGACAGUGAAAUGCUUGAUCAUGCCUACUUGGUUCUUUUCCCCUAAAGCAACAAAGCAAUGUGGACUGGCUUAGAAGAAAAAAGUACAAGAGUGGGUUGAUGGGAAAAGAAUUGCAGAUUCCAUUAGUUUCUAACAUGUACUAAAAGUGUUGAGAGGAUGGAUCCAAUGUACUCCUACAAAUAUUGUCCACAACAAAAAAUGCUUUGUUUACUUAUUCAAUAAUUGAGACUGAUGACUAGAUUUAGCUGUAAAUCUAUGCUUUUAGGUAUAAGAUAUUAGAUAUUGCAGUUGCAUGGCAGAAAGGAAAAUAUGCCAAGAUCUUUUUAAGACCUUUAUUUGUAGAUUUGCUUACAUCAUUACCCACUUACAGUUCCUAAGUCCACACUUCUAGUGUCUUGUAUUUUUGGUUGCAUUCCUACCAUUUUUUGACUUUUGGGUUUACUUUGUUUCUUUUAUUGAUGCUGUCCUCUUUAUCAUCCUACAUGAAUUUUUAAAGAGCACAAGUGGUACUGCAAUUCCAUGUAUAGCAUUGAUUAUCAAAGUGGUGAACUGUUAAUAGGCCAUGAGUUUCUUCUGUAAAGCACCACAUGAUAUCUCUUGAUGUGGAAAGUUUGAUGCUUAUCUGUUCUCCUGUGGAAAAGUUCCAACAUUGUAAUCCAUGAUGCUUCCUUGGUCUGAGAUUUUCUUUUUCUCAUUUCCUGUUCUGUGAAUUGUGUCCAUGGACCCCCACUUGACUUGCUGCUAUAAAUGUAAGAGAGAAAACACUUCUAGGAGAAAUCUUGAACUUUUCAUUUGACAGACAUGGAAAAUCAUGUAUCUCAACAAAACCUGGCAGCCACUAAUAAUCCCUUUCUGCCUGGAGGUGCUGGUGAUGGUAGCUUUGGUUCUAAAAUCCACGGUGAGGAUAAAAAGCUGAGACUAUUCGGCUUUGAGGUGGAUCUGUAUUGCAAGGGUGCAGAACUUCAGGGAGGAUCUGAACUAGAUGAGACUGCGAAUUCCCCAGACGUGGCUUUAUCAAAGAUGGAGAAGAGUGUUGAGAAGCCGGAGCACAAGAAGUAUGAGUGUCAGUUCUGUCUGAAGGAGUUUGCCAAUUCGCAGGCGUUGGGGGGUCACCAGAAUGCCCAUAAGAAGGAGAGGCUGGAGAAGAAAAGAUUGCAGCUUCAGGGAAGGAAAGGUAGCCUCAAUUUUUAUUUUCAACCCCUUCGAAGUGAUGUUGGUUUCAUUUACCAUGAGUCUCCCUGGUUCUAUGAUUCUGUUUCGUCCUCCAUACCCGAGUUCAUGCUGUAUAAGGAGCCUCAUAUUAGCUUUGAUGAGCCCCAAGCCUCUGGCUCAACUCUCUCACAACCGAUCCCAACAAGACACCCGUUUGCAAAGCCUGAGACAGAAGUAUAAUGGGUGAGAGAGCAAACCAACCCAUCUUCUUCAUCAAACCGUCUCAGGGCUCUCACCAUUCAACCAGACAUCUAUCUGCAGUUCCUUUAGAAAUGGGUGGGAGGGAGGGAGGGAGAAGUAGUGGGAUCUUAUAGUAAGUGUAUAAGAAGCCGUAUCGAUUUUUCAACUGCAUUUUGGUGAUUUUCUAGCUUCAAUGAAGCUCCAAAUUGUGUCUAUAAAAAUCAAGACCAUGUUGUAUAAGCACAUAAUUACAGCAUAAACUGGGAGGAUGUUCUAUUCACUUUCUCCAACCAAAGAAGUUUGGCAACCAGACAACAUCUGACAACAUCUUCAUCUUGCCUUGAAUCAUUGCUCAGAAUCACCUUAUUCUAAUGUGUGAUAUCACAUAUAUAUAUAUAUAUAUAUAUAUAUAUAUAUAUAUAUAUAUAUAUAUAUAUAUAUAUAUAUUAUACUUGAAUACAAGCAUCUACUUUUUCCAUUUACCAAAUAAUCAUCAUCUUCUUUGUAUAAAAAAAGUAUCAAUCAAACACAUCACAAACACAUCGCCACAGGAGUAACACAAGUCUAGAAAAGAAAAAAAGAAAAAAAGAAAAAAAAAAGAAGACAUUCUCUCAUUCUUUUCUGACCACACAGAAGAAGGAAAACCCACAACAAAUCUCAAAUCAAGUCUUAAUAUGGUUGAAGGCAUCACACCUGCGCCGCACUUCUCCCUUUCGCCCGGUCUUGAUCCCACGCACGCUCAGCUUCUCCAUUGCAUGAGCGAAGUCAUUGAAAAACGCCUUCUGGUUGGUGGCGUAAAGUUCCACGAAUGGCUUCGUUCUGGGGUCGGUGACUAGCACAUUGUCGGAACUCAGAAGCCCCAGUCCUCUGGGCAAGUUCUGGUAGUACAUGUUGUCGAAUUUGUUGGGUGUCAUCACGUCGUUGAAUGCCGACAUGGCUGUAUCCCUCUGGUAAUUUGCGCAGACGUUUCUUAGCGCUUGUGCGAAUUUGGGAUGGAAAGCUGGGUCGAUGUCGGAAGUGGAGCUGUAAUUGAAGAUUCUGUUGCUGAAUUCCUUGCAGUGAGAGAACCCAAUUGUGUGUCCUCCUGAUAAUGCCACCAUCUCUUGUAUACUGAAGCCUUUGGCAGCGAAAAUUGCUAUCAGUUGAUCCAUAGUCAUGUUUGCUCGUGGGAGGUUUCCUUCUACCCGCGAGGCUUGAGACACCAGCCCAUCUUUCCGACCCAGUUGGACAUCGUAAUAGGGCCCGCCGACCAUGGUGACAAGGUCACGGGUGGCGAGAGCUAAGAUAUCAGCGCAGGAGACAAUGCCGGGGCAGGUGAGCUCGAGGGAGGUCUUGGCGCGGACGAUGAGGUCGAAGGCAUCGCCCGGGAGGGAGAGGUUGAUGUCGGCGUCGCGCUCGGCGGUGUUGAAGGCGUUGGAGCUGAUGAGAACCGAGGCGUCGCAGCCAUCGACCAUGCAGUCGUGGAAGAAGAGGCGGAGAGUGCCGGCGGCGGUGGUGGGGCUGUUGAUUUGCUUGCUGGUAAUCGCAUCCUGCAUGAUGCGUUCAAAGUUUGGACAGGACUUCUGGUAGUAGUUGACAUUGAGCUUGGACUCUGAGGAAGAAAUACCAGAGAGAAAGAGAAGAAGAACAAGAAAAGAAAACGCCAUGGUUGGAGUUGGAGACAGACUGCAAUCGCAAAAAGAGGAAGAAGGGCUUGCAAGAGAGACAGACCUGCUUCCUCAGAAAGAAAUGGCGGGGGGGAAGGAGAAAGGAAGAGGAAGCAGGGUGUUUUGGGUUUCAGGAAAAUGGCAAAGAAGGUAGAGGGGCGGAAGAGAGGUGUUUGAUUGAUGCGAGAGGCUGUCUAAAUCGAGAGGAAAGAGAUGCCCUCUUUGAGUGGCAAUUCAGAAUCAUCGAUGUGGGUUGUGUAUUAUUUUUGGGGUGUUUUGUAGGAGGGUGGUGGUUUCGAGCGCGGAUUGCGCUCCACCGCCGGCCAACCACCGGUCCCUGCAAACUCGCUUGGCCUUUCUCCCACUGCAUCUUCUACAGCUUGUCAACCCAACGGACUCAUUUCUAUAUUCAUCAUUCUUCGGUCAUACUCAAUAUGUCUUGGACUUUCAACAAAAUUUCGGUCACAUAAUUUAAAGAUCCAUAUAAAAGUCAAAAUAUUACCAUGAUCAUCGGUACAAACCCCAAAAAAUACCUCAAUUUUUAACCAUCAAAAUUCAUUUUAAAAUCAGGCAUGACAUCCCCUUUCAUUGAAUAAAUGGAUAUCUUUUUUUUUUUUUCCUUUUUUAAAAAAUUUUUAAAAUGUGCUAUCAAAAUUUUUCCAAAAAAAAAAAAAAAAAAAAUGUGCUAUCAAAUUGAAAAUAUAUAUAUAUAUAUAUAUAUAUAUAUAUAUAUAUAUAUAUAUGGCAAAUAGUACAAACUAGUAAUUUCCCAAAAAUUUAUUAAGUCAGUCCGCAGGUUGUGAUAAGAGCAAGCAUCUUUGUUUCAUCAGAUCUCCCUUCAAUCUGAUGCGAAUCUGUCCACUAUCCAGACAUAUACAACAGUAGAGGGUUUAGUCAAAUCUUCACUUCCCUCUCUCUGAAAUCGAAGGAACAUGUUUUCUCCGAAUUUUGGGACAUGGGUUCUCAUGUUUCUCCUCGUAUCUUCCACGUUCGUCCACUCUUCCAUGUCCGAAAUCGACGCCAAGAAGCGGUAUAUGAGAGAAAAAGUUCGCAAAAUGUGAGUAUAUCGUCACCCACCCACUUGAUUUCCUUGCUUAAUCUGUGAAAAUCACCAUGGCCCGCUUGAUUUUCUGGGGAGAUUGUGAGAAAUCGUCAAGACCCAGUUGGUUUCCCGGGCUGGGAUUCGCGAAUUGCUAAUUUUUGGUCAUCUGCUGUUCUGGGUGUCUUGAAAUUGUUGAUUGAGUUAAUCCUUUCGUUGGGAAUUUUGUGGAAUACUUGCUCAAUUUUAAUGAGACUAGUAUUGGAUCAUCAUGCGCUUCUGUUUAGUGGUGUCUGAUUGAAGUUUGAUGCGAAGUCAGAUGAUUAAUCUCUAUUUGUUGUCUGAGUUUCAAUGUUUUGUUUAUUUUGUUUACAAUUGAUGGAGUGUCCUGAUGCCCGUUUGGUUGCUGAGAAAAUGUAGUCAAAGAACAUAAGUUCUAAAUCGUAUCUAACCUUUUCCUAAUAUUUGGGGCCUGAAACACAACCAACUCCCUCUCUGCUGAGCAUUAAGCAGUCAGCUAUCUAGCUGGUUUAUUUGAGUUCAGCUUUUGAGUUUAAAGAAACAGAUUAAAGGGCGGGCAAUGUAGGAAUCAAAUUUUUUGUGUUAUUUUCUUUUACACUUUUUUCCUUGAAAACCAAAAUGAGGGAAAGGGUUUUAAUUGAAAUCAAGAUUCCUAUCAGAGUCUGCAGUUGAGGCACAGACUAAUGCAUUUCAAUCUGGGAAUGGCAUAUGAACUGGCCGAGGCUAGAGGGAAAAAAAAAAAGUAGUCUGAACAGGUCUUUCUUUUUUUUAACGAUUUCCUAUAUUGUUUGGAUCUUCUAUCUAUUUGCUAAUAAAGAGAGAAGAUUACUUUUGAAAAUUAAUGCCUCUCUGUCCAUUUUCAGGUUUUACCAUGCAUAUGAUAACUACAUGGCUCACGCAUUUCCAGUCAGUUCAUAUGCUCACUUUUCUGUUAUUGGUUCAUGUAGGAUCUUUUCUGGCAGAACAUGCAUAAUUUUGAUUUGCUUUUUUGCAGCAUGAUGAGCUAAAGCCUCUUUCCAAAACUUUCACCGACUCCCUUAGUGAGCUUGGGAAUCUAAAUGUAAAUUCUUUCUUAUUUGAGAACAUAAAGAAUGAUCACUUAUGGAUGGCUGAUGUAACUAUCUAUCGGCUCAUUUCAGCUUGAACACUUAUCAGAGCACUAUAAUGGGUCGGCCCUUACACUCAUAGAAUCAUUGUCCAGGUAUAUUAUGUUACGUCAGAGAGAUUUAUAGAUAACUAAGUCGUAAAUGUCAUUUCCAUGGACUAUUCCUUUUUUGCUGCUACUAGUUGUAAUAUUUAUUUUGUGUUUCCCUAAUGCUGCUGCUUUAUUUCUGUGGGUCAGUGCUCUGAUACACAAUUUCUCUCUCCCUCUAUUAGCCUUGUUAUCUUGGGUAACAACACAGAAUUUGAAAGAGCAGUUCGUUGGCUUUCUGAAAACCUAUCAUUUGAUGUUGAUGUGAGGACAAAUCUUUUUGAGGUAUCUAAUUCAACAACUUUAUGCAAAUCAGAUAGUUAAUUCAGUUUUUUUGGCUGCAGAGCUUCAGUUUUCUUAAAUUUUGAUAGGUCUGGUGGCUGCAGUUUUUACUUAUUAGUAUCUUUCUGAGAGUGUUAUUUAUUUUGUAAAUGUUAAUCAGUUCACAUCUGAAAUAUAUUAAUGCUUCUCCUUUCCACUUGUUCGCUAUUGUGUAGUGCAACAUAAGAGUUCUUGGAGGACUUGUUUCUGCUCAUAUUCUUGCAACUGAUUCUAGAAACAGGUUAGUGCAAGGAACUUACAAGAAUGAGCUACUUAUUCUGGCUGAAGAUUUAGGGCGGCGCUUUUUACCUGCAUUUGAUACACCCACUGGAUUGCCUUAUGCAUGGAUCAACUUAAAGGUACUGCCUGAAAAACACUUAAGUUGAAGAUUAGUAUAUUGAUGCCAAAUUAAUUUACUAUUUAUGAUAUAUUCAAGGCAUCUCAUAUGCCCUCAUAAAACAAUGUCAGAUUUAUCUGAGAAAUAUUAAACACAUAGCUAGCUUUGUGAAGUAUGUUGCAUUAAACAUGUGGUUUUUACUCCCCAAUGGUAGCUUAGUUGGUCCGGCCUUGGUUUGCUCCCCAAUGGUCACUAGUUCGAGUCCCCUCAGGGCCAUUGGAGGCUUACCCGGUUGUUCACUUCAGGACCCCGUGGGAUUAGUUGAGGUGCACGUAAGCUGGCCCAAACAUCCACGGUAAUCAAAAAGAAAAAAAAAAAAAAUGUGGUUUUUACUCGAUGAGCAUAAAGUUGUGCAAAAAAUAGUAAACAUCAUGAGUAAAUAAUCAGAUACACUUGUAUGUAUACUGCUUCUUAGGCCCAAAAACUACAAUAGGAUAGGGUUUUUACAUGUUUGUUCUCACCAUUGAGAAUAGUUCAUCUUUUAAUUUGGGUGAAGCUAAUCAAAUCCCAACAUGCUCCGAGGAUGCAAAUGUCACUGUAGAAGUUCUAAAGCAUGUAUUGUACUCAAUACAUGCUUGGGAUUUCUUAUCUUCGUAAUUUUUUUCAAUCAAAUUUCAUCCUUCCAAUUUUCAGAAAGUAUGAGUAUGUUCACUUGUUUUGUUUGUAAGAGGGAUUUAUGACUCUGCAUCAAUGCAAAAUUAUGUGGACAGUACGGAGUGAUGGAGAAUGAGACAACUGAAACAAGUACAUCAGGGUGUGGUGAGGAGCUUAUCCUUUUCACUUUCAGAUGAAGCCAUUAAAGAAUAUGCUAUCCUGAAACUGGCUAAUCUUCCAUUUAUGUGUCCAGGUUCAUUGAUUCUUGAAAUGGGAGCUUUAUCACGAUUAACUGGUGAUCCCCGAUAUGAAUCUGCAGCUUUGCGUGCUCUUCGUAAAUUAUGGAGCAUGCGAAGCUCUCUGAAUCUACUGGGAACAACAUUGGAUGUGGCAACUGGAGAAUGGAUAGAGUAUUCAUCCGGGAUAGGUGCUGGUAUGUUCUCUCUGGGUUUUGAUCUCCUUAUGGCCCUAGGUUCUGUGUUGCUUCAUUUAAUUAUAUUAGAUAGAAUUAUAAAUAGAAUAAAUAGAUUUUAUACGACUUGACCCAUGCUACUCACAAACUGAUUGUUUAGUCUGAAUUCUUUUUCUUCUACAUUUAUGGUUUAUAAGCCCUUCUGUUUCUGCUUGUGAUUCUGGAUUCUGUGUGGCUUGUUUUAGGUGUUGAUUCUUUCUAUGAGUAUCUUAUCAAAGCUCACAUUCUUUUUGGGAAGGAGGAGUUAUGGAGAAUGUUUCAGUCGGCCUAUCUUGCUGUGCAGAAAUAUUUCAGACAUGGUCCAUGGUACUGCAGUGAGCAUUUAUCUUCUAGUUUACUGAAAUGUUCUCUACUUUCACUUAUAAAAAAAGCUUUAUAAUGUUUAUUCUUGAUGCAUCAUUGUCUGGUUCUGCUUUCUUUCAUUUUUAAACUCUUUUCUUUUUUUGGGUGUAUAAGGGUUGUUACCUUAUUUUCUUCUUGCUUUAUACUGCCUAAUUUUGAUAUCAAAAUUAAAUUAAAGGGAGAUGUUGCUUCACUCUCCACUGAAUCUGUAUUUUCUGGUAGUGACUAGUAAUCAGGACCCUUUAUCCACCUGCAACCAACUCAUAACAAAUCCACUGGCCGUUUCUUUUCACUUAAAUCCUAUUUUGUGUGAAUAUCCCAAUAACCAACAUCGGUAACACUUUUUUUUUUUUUUAAAUUUUAAUUAUGCAUCCAAAUUUCACUGAAUUUCAACACUCCUAAACUAAUAAAAAAAAAUCUUAAAUAGCCAAUUUUCAUGUUACUUUAUCUGGAUUUUUUCUAAGGUUUUUCUCAUAAUUAGAGAACUAGGUUACGUACAAAAAAAUAAUUAGAGAACUAGGUUGCGAGUGUUUAGUCUCAGCCAAUUUAGAGACUAGAAAUCUGGCUCUGCAAUAUUAAUUUGGUUUUUCUGCAAAUUUCAAAGUUCAGACCUCUCAAGCAUGGCUUAUAACACAUCAUCCUUUUAAAUAAAAUCAAUAUGAUAUUUUCACCUCGAAGAAAAGGAGACACGAUGACCUGUAAAUCUCUAGAUUUAAUACAGCACUUCUAUCGGGAACUUUUAACAGUUCAAAAAUUAAAAAUAAAAGAGGAGAGCAAAAAUGAGGCUUACUUGAAGAUUGCAAUCUCUUGGUUGGACUGCAAGAAGUUGUGGAUAAUUUAAGACAUUUUUUUUUUUUGAUAAGUAAGGAUAAUUUAAGACAUUAUUGCACUUCAGGUACCAUGAAGCUGAUAUGAGAACAGGAAAAGCAACAUAUUGGCAACUUACCAGCCUCCAAGCAUUCUGGCCAGGUGUACAGGCAAGUAAAUAGAGUCCUUGGUAUAUCUCUGAAUAAUAAUUUGAAACCUGGAGAAGAUUAUGCAAUUUAAUCUUUUAGUUUUGGUCAUUAGGUUCUUAUAGGGGAUAUUGCAGCUGCUAAUUCGUCACAUCGUGAAUUUGUUUAUGUGUGGGAGAAGUUUGGAGUGCUACCUGAAAGGUAUCAUAUUUUUGUGGUUUUCAUUGUGAGCUCUUGUCCUCUGAUUUCCUUUAGUCAAUCCUAGCUUGGUUUGCUGUAGUUUUCAUGGUUGUUUUCUAUAACUGCACCUUUUUUUCAGGGGAAAAAAGCCCUAAUAGGAAGUUCUUACAAUUAUUUAGGUAUUUGCUGGACCAUCAAAUGUUGCAUCCCACUGAGAAAUAUUAUCCUUUGCGCCCGGAAUUGGCAGAAUCCACAUUUUAUUUAUAUCAGGCGACCAAAGGUUCAGUAAUUUUUCUCGCAAUUUACUUUUUAUUUUAGUUUCAUCAUGGUGGUAUUUUUUUUUUCUUUUUUCAAUACUUGCAUGAAGUUGUGCUAAAAAAGUUACUAUCAACUAGAACCAAAAAUUAUGAAGUCGUUUGACCUUAUGAUGUGUGCACCUGGUAUUACAUUGAAGUAGUCUGGUGGAUAUUAUAACCAUCAAUUGACAGAGUCAGAAGGUCUUACUACCUCAAUUGCAAGGCACACCUCUUCAUGGAUUGUAUCUUUCCAUCUCAAGUUGCAUUUUCACUGAUUUUUUUUUUUAAGUUGUAGCAAAGUUUUCCUCUGAAAAAUUGAUUAGUAAUUGUUGAUAUAUGAUAAAAGUGAACUGAGGGAUGAUACUACUAUAUGUAGUUCAGUUGCUGCAUAAGCAGAACAUCCCAUCUGAUGUUUGGAAGGAAAGAAAUUUCCCCUUUCCACCAUUUGAUCUGUUCUUAGAGGAGAUAAAAGAAGAGAAAUGGGCCAACUAGAGGUGAAAAGAGAUCCAGUCCACAACUUACUAUGUCAGAAGAAAAAUUAAUACUACACAUAACCAGGUGAAUGGAAAAAUUCCAAUAUUGAGGACUGAUUCAAGUUGUCUUCUUUGUUGCCAUCCUGACAUUUGGGUUUCUGGAUGUAAGCUUAUUCAUAUUUUGACAUCUUUAAUUUGUGUAUUUUUUUCAAUUUUUUCCUUUCUUUGGGGGUAAAAAAAAAAAAUCCUUAGGAUCUUUGUCUGGUGACCAUCUUUUCCUUGUUAUCAGACCCAUGGUACAUAGAAGUGGGAAAAUCAAUGGUAGAUUCUCUUAAUUUAUAUGCGAAAGUUGAAGGGGGGUUUGCAAGCAUUAAAGAUGUAACAACUAUGCAAUUGGAAGACCAUCAACACAGUUUCUUCCUUGCUGAAACGUAAGACUACUGUACUUUUUCCCCAUGCUAAAAUAUGAAGAAACAUGUUUCAGCUGUAUGCUUAUGUUCUUUAUGUCUGAAACUGUAUUACUUUCUGUUUUCUGUAGCUGCAAGUAUCUAUAUCUUCUCUUUGACGAUUCAUUUUUGGUUGAUCGGAAUUAUGUUUUCACAACUGAGGGUCACCCUCUUCCAGUCAUUAGUGCUUGGCAUGACAGACUUCCAGAAAAUUACAUUCCCACCAAUGGGACUUCUAUCAAGGUAUUCCUUCUUCCUUCUCUUCAUGUACAAAAAUUCCAUGUUUAAACAAACCAUCAUUAUCAAAUCCUAAGUUGCAGUUCAGACUGUUAAGAAUUCUUACAACUUCUCUUAUAUUCUGUCAUGAAUUGAAGCACAAGAAAAAUGAAGUUCUCAUUUAUGCAGAGUGAAAAGCAAGCAGCAAGACGAUCGAGUGCAAUGUCUUUGCAAGUGUGUCCUGCAACAACCUUGAACUCUGGACGUAGCAGUCAACAAGUCGAGAGUGCUUGCCACAUUCCUGAUGCUCAAAGCGACCACAGGUGUCUGACUGAAGAUGAAUGUGGGGUUGAUGCAACCACUUGUAGGCGAAGAUCAUGCAGCAUGGCUGGCUACUGCGGGCUAUGGCUGUUCAUAUGAUCCCCCUGCUAUGAUCACAUUCUUUCUGCAACAAAGAAAUAAAUGUGAAUCUGAAACCUAGAAUCUGGUGGUACAAGGGAAGCUCUCCAGCAAGGAUAAUUAUUCUGGCAGGUAUGUAAAUCUAACACCAAAUGGUAUAGCAAAGGAGAAACUGAUAGGAAUAAUCCCUUACACAAAAUCCUUCAAAGAAAACCAAAUAUGUAUGUUCUGUCUGAUGAUUGUGGUUGUAACCUCUCAUAUUUUUAUUUUUUAUUUUUUAUUUUUUUUGUUUCAAAUUCAGAUUGAGGCCAUUUUGAACAGAAUGUGAUCUUAUGAUCUUCAUGCAAAUUCAUGAUAAGGGUCGCAUAAUCAAAUUCUACCAUUGAGUUCUAGUCAAUCCCCCACCUCAAGAAAAGUGUGUUGGGCUCACCUCCAUCCCUCUGCUUAUUCCUUUUUUUGCUUAUAUCAUUGAACAGAACUACAGAAGUGAGAGCCUUCAUCUCCUGUACCACCACAACCACCCAUUAUCCCUUUCCUUGUCUAAAUCUCCCACUUGCCAUGACAAGACCUUGUCUAUUUGCAUAAUGGCCAAGUGAGUAGGUUUUGAUAACAUUAUAAUCUAUGCUAUGAAUUCUUCACGUCACCUUUGUUGGCUGAAAAUUGAAAUAUUUUUAAAAAUAAUUUUUAUAUGUAAGGUUUUAUUUUUAAUCAUUUUUUAUAUUUAUAUAAUUAUUUAAAAAAAAAACAUUUUUUUUAAAUAGUCAACAAACAUGCCCUUAACGUAUUUGGAAGAAGGGACGGUGGAGGGUGGAUGGCGUGGAAAUGGCAGAGCCAGCUGGAGCUCUGACCAAAGUCACCAUCCUCUCCUUCCUACAAUCAAAAUCAUCAUCAUCAAAAAAAGAUAACUAUGUCCAAAAAGUGAUUGUCCUUGUACGGAUCUGCGGCAUCCUGGGUCCCACACCUCUCUUUUGUCCCAUUGUCCUCUCUCGCGUUGAUCACUGAUCAGUGAUCACCCAUCACUGAUAUUUUUCCCACCUCCCACCGGGCCCCAUUUCCAGCUCACCCCCACCCAUACACGGGCACUAAUAUUUUGACACGUGUAUAACCACUUCCUCUGCACCAAUACGGCCCACAUUCAUUACUUACUGCACAGCUGUCUUCAAUUACCAAAUCCCCAGGACUCAGGACCCCACCUCCUCUUGUUUUUCCCAACCCUGUUUUUUCUACUUCCACUCCCCACCGUCAACUACCAACAUUUCAUAAUUUUAUAAUAACGUACUUUGCACUGCCUUAAAACCAUCCAUUCAAUAAAAAAAAAAAAAAAAAACGCACACCCACAAGCAAUUCAUACUUAUAAAGCCACUUGAAAGUGAUUCUAAUAAAAAUAUUUUUAUUAAUAGCAAAUCUGUCAUAAAUAUUUUUUAUAAAAAUAAGUUAAAAUAGGAUUUAAAAAUUAUUUUUAAUAAUAAGUUAUACAAAUUAGGAAACAUUUUUAUUCUUCUUAAAAAUGAUUAUUUAUAAAAAAAAAAAAUAGUUUUUAAAAAUUAAUCUUUAUUAUUAUUUUUUUUAUGCUUUUGAAUAUAUUUUAAAAAUAAUUUUUAUAUAUCUAAUAUUUUAUUUUUAAUUAUUUUUUAAUAAAAAAUAAUUUAAAAUAAUUUAAAAUAUCGUAUUUUCUUUUAUUUUUAAAAAUAAAAAACUAUUUUAAAUUAGAAUAACAAAAAAGGUACUGAUGGAUGUAAGUAAUGAACAGUAUGAUUACUCCAUUUGAAAGGAAGGUGAUUCAAGUCCUAACUGUUUUUUAAAAUGGUUAUCAAAAAUAAUUUUAUAAAAUAAAUGUUUAUUUAAAAAAUUUAAAUAUUUUAGAUCUAUUUUUAAUGUUUUAAAAUUAAUUUUUAUGUCUAUAAUUUUAUUUUUAAUUAUUAUAUAUAUUUAUAUAAUUAUUUUAAAAAAAAUAAAUGAAAAUAAUAAAAAAUAAUUAUUAUAAUGGAAACAGAUUGUAAAAUGUGUUUUUUAGUUUUUUCUUUUUAACAGAGAAACAGAAAAUGAAAAAGUUGAUGAACAGAACGUUAACGAUGAAGAAAAUUGUACUAAAAAUGAUUCAAAAAUCAAAUUUCAAUUUCUGAUGAUGGAAUCUUUCUUCAUAACUCAGACUCAGAGAAACUGUCUCUCACUCAAAAAUAAAAAAAUAAAAAAUCUUUACGAAGUCGUAUUCAAAGUUCGAGGCGAAGUAAUAAGAACUUAAAAACGUGGCCUGUUUGGUAAUUAUAGCAAGAAAUAACUCAUCUAUAAAGCGCACUGGCCGCACCACCCUCAUCACCGUCAUACUCCAGGUUCGCUUCCAUAAGCCAUGGCUACGCUUCGUCUUCUUCUUGUGUUCGUGGCUCUCCUGGUCUUCCUCGCCCAGGUGCGCAUGGGUUCUCUUUUUUAUAUGUAUAUAAGUGUUUCUUUUUCUCUAACCAUUUGGGUUUUAUGCAUUUUCAUGCAGAUUUCAUCUGACUUCAACAUCGAAGGAGAGGAGAUGCCAUUUGUCAGCCAGGCAGUACAUGAAAUCCAUGCACUUUAUUUUUAUUUUUAUUUUGUUUUUGGAAAACGUUUUUGGUGUUUUUGGUUGUUGUGUAUCGUGACGGGUGAGGUGUGUAUGUGGUUUUCAGGUGGUCGUGAGAGGUGGAAACAGAAGGCUGAUGCAAGACAUAGGUGGGGAUUCCUUCUUUCCCUUUUGUUUUCACCGAAACGACGUCGCUUAGCUGUAUAUUUGACUUGAUUUUGGUUUGGUGUUCAUAGAUUGCGGAGGGUUGUGCAAGGACAGGUGCAGCCUACACUCAAGGCCCAACGUGUGCGUAAGGGCUUGCGGGACGUGCUGUGUGAGGUGCAAAUGCGUGCCACCAGGCACCUCCGGCAACAGAGAACUCUGCGGCAAAUGCUACACUGACAUGACCACCCAUGGCAACAAGACCAAGUGCCCUUAAACCCCCCUUUCCCCCCUCCCCCUGUCUCUUCCAACUGGGUCGCCUUUCUUCUUUUGUCUUCCUUCAACUCUGUCUUAAUGCUUUCUCCUGUGUUUUCUCCAGUGUUUUUCAUGGUAUAUAUGUUUGAGCUUCAGUGUAUAUAUUUACCUAUGUUUCCUUGAGCAUUGAAUCUCUAUAACAAAUUACAUGGCUUUAAUUUCACAAAAAGAUAAAAGAAAAAACCGAAAUUAUAUUUUUGAUAUCAUAACGCUGCAUCCAUUAAAGAAAGGCAGGGGCGUUGUGGUUAUUUAUUGCACUGCAGUGUAGCAGUGUAGUGGUGGAGGUAUUAUUUUAUGGGGUUGGUUGAGUCAGAACUCAGAAGAAAUAUUAAAAAAAAAAAAAAGAUUGCUAAAGUUUUGAAGAGAAGAAAAUCUAAGGCCUUAGACCCACGUGGUAAAUAGCUAAGCAAAUGAGGAUUGUUAUUAUUAAGGAGUUUCUUUUGAGGGGCAUAUUCCCUAACUUUUCAGUCAGCUUUGGGUGUUUUUGCUGUCACAUAUGGGAAAAAAUAAAUGGGAAAAAGUGCUUCCAUUGCAAAAAAUAAUCACAAAAUAUAAACUUUUUGAAAAUAAUUUAACUUUCAUGAGUGUAGGUAAAAAUGAGGAUAAAAAUAUUUGUAAUUAUGGAUACGAUAUUCUAAUUUUAUGAAUAUAUAGAAUAUCGUGGAUGUUUAUUUUAACAUAAAUAUAAUAUUGAUUAAAAUUUAUAAAAAAAUAAAUAAAUAAUAAUAUAUGUAUAAUAUAAUUUAUUCAUUUCAUAAUAACAUUGUAUAUGUUUGAUAAAAAAAAAAAAUUCAUAAAUAUAUAUAUAUUAUUAAGUUAUAUUAAAUAUUAUUCGAUAAUAAUGUUAUAAUAUUUGAUUAUAUUUUGUUUAAUUUAAAAAUAUAUUUAAUAUUAAAAUUAUAAUUCAUUUAAUAUAUGUAUAAUUUUUAAUACUUAAUUAAUAUAUUAAUGAUAUUAAAAAUACUAUAAAAAAAUUAUUAUAAUAAUUUUUAUAUUUUUAAUAAUCAAUUAAAUGAAAAUUUUUUAUUUAAUUAUAAAAUAAUUAUAAUUCAUUUAAUAUAUGUAUAAUUUUUAAUAUUUAAUUAAUAUACUAAUGAUAUUAAAAAUACUAUAAAAAAAUUAUCAUAAUAAUUUUUACAUUUUUAAUAAUCAAUUAAAUGAAAUUUUUUUAUUUAAUCAUCAAAAUAAUUAUAAUUAAUUUGUUCAUUAAAAUAUUAUUUUAAUAUUAUAUUUAUAUGAUAAGUUUUAGAGUAUAUAUGUUUGGUGUGGAAUAUGUUACAAGGAGCAAGCUUGGCCCUUUGGUUGGCCCAGCUACAAGAUGAAUCUUUUGGUUGGGGACCCCUUCAACUAUAAAAAAAUCAGGUGAGUUUUUAAAUAAUUUCCUCCCAUAUAUCGUGUUGAGGUCCUGUGAGGAUCCGUUCCCAAUCGUAUAAAUAUUGUUCGUUUUGGACCCAAAUGAGUUCUCACGGUUUUAAAACAUGUCUAUAGGGUUAAGAGAAGUCCAUACUUAUAUAGUACCAGAAACUUUCCCCCCUAUCCGAUAUAAGAUGUCACAAACAUCUCUCAUGCAGACACAAUAUCCUCAUUAUAUCCCACAAGAUUGUGGGGCUAAACAGACAAACACCCUUAUAGGGCAAAAUAAACCUCACACUCGGGGAUCGACUCUGAUAUCAUUUAUGAUGACUCACUCCCAACUAUGUAGCUAUUAUCCACUUUAGACCCAAAGGGGCCUUAUCAGGCGAUAUGAUGGUAAACAAUAUUACUUAUAUUAUUAUUAUUUUAAUAAUUUAAAUUUUAUUCAUUUUUUUUUGUAUAUAAUGCUUAAAUUAAAGUAUGACUUAAGUGAUUUUAAAUUUUAAGAAAAUUGAUUUUUAUAAGAAAAAUAAUUUGAUAAAAAUUAUAAAUAUAAGUUUCAAUAAUUUUAAAAAUAGCAUGAAAAUUUGUUAAAUAAAUUUUUUAAAGGCAUUUUUUCAAGGACUUUCAAAUAAAAAUAUUUAAUAAGAAAUUUUAUAUGAAUUUUUUUCCUUUUUCUUUUUGAAUUCUAAUGAUUCUUUUCCAUUCAAAAAAUUGAUAAAAGAUUUAAAAUUAAUUUUAUUGAGAAGUUUUAAAUUUUUUUAAAUCAAUUAAAACAAAAUAAAUUGGGAGAAAUUUAUUGUAGGCUACCAAAAUAUAGGACUAGAAACAGUCCUCUCAAUUGGGCUGUAGAUAUAAAAAUGGUUAGCCUUGGCCCAAAAGUCCGUUGGAGAGGGAAGAAUGUAAAUUGGGCUCUUUCCAAAGAGCCUGUGCAACCCAGGCCCUUAGCCUUAGGUUUUGGGCUUGCCUUUCUCUAUUUUAUUCCCUUCAAAGGCUCGGCCAUGUGGUGAUCUGAUCUAAAAAUAAACAUGGCUACAAUAUUUUAUAAUUAAAGUUUAAAUUUAUUAUUUUAUAAUUUAUAAUUUAUUUUAUUUUAUUUUAUUUUUAAAAUUAUGAAAAUAUAUCACACUUUUUUUAUUUGACUUCUUUCUAGUAUGUUAAUAUUUUAUUUUAUUUUUUAAUUUUCCGAGGAAAAGAUUUUUUCCUUGUUUCGACUUCAUACUCGUCAUUUUUCUAAGGCUAUGUUUGAUUCCCGAAAAUUACUAAAGAAAAGAAAAAAAAAUUGGUUUCAAUACAUAGAAAAACAAAUGUAAUUAAAAUCAUGUAAAAAUGUAUACAUUUUAAAUUAUUUAGGUUAUAUUUGGUUCUCAAAAAAUUUAAAGGAAAAUAUAAAGGAAAGAAAAUACAAGGGAAAAGUAAAAUGAAGGAAAAUAAAAAAUAGAUUAAAAAUUAAUAAAUUAUUUUUAUUUGCUACUUUAAAUUCAUUUUACUUAUUUUCACUAAUUGAUAUAAAAAUUAAAUGAUUUUAAAAUGCAUAAACUUCUAAAUAGUUUUUAUCAUGUUAGAAAAAUUAGGCUAAUCCAACUUAAGGUAAUCACCCUAAAGAGAGGGUGAAUAAGGUGAUUGUCUUUUUUUACAAAAUUAAAUUAUGUGAAUGCAAUAAACAUUUAUAUGCAAAUAUAUAAUAAAACAAUAUAAAAACAAUUGCAUAUAAAGUAAAAGAGUAUGGAAGAGAGAAUGUAAAUACAAGAUUUUAUAGUGAAUCGACACAACUCGGCUUACAUCCACUCUCUUCUAACUUCAAUCCCAAGCUUGAGGUUUUACUAAUUCAAGACUUCAACACAAUUUUUCAAGUAAUACAAUUGGAUUAUGGUUUCAAUCAACCCUUAUGAAUUUUUGGCUCCAAACACCCUUUACAAUUCUUAAGAGAUGUCUCACUCUUGAACAACCCUUCAAGUGAUACCUCGCACUUGAGAAUCCCUAAGUGAUACCUCACACUUAGAUUCUUCCUCUCAAAGAUUUACAAAUAAUUUCACAAAAUCUUGGUACAAAACUUUAGACUCGAAUGAUACAAGAAAACUAUAAUUGAAUUGUGUACUAAUGAUAUGCAAGUUUUAAAACAAUUGUGCACUCAAAAACACUAUCUCAAGACUUAAAAUAUAUUCAAGAAAUGUUUAGGAAGGUUAAACUCUUGAAAUAAUGAAGAUUGAAGCCUUUUUAUAGAGGAAAACGACCAAACCAUCCGUUAGGGGUUCAACUGGUUGAGCUGGGGGUUAAUCGGUUGAUUAACCAUUAGUUUUUAAUGCUUAACAGGUGACCGUUGGACCUUAAUAGCUCCUUGAUUGGACCUCAACCGGUUGAGGUUCAACUUUAACCAUUUGAACAAGCGUUCUGGAAGAGAGAGAGUUUUUGCACUAUUAGACCAGUUAAGCUGAAUAGGUCAACUAGUUCCUCAUCCGGUUCAACCGGUUGAGUCGUUUUUGGCUCAACAACCAUCAUUUUCAACUUAAAACCUUUUAAAUAAGUUUGAAAAAUAUUUGACAGAAUGUUUUAGUUGAAAACAUGAAAUCAUUCAAUUUUAAAGAAUUUAAAACAAAAUUACUUUUAGAUGAUUUUGGUGCAUAAAUUAAUAAUGUAAUGCAUGAAAAACCUAGUGCACCAACAACCUUAAAAAAAGAUCCUAUGAAGUUUAGGUUUUGAAAAACACUUUUCUUUGAGGUCUUAUUAUCUUAUUGAUUUCCCUUUGACUUGAUUUUGUCUUUGUGAUUGUCACUUUGGAAAUCUUAUUGCUUAAUCACACUUGAAAUAUAAUCAUUAGUUGAAAAUCUUAUUUUAUUAUCAUCAAAAUCGAGAUUAACGAAACUUUUAUUUCACACUCUUCCCCUUUUUAAUGAUGACAAAACCAAGGUUGCUAAAAAGCUCCCCCUCAAUAUAUGCUUCUUUGAAUUUAAAAAAUAUUCAAGUUUAGAAACUUCAAGGAGUAUAUUAAGAGUGCUCAAAAUGAUAUAAUCAAACAUAAAUAACAUAAAGAACAAUUUAGCAAUUGACAAGAUAUUAUGAUUAAAUAUGAUACAAGUAAUUAUGACCAAUAAAACACAUAGCAUCAAUAUGGAUAGGAUUGCUAAAACAAUAUUGACAUUUCUUCUCAAGUUAGCAACUUACCAUUACUUUUCUCUUUUUUUGUCAUCAACAAAAAGUCUCAAUAAAGUAUAUAAUGGGAAUCACAUAAUAUCAAAAGAUAAAAAUAAAAAAUAAGCAUAAUAUAAUUUCUCAUGGAAAUGAAUCUCCUUUUUUUUUAAUUUAAAAACAUUUUCCAAAUAAAAGAUUGCUCAACCUUGAAACAUUCCCAAUUUAAAGCAUGAUUUGGAAAGAUAUAUGGGGGAACAUAUGCAUUUAAAAAUAUACAAGCAUACAUGCAUGCAUUGAAUAAUACUAUUAGAGCAUACAAAACAUAUGAUCAUUCAAUUUUACUUAGGUAUAUAUUAAAAAAUAUGUUCUUUUUAAUCCAAACCUUGGUUUAACAAUUAUACCAAUUUUAUCAAUGUGAUACCAAAUGUUAUAUUAUUAACAAAAAUUUACCAAGUGUUAGCAAAAUGAUAAAAUGAUAUUGCAAAUUAAGUUUUAGAAGGAAUACUAUUAUCAAUAUUAUCAAUGCAUUCUUUCCAAGGUAAGCAUAUCCUCUUUCUUGCAUGGAUCCCUACAAAACAAAUUAAGUAACCUUUGGUACCUAUAUCUUUUUGGGUCCUAGAGGGUUAGCCUUUCCUCCAUUUGGAAUCCAAAAUAAUUUAGAGUUUUGAAGACCAUGAGGAGAUUUUCUUAAGGGGCAAUUAUCACUAAUGUGACCUCUUCUUCCACAAAAAUUACAAAUAGUUGAAGGUAAAAAACUAGAGGCUUUCUUUACAAAAAUAAUUUUGAUUUUUGAAAGGCUUGUAGCCUAGCCCCUUUUGAUCAAAAAUGCACUUUUGACUUGCCAAAAUUAUAUCAAAAAGUCUUUUGACCAUUUGAGAAUUUUUGUAAAGAAAAUGUUAACCAUUCAUUUUCCUUUUCAAAAGAGAUUUUUGUCUUCUCAAUAUUUUCAAAUUUUUCCUUGAGCUCAUUAAAUUCAUUUUGACGACAAGAAAUUUUUUUCUUAAGAAGGACAUUUUUGAACCCAAGAUUUUCAAGACCAAAAUAUAUUUCUUAAAAUGAAUCUUGAAACUCAUUAUAGUUAGAAUUGGAAUUUACCUCAUCUUCAUGUUCCUCCAAAGCCAUGAAGCAUAUGUUGGCAUCCUCAUUUGUGCAUUCUUCUUCCAUGGGGUCUUCAUCACUUUCACUUUCACUCCAUGUUGCCAUCAUGACUUUCUUAUUCUUUUUUGGAACUUGAAGAUUCUUCUCUUGAAUGAGAUUUUUUUUCUUUCCUUGAUCUUCUCAAACUUGGUGGACUUCAUAAAUUUCUUGGUGAUGAGAUCAAGGUCUUCAUUUUCACUUUCUUCAUCUUCAUCAUCAUUUGUUGAGGUCUUAAAUGCUAUACUUUUAUCAUUUUCUUCAACUUUUUUAUGAUUAUUCAAUUUUAUCUCAUGAGUCAUGAGUGACCCAAUGAGUUCUUCAAGUGGGAGUUUGGUGAGAUCCUUUACUUCUUAAAUAACCAUCACUUUUGUUUCCCAUUUAUUUGGUAGAGACCUUAAGAUCUUUAUAACUUUCUCUACUUCAGUGUAGGUUUUUUCCAAGGCUUCCAAGUUCAUUCACAAUCACCAUGAACUUAGAAAACAACUCUACAAUAGAUUCAAAAUCUUUCAUAGAAAAUAAUUCAUAAUCAUGCAUAAGGAUGUUGACUUUACACUCUUUAACUUGGUUGGUUCCCUCAUGAGUGAUUUCUAAUAGUCUCUAAAUUUCUUUAGCCGACUUACAUUGCCAAACAUGAUUAAAUUCAUUUCAUCAAUAGCACAAUGUAAGAUAUAAACAACUUUGGUAUUUAAUUGAACUUUCUUUUUAUCAAGCUCAUCCCAUUCUUGCUUAGGUUUUGGAACCAUCACUCAAUAUUCUAAUUUUGAAGGAAUGUGAGGGUUAUCUUCAAUCAUAUCACAUAGAUCAAGAUUAAUAGAUUUUAAAAACUAAGACAUUUUUGCUUUCCAAUAUGAAUAAUCGGUUCUUGUAAAGAAUGGAGACCGGGUGGUUGAAAAACUUUCAAUGUGAGAUGAGCUUGAUGGAUUAGCCAUUACUUCUUAGACAAUUAAGUCUUAAACAAGAGGCCUAACUCUGAUACCAAUUGUUAGAAAUAUUAGGCUAAUCCAACUUAAGGUAAUCACCUUAGAGGGAGGGGGUAGGGGUGAAUAGGGUGAUCGUCUCUUUUUGUUAAUUUAAAUUAUGUGAAUGCAAUAGACAAUUAUAUGCAAAUAUAUAAUAAAAUAAUAUAAAAACAGUUUCAUAUAAAGUAAGAAAGUAGGGAAGAAAGAAUGCAAAUACAAGAUUUAUAGUGGUUUGACGCAACCUAGGUCCACUCUUUUUUAGCUUCAAUCUCAAGCUUGAGGUUCCACUAAUUCAAAGCUUCAACACAAGUCUUCAAGUAAUACAAUUGGAUUAUGGUUCUAAUCAACCUUCUUGGACUUUUGACUUCAAGUACCCUUUACAAUUUUCAAGAGAUACCUCACUCUUGAACAACCCCUCAAGUGAUUCUUCACACUUAGAUUCUUUCUCUUAAAGAUUUAUAAAUAAUUUCACAAAAUCUUAGUACAAAACUUUAGGUUCGAAUGAUACAAGAAAACUAGGAUUGAAUGGUGCACUAAUGAUAUGCAAGUUUUAGAACAAUAGUGCACUAAAAAACACUAUUUCAAGGCUCAAAUAUAUUCAAGAAAUGUUUAGGAAGGUUAAACUCUUGAAACAAUGAAGAUUGAAGUCUUUUUAAAGAGGAAAACGACCAAACUAGUUGUUGAGGGUUCGACUGGUCAAGUUGGGGGUCGAUCGGUUGACUAGCCGUUAGCAUUUAAUGCUUGGCGGGUGACUGUUGAACCUCGACCACCCCUUAGCCGGACCUCGAUCGGUUGAGGUUUAACCUUCUCAUAAUCAUUCAGUAGUGGACUAGCCUUAGUGGCGAAAGCAGUUAAAAAGAGAGAAGGUUUUUGCAUUAUUCGACCGAUUAAGUUAAACAGGUCGAUCGGUUCCUCAUCCGGUUCAAGCAGUUGAGUCAUUUUUGGCUCAACAAUCAUCAUUUUCAACUUAAAGCCUUUUCAAUAAGUUUGAAAAACAUUUGACACAAGGUUUUAGUUGAAAACAUGAAAUCAUCCAAUUUUAAAGAAUUUAAAACAAAAUUACUUUUAGAUGAUUUUGGUGCAUAAAUUAAUAGUGUAAUGCAUGAAAACGUAGUGCACCAACAACCUUAAAAAGGGAUUCCAUGAAGCUUAGAUUUUGAAAAACACUUCUCUUUAAGGCCUUCUUCUUCUUAUUGAUUUCUCUUUGACUUGAUUUUGUUUUUAUGAUUGUUACUUUGGAAAUCUUAUUACCUAAUCAUACUUGAAAUAUAAUCAUUAGUUCCAAGCCUUAUUUUAUUAUCAUCAAAAUCAAGAUUAACGAAACCUUGGUUUCACAUAUCAUAUUUGUUUAUAUAUAUAUAUAUAUUAAAAUCAAGCACAAUGUUGAUAAGUUCAGCAAUUUGGAUUUGACAUUCUCCACCUGCCAUAUUUAUAAAAUCCUUACAGUUAAGCAGUGGGAUGGGAAUCCCAAUUUUUCAAGAGAAUUUUCUAACCCUUCAAAACCUAGAUUUUUCAAUUAUUGGGACUACUAGAGAGCAUGACUCAAUGAUUUUAUGAUCCAGAACAAGGACUUCCAUCAUUCAUGGAUGUUCUAUUUCCCAUCUAAGCAUCAACUACAUUCUUUUCCAUUUUGGUUCCACAAUUGGUGGACAUAUUUUGGUUUGACUAUUAAGAUUCUCCCAAAACCCAUUUUGGAUGGCUUUGAGUUAUUUCAAAGUUCUUUUGCUAUCCUCAGAGAACCUUCAGUUUUUCCUCCUUUGUUAUUUUUUUUCAGUGAAUUUGGCCUUACAUGGAUAGUCUAGUGGGACUAUAUCAUUAUUGCAGAUGAAUCAGCAACCUUUCCAACCUUUGGAAGGACUUUCAAGACUAUUUUUACUGUUCAUUUUUUACUAUUCACUAACAGGAUUACUAUUCAUGCACGGGUUUCGAAAGCAAACAGUGCUUUGUCUCCUAAUUUGUAUUGUUUAAUUUUCCAUUUUUUGUUAUUUAAGGAGGUUAGAUUCUCAGUUGUAAACACGUUCAAUUUUACUUCUAAUUUCAUGUCUCGUUUUAAUCUCUCCAUUCUCUCCCUCUUCUCAUAAGCUCUCUCUUCUCUUUUCUUUUUCUCUUAUCAUGUAAGCCUUCUAGCUCAAAGCUUUCUUCAAAGUUUUCCCCCUUUCUCCCAUUGUAAGAUAUUCAUCUCCUUAUAUAAGUAUGUUUUAUGUUUUUAUUAUACCUCCUAUCAUGGAUUGUUUUCAAAUUAUGUAAAUAAAGUUUGCGGUUCAUUCUCUUUAAAUUUCUUUGUUUAGAUAUCUGUGUAUUUUCCGAUUUCUCUUAUUUUGUUUUGAAUUUUAGCAUAAUUCAUGUUUUCAUUGCAUAUUACCUCAUCCUGGGUGUCUAUGGUAUCAGAGCCAUAGGAAGGGAAGUCGGGUUUGUUUUGGGUGUUUUGAUCUAUCCUAGGAAAAGUAGCAGUGUGCUUGAGUGCGAUUCCUACCGGGUUGAGCCUGUUGUUAGCCGGAGAUAGACGUUUGUUAGGGCUGGAAAAGGGUUGGGGUGAUUACUCACUAGGUCUGUUCAUAUGCUAUUAGGCUCUAGAUUAAAACCUUAAAAUGAGUUCGAUUUUCAGAACCAUGUCUAGGAAAUCCAAAGAUUCUCAAGACGUUGUAGUAAACAGUGAAGAGAUCAAUUAUCCUAAGAUCCAAAAUGAUUUGGAUGAUUGGAAACCCAAGGUACCUAAUCAAGAAAUUUAGAAGAAAUGAACCUUUAAGUUCUUCACAGACUACACCAUUAAGACCUCUGAAACGUCAGUAAGUUUAGAACACGACGAUCAAGUUAUAAGACUCUUAGAUAGUAAGUCCAUUGAGAAACAUAAACGAAACUACAACUUCAUACACUUUGGUAUGAUUCAAGUUGCAGCUAAGCCUUUGACAAGACUAGGUCUAAAAACCUUUAUUGUCAUGUGUUU
rnacentral:lncRNA from 1 species